GGAAAUGGGCUAAGCUUAAAUGGGAGUCCAUGGAUCGUCCAUGGAGCUUUUAACCCAUGGAUCCUUGGAAGAGGAAAAGAGAUGGGUUAUUAGGGUUUACCCUAAUCAUCCAAACUAUAUAAAGAGGCUUGUGAUGCAUGAAAUGACACUAAGUGUGUGUGCAUAAGAGUGGCCAAUUUCUAGAAGCUAGACAUACUCUCUCAUAAAGGUUUCCAAGUUUGUGGUGUUUUGUGAUUUCCAUUUGAGGCAUUCACAUUAUUGGUGCUUGGCUCUCAAAAUCCAAAGGAAUCAACUCACAAUCAAAGGUAUGUAACUCUUCUAAUUCUUUUAUGUUUAAAAGUACCCCAUGCCAUGCUAGAUAGGUUAUGGACCUUGGAAAAAUUAUUUUGCCUGUAUCAUAGUCAAACAUAGAUCCAGGGUUUCUAGGGUUGCAUGAGCACCUUAAGAGUGUUAGUUUGCUCAAAACCCAACAGUGGUAUUGGAGCCUAGGCUUGCUUGCUUGAUAUUUGUUGCAAAAUAGUGAAAAAAAAGUCUAUUUUCUUGCUGUCUGCAACAUGAACUCGCCGAGUCCAUGAGGGGACUCGCCGAGUCCAUGACUAAAUUCAUCCUAGUCGUCGAGUAGGUUCAUGUACUUGACGAGUAGAAGCCUCAGAAUGCAAAUUUUCAACUUUUGCUGCUGGAAAUGGACUAGAAACAUUACCCUAAACUGUUUUGGUGAUUUAAAACUUAUCAUAGAUGGUGUAAUGUUUAUGCUAAUCCAUUUACAAUGGCUUAUAUCAAAAUUCCAUGCUUUGUAUGUGCUUAUAUGAUUCUUGAAGUUUUGAUAUUCAUGUUCAUGUUCUUAUGAGGUUAGAAAGUGAUAGAAAUUAUUUGCUAAAUUGUGUUUAAUUCUUGAUCAUUUAUGUGUUUUAAUGGAGUCCAUAAUUUGUCCUCAAGUUAUGGAUUUCCAAAGGUCAUUUUCUUUAAACACGCAUUUGAAACACAUAAGUUACAUAAAAAUGAAGAGUCUUCAUUUUAUAAAUCAUUAACUCAUAAGUUAUGAAAUGAAGAGUUUUGAAAAGUUUCAAAACUUGUCCUCAAGUUUUGGUAUUUGUAAAGUUGCACAAACUUUAAUAAACUUUAAUUCCAACCCUUGGAGUUUUAAAAGUUAAAAUUCAACCCUUAUACUAUUAUAACAUUAAUGGUUAAUUAUUAUCUAUAUGUAUAAGAUUAAGUUGUUUUAGCGUUAGUAGGCCUCAUUCAAGAAGCCAGUUUAUAAGGGGGGGGGGGGGGGGGGACGNGGGGUAUAAGGUUGUUGCCUAUAAAUGGCAGCUUAAUGGGUGUCCAUUCUCACCCACCGCUUCCUUGAUCGGUGGAGGGUCGUUAGCCGAACGGGUAGAAAAAUCACUUUAAAUUCUCAAUAAUAGUAUGAUGAAUAUUAUAAAUUAACUAGACCUUUUAUAAAUUCCCAAUCAUAGUUACUUUAGGAAAAUGUGAACAUGGUGCUAACCCAUGAAAUUCACACUUUGUACUUUACCAAGUCAGUGCUGGAGCGUGUGUGGGUUACCGGCACACUAAUUUGGACUAGUAAGGAUAAAAAAAGGGUAACUUAAUGUUUAUCAUAGAUCGGUGGAGCAUGUGUGGGUUACCGGCACAUCGAUUAAGUGAUAAUAUUAAGGGUACCAAGUGAGUUUGCAUGGUUAUUCACACAUUGUUUUGUGAUCCCCGGCAUCCCAGUCACAAAACUUGAAGGGCACAAUCAAGAUUGAAACAUGCCAUUGAAAAGUUCAAUGAAUCUCUAAAGAAUCUAGGAAUUUCUUGAACCAAUUAAACCUAAUACCUAAUUUCGUUUUCGUGGUGGAAAUUAGUGAAUCGUCAUUCACCUACCUUCAAAUAUGUUAUAACUUAGAUUACGGUAUCCCUCUUCUAAUUUAUAAUAUAUUGUGAUGGAUCCUAGCCUUAAUAUUAAAUUUGGGUGUCUUAUUAAGGACUCUAUAUAUCUAAUCUAAACAUGUCCUUCUUAUUUUCAGAUGUCUUCCAACAACAAUGCUUCGGGCUCUAACCCUACCGGCUCCUUCUCUCUCAUGAACCUUUGUGGGAGAGUCAUCUUUGAUGGUUUAAAAUUCAAUGAUUGGAUAAGAAACAUCAGGAUGGUCACACGCUACAAGGACAAGGAAUAUGUCCUUGGCAAGGAGCUCAGGGAACUCGAUGAGUCCACUGCUACUCCUCAGGAGAUCGCUGACUUUAGGGCUCAUGAGAGAGAUGCCACUAAGGUGGCAUGCAUCAUGAUGGCCACUAUGAAAGCCGAACUCCAGAAGUUCUAUGAGGACUUCUACCCUGUUGAGAUGCAACAGGAUUUGAUGGACCGCUACCAUCAAAGUGCCCGUCAAGAGCAGUAUGAGAUUAUCUCCUUGAUGGUAACAACUAGAAUGAAGGAUUGUGAACCCAUCACGACCUACAUGCAGAAGAUGCAAUGAUCUGUGGACCGUCUACUGAAACUGAAUGUGAACUUCCCCGAGGAGUUGGUAAUUGACAUCAUUUUGCACUCCUUACCUCCUUGUUGUCACCAAUUUAGACUGACCUACCACAUGAACAAGGAGGAGGUCACACUCAGCAAGCUUCAGGGACUCUUAAAGACCGCCGAAAGUGGUCUUAGGUAUGAAGAAGUGAGGAUAUGGAGCACAGGAAGAUAAACCUGAAUAUGGGAAAUAGGAAGGCUUCACUUGUUUCCAAGAUUGGAGUUUAUACCUUGAUGCUAAGUAGUGGGUUAAAGUUAGAUUUGAAUAAAUGUGUGUACUCGUCCGAAAUGGCGAGAAAUAUUAUUUCUUUUUAUGGUUUGUACAAACAAGGUUUUACCUUUUUGUUUGAUAAUGAAUGUGGUGGUAUUAAUGCUUUCAUUAAUAAUGUUAUUUAUUUUAAAGCAUUGCCAUGUGAUGGUGUGUAUGAAACUGUGUCGGUUGUAGACAACCUAGGAAAUAAUGUGUUGUGUAUUGAUUCGUCUACUAGCUUGGAUAAGGCAUCAUUGUGGCAUUGUCUUCUUGGACAUGUAAACAAGAAACGCAUAGGCCAACUCCAAAAGGAUGGAGUCUUGGAGUCAUUUGAACUGAAGUCAGAUGAUAGUAGUGAGUCUUGUUUGCUUGGAAAAAUGACAAAAUCACCCUUCACUGGUACUUUUGCAAGGGGUGAGGGUUUGUUGGACCUUAUACAUACUGAUGUAUGUGGACCAUUUAAAACCGCCAUAAGGGAUGCUAACCGCUAUUAUGUGACUUUUACUGAUGAUUACAGUAGAUAUGGUUAUGUCUACUUAAUCAAGCAUAAGUCAUAGACCAUUGAAAAGUUUAAAGAGUUUAAACAGGAAGUAGGGAAUCAAUUGGGAAGGAACAUUAAGAUGCUAUGAUCUGAUCAAGGUGGCGAGUAUCUUAGUACUGAGUUCCUUGACUAUAUUAAGGAAUGUGGGAUUGUCUCACAAUUGACACCUCCCAGGACACCAUAACUGAAUGGUGUAGUUGAAAGGCAUAAUCGGACCUUGUUGGACAUGGUUUGUUCCAUAAUGAGUUGAGUUUCGUUACCAAUAUCUUUUUGGGGGUAUGCCUUAGAGACUGCCACCGACAUCCUUAAUCUAGUCCCUACUAAGAAGGUUACCAAAACACCUCACGAGAUGUGGACAGGGAAAGUUCCCAAUUUAGAUCAUGUCAAGAUUUGGGGUUGUGAGGCUUUUGUGAGACGCGAGAAUUAGGAUAAGCUCGAACCUCGAAGUGAGAGGUGUAUUUUCAUCGGCUACCCACGCAGUUCUUUUGGUUACCUCUUCUACAAACCUAGUGAGAAUGUGGUCUUUGUGUCAAGAAGAGGAGUCUUGAGAGAGAGAGAGAGAGAGAGAGAGAGAGAGAGAGAGAGAGAGAAUUUAUAAGCCAAGGAAACAGUGGGAGGCAAAUUGAUCUUGAACAAAUUUAAGAGUCAAGUGGUGAAGGAACCUCAGACACUAGCAAUUAACCUGAGGAGGAAACUCUUGUUGAACCAGCUGAUGAGUUUGUACCUCCAAGGCGUUCCACAAGGGUUAGGAACACGCCUGAUUUCUAUUAUGGAUUCCAUAUUACUAUGGAAGGUGAUACGUUUAUCCGUGAUAGUACACUAGUAAAUUUCGAUGAACCUAACAGUUUUAAGGAAGCCAUGGCAGGCCCAGAGUCUGCUAAAUGGAAGGAGGACAUGUACAGCGAGAUACAGUCCGUGUAUGACAAUCAAGUUUGGAACUUGGUUGACAAUGUACCAGGCCGUAAGACAGUCGGGUGCGAAUGGAUCUUCAAGAAGAAGACCAACAUGGAUGGAAAGGUGAACACUUACAAAGCACGACUGGUUGCAAAAGGUUUUACUCAAACUCAGGGUAUUUAUUAUGAUGAAACCUUCUCACCAGUAGCAAACAUUAAGUACAUUAGGAUUAUGCUGGCCAUUGUUGCAUUUCAUGAUUAUGAAAUAUGGCAAAUGGAUGUCAAAACCGCUUUCCUUAAUGGGAAGCUGGCUGAGGAUGUUUACAUGGUUUAGCCAGAGGGUUUCGUUGGUCCAGAAUAUCCUAAUAGGAUGUGCAAGCUUGAGAGAUCUAUUUAUGGAUUGAAACAAGCAUCUCGCAGCUAGAAUCUUUGUUUUGAUGAAAAGGUCAAAGAGUUUGGUUUCUCGAGAAGCAAAGAUGAAUCCUGCGUGUAUGUCAGAGCUAGUGGGAGUAUAGUCAGCUUUUUGGUAUUGUAUGUGGAUGACAUACUACUCAUAGGAAAUGAUGUCCCAACUUUGCAGGAAGUAAAGUCCUGGCUUGGGAAGUGCUUUUCUAUGAAGGACCUUGGGGAGGCUGCCUAUAUCCUAGGGAUAAGGAAAUUAUGAGAAAGUAGUAAAAGACUAAUUGGACUUAGUCAGAGUACUUACUUGGAUAAACUGUUGAAAAGAUUGAACAUGCAGAAUUCCAAGAAAGGAGAUUUACCGAUCCAAAGAAAUGCCAAACUAAGUAAGACUCAGAGUCCGAGUACAGAGGAAGAGAUAACUGAGACAAGUCAAGUACAGUAUGCUUCCGCUGUUGGCUCAAUCAUGUAUGUUAUGACUUGUACUCGCCCUGAUGUGGCUUUUGCUUUGAGCAUGGUCAGUAGAUAUCAGGGGAAUCCUAGAAAGGCUCAUUGGACUGCGGUAAAGAAUAUUCUCAAGUACCUACGACGGACUAAGGAUUGGAUCCUUACCCUUGGUGGGAGUGAUGACUUGAGGGUAAUGGGGUAUAGUGAUGCUAGCUUUCAAACUGACAGGGAUAACUUCCGUUCUCAGUCGGGCUGGAUCUUUACCCUAAAUGGAGGGUCAAUCACUUGGAAGAUUUCUAAACACGAGAUGGUAGCUGAUUCAACUUGUGAAUCAGAGUACAUAGAAGCAAGUGAAGCGGCAAAGGAGGCAAUAUGGCUGAAGAACUUCAUCGAAGAUCUUGGAAUUGUACCGACUAUUAUGGAGCCUAUGGAGAUUUUCUGUGACAGCAAUAGUGUGGUUGCCUUAGCCAAGGAACCAAGAGAUCAUGGAAGGUCCCGACACAUUGACAGAAAAUAUCACUUCAUAAGACACAAGAUAAAGAAGGACUCCUCGUGGCAAAGAGGGUAUCGUCAAAUGAGAACCCUGAGGAUUUCUAAAAGCUAGACAUACUCUCUCAUAAAGUUUUCCAAGUUUGUGGUGUUUUGUGAUUUCCAUUUGAGGUAUUCAGAUUAUUGGUGCUUGGCUCUCAAACUCCAAAGGAAUCAACUCACAAUGAAUGGUAUGUAACUCUUCUAAUUCUUUUAUCUUUAAAAGUACCCCAUGCCAUGCUAGAUAGGUUAUGAACCUUGGAAAAAUUAUUUUGCAUGUAUCAUAGCCAAACAUAGAUCCAAGGUUUCUAGGGUUGCAUGAACACCUUAGGAGUGUUAGUUUGCUCAAAACCCAACAGUUUUGUGUGUGUGUUGAUGUAUAUGAUGUGCAUAAACUAGUCAAUGACCAUUAUGCUUGUUAUGUUGUUCUGUUGGUUGUUUUAUAAAAUGGUUGUAAUAAUUUAUUUAUUCAUAUGGUAUACAAUAAAUUAAAUAGAUUAGUUUUCUUGUUUACUUUUGUAAAAUAAUAGAUUAGUUUUUAGAAAUAAUUCAUUUGUAUAAAAUGUAACUAGAAAUAAAGUUGGAACCAUUUUUGAUGACAAAAGAGCAAUUUCCAAGUCUAAAAGGUGUGCAGGAUUUUCAGUGACAUUUUCUAAAAAGUGUCACUAAUGCUGUUUACCAAAGGUUGUUGGCUUUUAGCGAUAGUUGUCGAAUUUUAGCCUUCAAGAAGUUUUUCCAAUAUUUUGCAAGCAAAUGGUAUUUACACAAGUGGAAGCUUCUUCAACAACAUUACAAGAAGAUGUUUUGGUCCCCUUAAAUGUUCCUUUAGGAAUGGACUUGGUAUCUUUUGUGUUGGCUCACAAAAAUGUCAUUAGUUGGUUAUGUUUAUGUACAUAUCUUUUUAUGCAUGUUUUUGUGUUUUUAUUUUAUGCAUUAUUUUGUGUGGUUGAUUAAAUUAGUUUUUCACGUGCUAAAAUAAUUUUGGACAAAAUAAACAUGACAUGGAGUUUGGGCUUUAAAAAUUGGACAUAAGAUGUAACAAGUUAUUAUUUUUUUAAUAAAACCCGAUUUUAUAAAUCGUUAUAAAGGCAAAUUUUGAAAUACUCCAUUAUAAGUUUUAAAAUGGUGAUUUUUGUAACUUAUACAAACUCCAUAUGUAUAAGUAAUAAAAUGAAGUUUUAUUAGAGAUAUAAAAGGUUAAAAUGCACUCAAAAUUAAUAUCGGUUAUAAAAAUUGAAUUGCAUCAAAUUAUAUAAAAACUAGCUUUUUAUAUAGAACCUUUAAAAGUAAUUUUUUUAAAAAAAAUUGAUACAAUGGUUUAUUAUAUGAUUGUAAUAACCAUGAUAUCAUAUGUUUUUAAACUAGAAUUUAAAAACAUAUAAAUCCCCUUAUUUUACUAACCUCAAAUCUAUGCAAUCCUUUUGAAAAAUACCCACACAUCUCUUGUAUGCACUGGUGAGAUAAAGGAUACCUAACCGCUUUGUGUCAUCUUUUGAUGGUCGGGGUGUCUUUGCGAUCUCUAUAACCAAGUUAUAGGCCGAUUACACAAGUAUUUCAAUUGGACGAUUUGAUCAGAAAUAUUUUGUGAUAAAGGAUACCUAAGCAAGAGAGUUCCGAGACAUAGAUCUGAUCAAACAUGUCUAAUUAGCUUUGUUAUUAGCGUUCCCAUAAAUCUAGGAAUUAUAUAGUAUAAUAUAAUUGAUAAUCGAUAUCUAUUGACUUGAAUUCAAAUAGAUGGGACAACGGAUACCUAACAAUUUAUUUGUUUUGCAACUUAGAUCCUAGACUUUGAUAAUUAACUUUUUUUGGAAUAAUCCAUUGUCAUUUUCUUUAAUGACUUAAUGAAACAAUAAAAUUCAAUAGAUACGACUUCAAUGAAUAAGUUCAUGUCUUAAGAGACAGUCUUGUGAGAGAUAUGAAAUUGUAUACACUUAAAGGUCCUUGUCAUAAACUAUUUGCUUUGAGCAAUACACCUGGACAUGAUACCUAGUAAAUGCAUCACUGUGAUGCUAAAGAUGCUAAUAACAUCAAGCAAGGAAUAAUUAGUCAUGACUUCUAGGAAGUGUUAGAUAAUUUAAACAUAUAUCUAAUUAUAUGACAGGUCAAGCAAUAUUUCCAUAAAUACAGUGAUAUUUUAUUCAAAGCUACUUUAAACGUUGGAAUAAUGCAAGGCUAAAAUAAUCACCCUGUGUGAUCCAGGAGGCCUAUGUUUUAUGGACUUAACACCUUUAAGCCCAACAAAUUUUCUAAAGUCCACAUAGAUGGAUCUUAUUUCUUUUGUGAAGAAACUAGACACUGGAAGAGGAUUUACUCCUCUUAUUUGGAAAGAAAGUUUGGAAGAGACUAGUACUUCUAUUAUUUGCUAGAUAGAACUCAUAUUUUUCAUAUAACAUUUAGGUACUUCAUACUUAAAUGUUAAUCUAAUAUUUGUAAAUGGGUUGGAAAUAUUUAUUAAAGAGUAACCAAGCUAAGCACAACCAAGUUGGAACUACACUCUCGGAGUUUAUUUUAUUAGUUAUGCUUAGAACAUAAAUUACUUGUAAUGUAAAACAAUACUUAUUUUGGAACAAUGUAUGUUUUAAUUUAGCAAGUCUAAAUUUAUGUCUCGGUUAUUUUAUUCAAAUGUUUGAUCAUUUACUUAAUCGUUUUCAUAAUGAUGAUAUUUAUAUUCUGAAAUGUUUAACUUCUAUUUAUGAGACUAGAUCUCUUAAUAGAAUUAUAAAGUAAAUAUCAACAUUUUUUUAAAUAAAAUUAAUAUCUAUAUGUAAGCACUUUUUAAAUUAAACUUGUUUUAAAUCAAACUCAUCUUUGACAUUGUUAUCUUUAUUAUAUAAAUGACACACAUAUUCCAACUUCAAGAAAGGGAUCUUUGAAGACAAAUAGUGUCGUUUAUUUAACAUAUGUCAACCUUAUUUAUAUGUAAAGGAUUCCUAACGAUAUUUUCACUAAGGUGUAAAGAAAAUAGUUAAGGAACUAUACACUUUGGUGUAUGACUUCCUUUCUAAUGAAUGUUUGAGACUAAGCACAAGAUACCAAAUCAACUUUGUUAAUAACUAUAUUAGUUUUAAUUAUAUUUACCUGGUAAAGUAUAAUUGUGAAAUCUUUUUUGAAUGUUUCAAAAGUUGAGAUACAAACCUGUAAGAACCAUCUAAGGCCUUAAUGAUAAUAAAGGAUGAAUUAAAUCUUACUUGGUAUGAUUUACUUUCUAAUCGGUAGAAAUAUCCUCCUUUAAUCUUUUUGGGAUAAUACUUCAAUCACUAUUAACUGUAUCUUGAAUACAAAUACCAAUUAAUAAGUGGAUUAGACAGUUCAUAAGAUAUUGAAUGGAAGGGCUCCAUCCAUAUCUUAUUAAAUAUUUUAUGGAUUUUAAGCAUAUGUUGGACUAAAGCUUUUAAACCUAAAAUCUACUAAAUACAUAUUUGUAUAAUACUCUACAUGUGGAUUAGAUUAUUAAAUGCAAAACCCACCUAGAAUAGGUUCUCUUAUUCUUGUGAAACCUAAGUUUGUAGAAAGCAAGUUUCUAAUGACAAACUAAGUGGGAGGUACAUGAAACUUGAAGCAGCUCAAGAACCAUAACCUUAUGUAGUAAUAGUUGGCACUAGUUUUAACAAGGAUUAUUAAAGUUGAAUAAUAGAUAUUCACAAACACAAAUUGUUCGCCUUAAUGGUAGAAAUCAUCUAUGACUUGAGAAAUAUGGAAUCUCUCAUUGAUAAGCUUUUAUUAAUGUUUUCUGGAAAAUCCAUCAAAUACCAAGAUGCUAUGUCAAAUCUCAAAUCUGAUAAAUGACUUAGAGUCAUGAACAUUAGAUGUAAUCCAUGUAUGAGAAUCAAGUACGAGUUUGAUUAUAAUUUGUCCAUAUAGAAAGGCUAGAAGGAGAAAAUGAUUCUUCUAGAAAGAAUAAAUUACAUGGAUAACCAUACACACUUAAAGCAAGACUUGUAGUAAAAGGAUUCUCUAAUAAUCAUGUCAUUGACUAUGGUCCUCAUGAUACUCAUGACAUUGACUAUGAUCAAACCUUUUCACAAGUAGCUAUCACUAGAUCAAUAAGGAUAUUGUUUACUCUAAAUUCAUAUUCUUAAGAGUAAAUUACACGAAUGGUCCUUAUGGUUUGGGGUAAUUUGCACGCUUGAUCCCUAACUUAUUUUUUUAACUCGGAAGGUCCCUACUGUUUGUUUUUGUUACACGCUUGGUCCCUAGAGUUUGUUUUUGUUACACGCUUGGUCCCUAUAGUUUUUUUUGUUGCACGCUUGGUCCUUAUCUUACCUAAAAAGACUACUAUUUAAAUAGGGAAAAAUGGUGAGGUAGGUAAGGUAAUGUGAGGUGGGUAAGGUUGGGGGUGUGUUUAUUUAAAAAAAAAUUAAAAAAUCAAGGGCAUAAUAAUCUUUUUAGGAAAGACAGGGACCAAGUGUGUAACAAAAACAAAUAGUAGGGACCUUUCGAGUUAAAAAAUUAAGUUAGGGACCAAACGUGCAAAUUACUCUAAACCAUAGGGACCAUUCGAGUAAUUUACUCUAUUCUUAAUAUGAGAUAUAGUAAAUAGAUUUCAAGAAAGACUGCUUUUUCUUAAUAGACAUCUACUAGAAGAUAUCUAUAUAGAUUAUCUUGGAGGUUUUCUUCAUCCAUGUUAUCCUAACAAAAUGAGUAGAGCUUGAGAUCCAAUUGUGGAUAUAAAGCAAACAUCUCAGUGUUGCAAUCAUCACUUUAAUGUAAAACCACAAGGUAUGUUUUUAUAUCAAAAUGAAUAGAACAUCUGUGUUUACUAAGAAUUAUUGGGAGCAUAGUGAAACUCCUAAUCUUGUAUGAAUAAGACAUACUUAAUCAUUUGAAAUCAUUUUCUGUCUUAGCAAGGUUGUUUUCACCUUGACUCAGAAAUUUUUUCUCAAAUGAAAGACUUGGGAAGGAGAAGACACAUUCUUGGAAUGUAAAAUCUAUAAGUGAUAUAUAAAAUGAAUGUUAAAAGUUUCAUGUCCUUAUACAUAUAUCGGUGAUAUCAUGAAAGGAAUCAAGACAUAAUAUUCUUUUGGAGAAUUCUUGGCAUUGUCAUAUGAUAUGUGACAACCCGAUAUUUCGAGUCAAUGUAAUGACCUAAGUCAAGUAUUGUAAUCUAUUUUUAAAUUAAUAAAAAAAAGUUAGCAACAGAAAUGAAAUGUUCAAAAAUCUCAAUUGGGAUACAUAAAAUGAUAGAUAUCGUGUCAAGGUUUUCAGAAAUAUAAAGAACACUCAAAUCAAAGUUAUAAUGAGGAAGUUAUGACAAUUCAAAUAUCCGCGUCAAAACCGCUAAAGCAAAGUUACGUGUGAAAAGCGAAAUUUCAAUAAAAUACUUUUUAGCCUUAGGAAUCUAAACAAAAGUCUUGUAUUAGGUUAAACCAUGAACGUACAUAAAAAGAACGUCCAAAUCUGACUUCGUAUGAGGAACUUAUGAUUUUUCUAAGUUUCGGAAUAGUAGUAGACAGCUAAAAACUCGAAAUUAAGAUCAAGCGAUAUUUAGCCGACAUAACCUAUACGACAAUUGAAAAAAUCGACAAUAGUAGUACAAUAGUAAAAAAACAUACGAAAACGGACGUCACAUGAAGAAGUUAUGAUUUUUUAACGGACAUUUCCUGUCCUAGCCUAUUAAAAAUAUAAAAUUAAAAAUAAAUUUGAAAUUUGCUGAUGAAGUCUAAACGAAAGCUGUAGAGUAUAAUCUCAACUACGCGUGGAUAUAGAGAACAUCAAACCGGAGCUCGUAUGCGAAAGUUACAGAUUUUUAAAGAUUGGGGCAUGCAUUGUGAGGCUGGUCCGAAGAGGAACACCCCGUGUUCGCAGCACAUGGCCUCGGAUCGAUCACGUCUCCCCUAUAGCCUUCUAGCCCGUCCCAUUUAAAGUCUGGUAUCCGACGGUGACGUCAUGCCUAACGAACGCGCCGCGUAUGAGGGAACACCAUGCGUUACGGAACGCCCCACGUUCGAGGUCGGUUCCCACCCCUAUAAAUAAGAUGCAAGGCUUCCGAACUUCUUUGCAAAUUUCCAACUUCUCCCCAUCUAUUCUCACUCUCGAGCCCCUUGAAACUACCCCGACGCCCCGAUUACGUAUCCAAGCUCCAACGAAGGUCCGAAGCUCCGAAACUCCUGAGAAAUUUUCCACUUUCCGGUCGAACUGCUGCCCGAGAAAAGUCUCGUUUUCUUCAAAUCAUCACACUUACCAGGUGAGUUCAUACCCCUAUAUUUUUGGGGGAAAAUACAAGUGAAACGCAAGAAAAACAUAUGUUAAAAUGCAAAUCAUUACAUACAGUUUCUAAGGUUUUAUCUACAUUUUGUGUAUAAAUGUUAAAUAAGUAAAAUAAUGUUAUCACAAAUGUUAUACUUUACAUGCAAAGUUGGUAAUACACCAAGGUUUGUCAUUCAAAUGAAACACACUUUUUGAAAAACUAUAAUAGGUAUAGUUUACGAGAUAUUCAUGAUAUUUUACAUACUAUAAACACUAUAAAGAGGAAAAACUUACAUUUACAAGAAAAAUGGACUUUUCAUAUGUAAAUCUAUUUGAUACUAACUUUUGUGAGACAUUUGACUUCAUGUACUUUCAAGUACACAUUUGAAGUCCUAUGUUAUAAACCACAAUCACUUGUAGGGGAGCGUGAUACUUGUGUAUAGAUUUGUACGGGAUUGACAAUCCCACACCUAAGCUGUUAGCUACAGUUAGACCGGCAGGUCUGGGGUGACAAACGUCAUAACACUCCAACGCCUGAAGAACGUUGUUACAGGCAGUCUGGGUCAAUAGUACGGUUAUAAAACUCACAUUAAGUAUUAAAACAAUUUGGUUUACGGGGCUAUCAAACGCCUUAGUGGUUAUAUAGACAUAUAUAAAUCUACUUACACUAUAUUAGGUAUGGAAAAUAGUUAUGCAUUCCGUUUUUUUGGAACUUUUAAAACUACCAUUCAUUUAUGGAAAAUAUUGGAUUUUCUAGAAAGGCAUACAAUUGUUAUAUAAAAACGCUUAUGAACUCACCAACUUAAUUGUUGACACUUUUUCAAAACUUCUUGUAUUUCUUAGGGAUUCAAUAAUACAUGUAAACAAUAGCUUUUGGGGAAGGGACACUAAGGCAUCAAUUUCAAACUUAUUAUAUCAUCAUAAUGUAAUUUAUUUUGAAACAUGUAUUACAAGCAAGAAUGUAACUUUUUAUAUUAUAUUUAUGGUUGUUGUGUUUGCUUUCUUUACUAUUUACUCAAUUGUUAUGAUACUACAUGAAGUCAUCCGCCCUCGAACGAUUCCGUCAUUCUGGUUUGGGGGUGUGACAGAUUGGUAUCAAAGCAUUGUUUAUAGUGAACUAAGUAUAUCGAACCACAUAAGAUAUAAAUAGUAUAAAUGAAAAGGGUACAGAUUCAUGCAUGCAAUAGUUUAAUGUCAUGGUUAGAACUAUACAAAAGUAUUAAGACAAGUUGGACACUAUGACUAGGCCCCAGAAUAUGUAAUCAGAUCUUGGAUGAAUAUAGCUUGAUCAACUAUAUUUAUCCGAGGUAUGACCAACGUAUGUCGGGGAAUAAUCAUAGUGAGCAACAAGUCAAAAACUUACCAAAGUAACACUGGAAUCAAACUUACAAAAUUAAAUACUAUAGGAAUAUUUAUGACAAUAUAAAAAUUGUAAUAAGCGAGUAAACCUCGACAUUUCGUUAGAACUGGGAAUCAUCAAUUAAAUAGAAUUAUGCUUAUAAAAAAACUAAAAACCUUCACUGACAGGUCUAUAUUUGCAAAGUGAAUACUUUAAGGUUACACAUGAUUGAGGUUGCAUAGGCUCAGGAUUUAUGAUUUCGCUUUAGGUCCUUUCCUUGUUUGGAUGUGGUCUUAGAGUGAAGCUACUUAUCUAACGGUCCAUUCGAUCUCCAUUUAAUGUAAUUUGUAUACACUAGGUAACUAUAAAAGGACUCGGGUGUAGGUCUUGUCAAAAUAUUAUCUUUUUACCCUCAAGUUUUAUCUAUAAUCCUCUUAUCUCUAUUCUCGAUCAGACGAACUGGCAGAAUUUCAUAUCCCCAGAGAUCCCUACUAGCCUAACCAUGGCAAUGGAGGCUGGGUCGAGGAAGAUCCAGAAGAGGAUCCCGAAGAGAUUCCCAAAGAAGAUCCAGAAGAGGAUCCCAAAGAGGAGGAAGAGGAAGAAGAUGAUGAGGGCACUAACUCGGAACCCGAGGUCUACAAUCCUCCCCAGGUAGUACCAAAUUUCUAAUGGAACUUUUAGGGCUCGGCGCCUCGCUGGUUGUAGAUCUGAAACGAUGGAGCAGGGAACAAGGACAACGUCCGCCCUACGGCAUGGGACAAGGUUUUCAUAACCUCAGUAACGGAGGUUCAGCUGAAAGUGCACUCCCUAUCAUGAUUCGCCUCAUUGCCAACCAAGGCAAUCAAACAAGGGUGAACGCCAACCAGAUCAUGGAUGUUGGUGCCACCGCACAAAUCACGGCAGUACGUCUUUGUCGCCUAGAUGAAGAACAUGAACGAACAAUAGAGCACACUUUUUCCCUUCAGAACGACAUUACCGCUGCUAGAGACGAGGUGAGGUAGUUUCGGAAAACCAAAGCCGCAAUGGAGAGGCACGUCAUCGAGGCUGAACGUUAUGUAGCUCGAGCUCAGACUUCCACGAGCACAUACCAUGGUCCACAGCGUAACACCCGCUUGGAGUUGAGCACAUACUUCUUGUGCUUUGUAUAGACUUAUCGAGUGAGCAUUGGUGCUACUCUUUCCUUUAUGUAUGUAAACCCGACGGAUUGUGAGUACACAAUUCGGGGGUCUGAAUGCUGUCAAAAUUUCCCAUUUGCAUUGAUAUGCUCUAGACUUGUGUUAAGGUCAAUUUUUCCUGAUCGAUGUAUCGAAUAUUAAUAUCAAUGAGACGGACACACAUUUAUUAUUUCAUUGGGUAUUUCAUUAAGUUCUUAAAAUACUAAGGAAAUCAUGUACUUAUUGUUGUAAGUUUCUAUUUCGCAAUUAACUUACAAAUUCGAUAAUGUUCAGAAUGUAAAGCAUAUGAUUACUAAGAAGACUUAUCAAGAAUUCGUCUUUUAACUUAUGGCAGAAUCAUGCCACCAAGAAGGAAUCCCCGACGCAUAUACUGUUGGGUUUUGAGCAUUCUAACACUUCCUAAGUGUACAUGCAACCCUAAAUACCUUGGAUCUAUGUUUUUCUCUAUUAUACAUGCAAAUAAGAACAUCCAAGGUAUUAUCCUAAUCUAGCAUACAAAAACUAUGAAUGUAACAAGAUAGAAUACAUACCUCUUGAUGUAGCUUGAUGUCUUCAAGCUUUAAGAGCUUAGCCCCAAUAGUGUGGAAGCCUCAAGUGGAAUCACAAAUCACCAAGACACCUUGGAAUACUUUAGAGAAUAUGAUUACUUGGUUCUCUCUAGUGAAAUUGGCUAGCCCUUCUUUAGUGUAUCCACACUAGUGCCAAUUUCACCAACCAAAGACAUCUUUANUUUAUAUAGUAUGGAGAAUAGGGUUAAACCCAUGACCUUUCAUUUCAUAUGAUCCAUGGGUUAAACACUCCAUGGACUAUCCAUGAAAGCUUAGCCCAACCUAAAUGAACUUGGCCCAUUCCAUAUAUACAAGAGUCCAUAUUUAAUUAGUUCAUUUUGAUCACUUAAUUAAUUCUAAAUUAAUUCUUGAUCAAUACUAAUUAAAUAAUAUGAUUCCAUAUUAAUAUAUUAGAACUUAUAAUAUAUUAAUAUUAAUCAUAAACAUACUAUUCUCAAAAGAUUAUCCAUAUAAAUUGUGUCGGUGAAGUGCAACCCAAAUGGACCAUGCCGGGUCGGGUCAAGUACAUACCAAAUAUAGUUAUGGACUUAGACAUUAAUCCAACAGUCUCCCACUUGGAUAAGUCUAAAACUAUUAUUGCGUAUGACUUCAAACCUAACUGGCAAUCGUAGCUCUUAAAGCUGCUGUCGAACUCUGAUCUUGUCAACGAACUUGUCCAUUAGAUAAGGGAUCAUAUAUUCCUCCAUUCUAGAUAUCAUAUGGACUGAGACAUGGAUUAUAAUCAUUCUCUCUGUCCAUUUGUUGUUUCCCGAUUUCCGAUUUAUGACGACUGACUAAUUGAACAAAUCAAAUCAGUCCUGGCCCGGCCGAGCACUUCCAUUUGUCAUCAUCAAAUCAUCGAGGGGCCCACAGAUAUCGCUUUUAUCCCGAAGGUAAAAGGAAUGGAUAAACUUCGACUCAUAUGGCUUGUUCUACUACUUGUUGAAUCAUACACAAAGGCACGUUUUAUAGCACCGAGUUACCAAAUGCGUUUUCGUGCAAUCAAUGUACAACCAACUCAUAGUAACAACUCAUAUCUCUAGGUUUGAAGAAUAUAAGAUAUUAUCGUCUCAUGAUCACUCGUGAUAAAAUCCAUGAAGUGAUUCCAAUGAGCGCGGGUUGAAUCCAAUACUCAGAACUUAUGAGCACUCAUGAGUGUUGUAGCCCUUUGUCCAACACCUUAGACCUCUACAAGCCAACCCAUGACAGUCUUAAUUCAUAUCUACUUCCAACAUAUGACCGACUGUGGAUGGUUUGAAUAACUUAGUCAUUCCGGAAGAAUAACCUAGUUUAUUCGGGAAGUCAAAACAUGCAAAGUGAAACACAAUAAUAAUUGAAUCCAAUAUGGUAUCAACCCUUUGAACAUAAAUAAAACACCUUUUAUUUAUCACCAUAUGAUUACACAUUAUUCAUUGUAUACUGUUUCAGCUAUCAACUUUAUUCUUGAAUUUAAAACAAUAGUUGUCCCAUGCUCCAAGCAUGUACACUAUGUUUUCUUAAACACUAGUCAUGCCACACACCAAGUAUGCAUACUAUGUUUGUCUAUGAUCUUUACUUUGUGAACUAGAUCAAUUGAACAUAACUUCAAUGAUUCUCUUUUCACACUCCCAAAUCCUUACUGCAAAUGCAAGAAUUCCAAAUUCAUGCCAUUUACUGAAAUCUGUUAGAUUCUAAACUUAUAUGCAUUGAUCCUCUUGUAAUGAUUAUGCACAAAGUCACAAAGACUUGGCAACAAUCAUUACAGAGUAUUCCAAAGGAGAUCAACUCCUUGGAAAUAUCCUUCUUGCAUUAAGUUUCCUUAAUCUUACACAGAUUGAAAAUUCUAACUUUGAAACAUUUCCAGAUUCCAUUUUGACUAUCACUUCUGAACAAGAGUUGCCUCCUUACAGAUUAUGUCAAUAUGGUCCUUCCAGAAUUAUCACUAUACUUCCAAUUGUCCUUGAGUAACCAAUCUUUGGUAAACCUUAGAUUGUCCUCGACAAUUGUUUAAUCCUUUUAGUCAUAUCCAGUUCUAAACCUUUUCCCUUCUUAAUGCCCCAGGCAUUUGGAAAAUUUUAGAACGGAUGAAUAUAGCACAUGUAAUCGAUCCUAUAUCCGAAGCAUAUGGGACACGAUUCAUGAUGUCUUACAUAAAGACUAAACCAGUCUUUUGCUAUAAUAUUUCCAUUUCAAUUUGCCAAGUUCUCAUAAUUCAGAUUAUGAAAAGGGAUGCCGUAAUCAUAAUCGAAUUUUAGAACGCAAAUAAUGGACCCAUAUACAGAAUUUCCUUAUGUUGAGCCAUUCCAACAUGAAAUUCAUAUAUAUCCUUGACUAAAUGAUUAAAACCUCACGAUCUAAGCUUAUAGAUUUGAGAUGAAGCAUAAUUUCCUCUCCCUUAAUUAUAGCAAAACAACUUUUUCCCAAUUGAAACUUUUGUUUUCUAUAAUUAACAUUGCUAACUUGCAAUACUUAUCAUAAUUAUCAUGCUCCCACUAACAUGAUGAUUAUUAGCAUAACACUUAUGCUCCCACUAGCUUUGACAUGUACUCAGAAAUCAGCUGGACAGUCUGAAAUUUAGAUUCAUACACCCUUUCCGUAGAUAGCUCACCUGUGUGUCUAAGCAAUUUCAAGAACCAUGAAAAGGGAUACCGUAAUCAUGGUCUCAAUUGCUUAGGCAUUUGCCAUUUCUCACAAGUCCAUGUUAGUGUGCCGGUUAACCACACGCGCUCCACUAACGACUUUUGAAAAUGCAAAUAACACAAUUGAUAUCUUCGUAAAAUCUACUUAGUGAAAGCGUUUCCUCACCAUCAUUUUCAUGAAUCGGAGAGAAACCUUAUGACACUUAGAUUUAUAUGGUGUAUGAGUUCCUACCCAUAUGAAUUUGUCAAACCAUAAUCACAAGACAAAGAUAAUGACAAAUCCAAAACCAUAUGGAUUGAACUCAAUCUUAACUUCUUGCCACCUGGCAGCUCAAGGGCCUGCCAUUGCUUCCAAGUUGUUGUGCAACAAAUUGAGAACUCUAAGAACUCAUAUGCAAAACCAACUUUAACUGGAAUGGGCACAGAAUAUGUCAACACGAUAGGUUAUGAACCUCAAGUCGUGUGCUAGUGAAGAACUUUAGGUUUUAUUCUUGAUUAUUUCUUGAGACUUUCAAGACCUUUAAGACUCCCACUGUCCUCUUGACAUAUAAGACUCCCUUGUCAAACAUCCAAGAGAUAGUGCGGAUUCUAAUCAAGAAAAACACUUUACCCAAUUGGCCUAAGUUGGUCUUUGUUUUAUCCAAAACAUCACAACUUACCAAUUUCAAAUGUACAAGAGUAGAAAACUUUUACUCUUACAUUUGACAAGUGUUUUAAACCUUCUUUAAGACAUGUCACUCAAAUGACAAUCUUGGAGUAUGACUCUAAGACUUGUAUUGGAACGAAGUAUGACUCAUCUUCUUGAUUUAACCAUUUCAACAAUUCAAGUUCCUCUUCUUAGUCAUAAGAAUGCACUAAGAUUUCCUUAGAGAACUAAUUUUGAUAUGGUUUCUUAAUCAUUAAGAUGAUCACAAAACUGAUACUAAAGUACUCUCCCAUCUUUUCAGAUUUGAGAAACUUUUAUCCUUCUGCCUUAUUUGAUUCUUCUUAUCGAUCUUUAGUGGUGGACUUAAUCAGUGCACAAGAAUGUGUACUCGAUCCCUAAGUCCUUUACUUGACUCACACAUCCAUGUGAACAAGUAAUUAGUCUUAAUUUUCCAAAACUUGAAAGUUCUCAUUCAUCAUGCUAUACAACUUGCAUGAUUCCAAGUUCCGGUCCAAUUGAAACUUGGGUGAUGAGAAUCUUUCCUUAUUUGGUAAAUUUAGACAUUACCACAAAUGAAAGAAUCAAUUUCAUACUUCCACUCUUGCUACUAAUGGAAUCUUAUAAGCAACAAAAAUUUCCACAGAUGCCAUUGUAAGGAUAUUUUAAAAUAAAUAAAAUCAAAAAUUUCCUUUUAUUUUAAAACUUUGCGGAAAAACUAUCCUUACAAUCCAUAUGAAAACUUGUUGUUAUCUAUUCCUAAGCAAUAUCUCAUAACUCCUAAGAAGUAGCUCAAGAAUCCGAUUUUUCAAACUAUGCGAUAGAAAUCCAUCUAUGCGAUCAGAUUCAGCAUAUUCUUCCUUUAAGUUUCUUCACUUUCCUUUGAUUCUUAAACCAUCACCAUGCGACCCGGUCACAUCAUGUAUCAAGAAUCUCAGAAUAGAAACUUAACAGAGUUAGAUAGUGGAUUUUACCUGAAGUAGAGUCAAACUUAUUGACUUUAACAUCCUUAGGUAAAUUUGGCAGCUUCGCAACCAAUGCCCUUUCUUUGGCAAUACAAACAUAUGGACCCUUUGAUAAUGGUACACAGGACUAUCACAGACUUAGCUUUUCUCUUUACCAUUUGGUCAACCGAGUUGACUAUAGCCGAUCCCUUUCCAUUGGGAAGAGAAUGCUUUACUGGAUAUCCAAUGUCAUCAUUGUCAAUGUCCAUAAAGUUUUAGGAAGUUGAUCUUAGCAAAUAGAUAAGAUCAUUAAGGGUCUUGUCAUAGUCUGUUUCAUAGGUGUCCCAAAGGAACUCACUAUGUGACUUAGAAAGUGGUUGAACCACCAACUUUCUCAAGACUUUGACACCCAACUCUCCCGGCUUGUCAAUAUGUGACUACAUCUCCAAGAUGUGACCACACCUAGACCUUGCCUUGCCAAUAGGGCCUGAGUGACCUUAAACUUUUCAAGAACUUGUGGGUUAGGGAGAAUAAUUUGAAGAGGUGAAGAAGUAUGAUAUCCAUGGGACAUCAUCUUCAUUAGGAAACCUUGUUUCAAGAGAUUUGGGAAGAUCAUAGGUGUCUAAACCAGACAUCUUUUGGGAGAUAUUCAAGAUAGUUGAUUUAAAGUCCUUAAUAUGACACCCAAUAUGAAAUAUUAAGGCUAGGACCCAACAAACUAUUUUAUAACUUAGAAGAGGUAUGCCGUAAUCCAAGCUAUAAAAUAUUUGAAGGUAGGUGAAUGACGAUUCACCAAUUUCCACCAAGAUAAACGAAAUGUAUUAUUAGGUUUUAAUUGGUUUUGAAACUCCUAGAUCUUUGAGAUUCAUUGAACUUUUCAAAGGCAUGUUUCAAUCUCGAGUGUGCCCUUCAGGUUUUGUGACUGGGAUGCCGAGGAUCACAAAACAAGGUGUGAAGUAACCAUGCAAAUCACUUGGUACCCUUAAUAAAUUACCCCUCAAUCGAUGUGCCGGUUAACCACACACGCUCCAUCGAUACUAUGAUAAAUAUUAAGUCACCCUUUACCUACCUUGUUAAGUCCAAGUUAGUGUGCCGGUUAACCACACACGCUCCACUAACGACUUAGACAAAGUGUAAAGUGUAAUUUCAUGGAUUAGCACCUUAUUCACAUUUUUCCUAAGUAACUAAGAUUGGGUAUUAUUAAGAGUUUAGUUACUUAGUAUUAUCAUUAAUACUUUUAAUGAAGGGAGAAUUCUAGUCCUGUCAAACCCGUUCGGCUAACGACCCUCCACCAGUCAAGCAAGCGGUGGGUGAGAGUGGACACCCAUUAAGUUGCCAUUUUAUAGGCAACAACCUUAUACCCACCUUAUAGACCGGCUUCGUGAAUGAGGCGUACUAGCGGUAAGACUGACUUUACUCUUAUACAUAUAUAUAUUAUUAACUUAUAAUAUUAUAAAGUAUAAGGGUUGAAUUUUAACUUUUAAAAUUCUAAGGGCUAACUUGGAAUUAAAGUAUUCAUAAGUGAAAACUUUACAAAUUCCAAAACUUGAGGGCAAGUUUUGAAACUAUUCAAAACUAAUUAAUUCCAUAACUUAUGUGUUUAAAGUAGUUUUAAUCCAAAAACUCUUCAAGUUCCAUAACUUGAGGACAAGUUAUGGAAGACUUUAAACUAAUAAAAGAAUUAACUUUUCUUUAUUUUAUAACUUAUGGAAUUAAUUAAGGUUACCCUUUUUUUUAUUUUAUUUUAUUUUAUUAAAUGAAGAGACUCUUGGUCCUCCAUAACUUGAGGACAAGUUAUGGAGUCAUAAAACCAUUUAAUUAGAACUAGACUCUUCAUUUUUGUAACCUUUGCCAAUUUUUAUGAGUUUUAUGAUUCUUAAAUGUGACUUUUCAUAUAACUUGAGGACAAGUUACAAAAACACAUUUUAGAAUCAAUUCUUAGAUUAAUUUGGAUUAAAACCAACUAUCACAUAAUUUUAUUCAUUAAUCUAAAUUCACUCAUAAAACAAGAUAACACAAAAAACUUUUGGUGAUCCAUAACUUAUUCUUAAGUUAUGGAAUCCUUUAAAACAUUAACACCAAAUUUUGUAACUCCAAAAAAACUUUGAAUCAAUUUUUUUUUUAAAACCUUUUCAUAUCCAUAACUUAUGGAGGUUUCAAAAAAUAAAACUCUUUAGAUCAAACUUUUAAAACUAAUAAAAUAAUCAUAUUAUUUUAUCUUUUAUUAAAUUUGACCUAAUUCAACUCAUAAAGCAAAUUAUUCAAAUUUUACAAAUAAUUAGUUUUUCACAAGAACAAGUAAUUAUCUUAAAAUUUGACGAACUUCAUGUUUUUUUUUUUUUUUUUUUUCAACUUUGAAAAUAAAAUAUUUGCAUCAAUAUAACAGAAAACAACCCGUGGCUCUGAUACCACUGUUGGGUUUUGAGCAUUCUAACACUUCCUAAGUGUACAUGCAACCCUAAAUACCUUGGAUCUAUGUUUUCUCUAUUAUACAUGCAAAUAAGAACAUCCAAGGUAUUAUCCUAAUCUAGCAUACAAAAACUAUGAAUGUAACAAGAUAGAAUACAUACCUCUUGAUGUAGCUUGAUGUCUUCAAGCUUUAAGAGCUUAGCCCCAAUAGUGUGGAAGCCUCAAGUGGAAUCACAAAUCACCAAGACACCUUGGAAUACUUUAGAGAAUAUGAUUACUUGGUUCUCUCUAGUGAAAUUGGCUAGCCCUUCUUUAGUGUAUCCACACUAGUGCCAAUUUCACCAACCAAGGACAUCUUUAUAUAGUAUGGAGAAUAGGGUUAAACCCAUGACCUUUCAUUUCAUAUGAUCCAUGGGUUAAACACUCCAUGGACUAUCCAUGAAAGCUUAGCCCAACCUAAAUGAACUUGGCCCAUUCCAUAUAUACAAGAGUCCAUAUUUAAUUAGUUCAUUUUGAUCACUUAAUUAAUUCUAAAUUAAUUCUUGAUCAAUACUAAUUAAAUAAUAUGAUUCCAUAUUAAUAUAUUAGAACUUAUAAUAUAUUAAUAUUAAUCAUAAACAUACUAUUCUCAAAAGAUUAUCCAUAUAAAUUGUGUCGGUGAAGUGCAACCCAAAUGGACCAUGCCGGGUCGGGUCAAGUACAUACCAAAUAUAGUUAUGGACUUAGACAUUAAUCCAACAUAUACUACAUCAACACCACCUCCACCACCACCACCACCUCCAUCAAUAGACAAUGUUGUUUUCCAGGCUGCCGUAACAGCUGUUGUGAUAUUAGCAAUGACACAAAUGAAUAACAACGGGUCGGGAGGAGGAGUAAAUAGCUCUACAAAUGGCCAACACCACGUCGUUCAGGGGAAUGCACUUACAAGGACUUCACAAAAAGAAAACUCGUAUCCUUUAAUGGGACUGGAGGAGUAAUGGCUCUAUCCCAAUGGAUACAGAAAACGGAAGCAGUAUUCGAGAUCUGCUCAUGCCAAGAAUGAAGAAAAGUAAAAAUUGCUUCAUGUACUUUCUCCGAACUAGCCUAACAUGGUGGAAUGGCCUUGUUAAGUCACUAACACUGGUAGUGGCUAACUCCAUGAAUUGGGAGAACCUGAAACAAAUGCUAAUGCAAGAGUAUUAUCCAAGAGAACAGGUACAGAAGCCCGAGCAAGAGCUUUAGGACCUUACUAUGGUAGGCUCGGACAUCACAACCUAUACCAAUAGAUUCAAUGACUUAGCAAUACUUUGCCCGGGAAUGGUUGCUCUAGAGAGCAAGAUGAUCGAGUGGUAUAUCUGGGUACUGUCACUCCAGAUUCAUGGAAGUGUACUAGCUUCUAAGCCAGUUACUUUCGAUAGCGCCAAACAGUUGGCAUAUGCCCUCGUUGACCAUGGUUUUGCCAAGGAUUCAUGGUUGUUGUUCCGGAGCAACCCAGAGGAAGCAACAACAACAACAACAAUACCAACAACAAAAAGAAGAAGAAGUUUUGGAACAAGAGGAAGGGUCAAUUUUCGCAGGAACCUUCCAAGAAACAACAGAUAGUAGCAGUCCAUGCCGUUACUGCUCCCACCGGUGUUCCUGUUACCCCUAUACCAGCAAAGCAAUAUGCUGGAAACCUACCAAAGUGCGGAAAAUGCAAUUUCCAUCACAACGGGAAUUGUCGGGAGAUGCACUGUAAUAACUGCAACAGGAAAGGGCACACUGCCCGUUUCUGUAAGGCACCGACACGACCAAUCACCAAAGUUCCUGGAGUCGGUGUGGGCGAGGCAUGUUAUGGGUAUGGUGAAGCUGGCCAGUACAAGAGAGAUUGCCCUAAGGUAAGGAAUGCUGGCGGCGUAGGAAGAGUGUUGGAAAUAGGGCAAAACAAAGCAAUAGUUGAUCCCACAGUGGUUAUGGGUACGUUUCUCCUCAAUAGCGCUUAUGCAUACAUACUCUUUGAUUGAGGUGUGGAGAGGAGUUUCGUUAGCCAUGAAUUCAAACUCUUACUUAAACAAAACCCCCAAUCACUUAAUAAGAUCUUUAUAGCAUAAAUGGCAAACGGUAAAACCGAAAGUAUAAACAAUGUGUACGUAGGUUGCAUGCUAGAUUUAAAUGAACACUCAUUCCAAAUAGAUCUAAUGUCAAUCACUAUAAGAAGAUUUGAUGUCAUCAUCGGUAUGGAUUGGUUAAGCCUUCACCAUGCCGAUAUAUUUUGUCACAAAAGGUUCGUUCGCCUUAAUCUACCAAAUGGCGAAACCCUUAUCAUUUAUGGUGAGAAACCCGGUACCAAUUUACAAAUCAUCUCUUGCGUCAAAGCCCAAAAAUACCUGCGCAAGGAAUACCAUGCUUUCCUAGCACAUGUGGUAGAUAAGGAAAAAGAAACGAAAGAUAUCAAAGACAUUCCAGAAGUCUACGAUUUCCCCCGACGUCUUCCCUAAAGAUUUUCCAGGAGUUCCACCAGAAUGUCAAGUUGAGUUUAGAAUCGACUUGAUUCCUGGAGCUACCCCAGUAGCAAACUCACCGUACCGUCUAACACCGGCAAAGAUGCAGAAAUUAUCCAGCCAACUAAACGAGCUACUCAACAAAGGAUUCAUCAGGCCGAGCUUCUCACCUUGGGGAGCACCAGUCCUAUUCGUAAAGAAGAAGGAUGGAUCUUUUCGCAUGUGCAUCGAUUAUCGGGAACUAAACAAGCUCACAAUCAAGAACUGAUAUCCUCUACCGUGCAUAGACGAUUUGUUCGACCAACUCCACAGAACAAGCUACUUCACAAAGGUUAAUUUAAGAUUCGGGUAUCACCAGCUGUGAGUCUUGGAAGGAGAUGUUCCCAAGAUGAUAUUUCAAACUUGUUAUUGUCACUACAAGUUUGUAGUGCUUCCCUUUGGAUUAACAAAUGCACCAACGAUGUUCAUGGACUUAAUGAACCGAGUAUGUCAUUAUUUCCUAGACAAAUUUGGGAUCGUGUUCAUAGAUGAUAUACUCAUCUUUUCAAAGAGUAAAGAAGAACAUAGUCAACACCUCUGGCAGGUCUUGGAAACAUUAAGGGCAGAGAAGUUAUACGCAAAAUUCUCAAAGUGUGAAUUUUGGAUUCGGAAAGUUGAUUUCCUAGGUUAUAUACUCGGCAAAGAAGGGAUACACGUGGACCCUUCCAAAAUCAAGGUAAUCGAGAACUGGUCAGCUCCAAGAACCCCAUCGGAAAUCCGACAAUUCUUGGGCCAUGCUGGCUAUUACCGAAGAUUCAUACAAAAUUUCUCGAAGAUUGCUAAGCCAUUUACCACCAUGACUCAGAAGGGUGUAACCUUCAGCUGGGAAGAAAGACAAGACGCUAUGUUCCGAACACUGAAACAUGCCCUAUGCAGCGCACCUAUAUUAUGUUUACCAGAAGGAACUGAAGACUUUGUGGACUACUGCGACGCAUUGUAAGUUGAAUCCUUUGAGUUGUGUGUAAGUAAUAUCAUUGAAAACCUUCAGUUGUAAAAGUACGAUAAUAAAUCUCAUGUGAGUAACAUAGAUGAACAAAAGUUUUGCUUGUUGACAAUAGUAGUGGUGCAAACUUCCAUUAGUAAUAGAUACUUACUUCAAGAUGUUAGCUUAGACUUAAGUCUUAGUGUAUUAAUUUGGAUAAAGGUGUAACCCCUUAUGUAACCAGACUGAAUGAUAAUAGAGAACCCGAUGACCUUCCCGGUCAUGCAUAGUGUAGUGAUGUAGUUGCACCCCUAGGCCUAGUCGGCUCGGACUGUAGUUAACAGUCAGGAUGUAAUAGUGUCUGCCCCGUAUAGAUUUGUACAUGUAGUGUUGCCUUCCUUCCGGAAAGCCCUGAUCACAUGGUGUAAGCACAGUAGAGUAUCUUUUAGAGGGAUAGUGUGUUAUACUCUGGAUUAGUGUAUUCUCUUGUAUUAUAGUAUAGUAGUCUUUUUGUACAUUUCAUAGAGUGUUCUUUUAUACGUGCAUUAACUUGUAGUAAUAUAGUUAUAGUGAGUAUAGUAGUAGUAGAGGUAAUGAGCAGUAGUCUUAACUAUACCCAUUAUAGUUAACUAGAGUGAGUAUAGUCGGACGGAUAACAGAUACCCUAAGACCACAUCAAACAAGAACAGGAAAUAAGGCGAGCUAUCGGUCCUAAGUCCUUCAAGUCUUACUUCUAUAAAUAUAUUAGUGUAGAUAUAUUUUUAAAAAGAAAAAUGAUUUAAACACAGUUUUGAAAAUAGUUUCACAACAAUAUAAUCUUAAAAAUGCAUUUGAUAAACAACUAAAACAGUUUUAUUGGUAAACAACUAAAAGUGUAGAAAAUCCCUUUUUGAUGAUAAUUUGUGAAUCACAUAAGAUUUGAUAAUAAAUCUUGUAGAAUUAUACUUGUAUCCCCCCCCCCCCCNNNNNNNNNNNNNNNNNNNNNNNGGUUCAUUAAGGCGUAUGAACUCACUGUUUAUUGUAGGGUUCGAGUAUGCAACUCGUAUGAGUGUCAAGUGUCAACGGAUGCUCUGAACGCACGUAGCCCCUAUUAAUUAUACGCUGACACAUAUAUAAGUUAGAGCUAAGGUGUUUUCAUGACUAAACAUGAUGGGAAAUCCCUCCUAAGGGCUUGGAAUCACUAAGACUAAGUGUCCCAUGUUCUAUACCCAAUGAUCUAUGCAUGUUUAAGGCCAAAUAUGAGUAUUAGGGUGUGUGUAUGGCCAUAAAGGUGAGUGUGUGGCAGGGGUAUGCGGCCAGACUUGUGAGUGAGGCUGUACACUAGAGUGUGAGGCCGUAUAGGGUGUGUGUGCGGCCGUACACUCCUUGCUUGUGUCCCAUGUGUCGAUUGCGUGGCCUUACUCUCACUUUGGAGGGUAUUAUGAGUGUGUGCGGCCACAUGAUAAAGGUGUGCGGCCACACUCUCUCAUAGGAUGAAGAACAUGAAGAACAUUAUGAGUUUGAGGCUUGGAUUUAAGUGUUUUACCUCUAUGACAAGCUAAAUGAUGGUGUUCUUCAUGUUUUGGGAGCCUUCUAAGUGUUCUUGGGUGGUUUUCUAGAGAGAGAAAGUAUAGAGAGAGAAAGGAUGCAGCAAAAAGUGAAUGGAAGGGGGUCCUCCACUUUAUAUAGGGUUGAGUGUGAGGCUGGAGGGGUUUGCUGCUGGGUGUGCGGCUGGCUUGGCCACACACACUAGUGUGCGGCUGCACACACCUCUCUUGGUGUGUUUGGUUGGAUUUUGUGAUGAAACACCCUUCCUAAUCCUUCCUAAGGUCCAUAUCUAUGAUAUAUUAAGCCUAAAACACUAGCGCUGACUCAAUAUACUAUUAAAAGACGCUAAAUUCAAGUGAAUUAUAGAUAUAUGGAUCGAUUGCUGAGUGUAAAAGUGUCUGGUUGUCACAAUAGAUCUAUACGGGAUUGACAAUACCGCACCUAAACUGUCAGGUACAGUUAGACUGGCAGGUCUGGGGUGACAAACUUCAUAACACUCCAACGCCUGAAGAACAUUGUUACAGGAAGUCUGGGUCAAUAGUAUGGUUAUAAAACUCACAUGAAAUAUUAAAACAUUUUGGUUUAUGGGGCUAUCAAACGCCUUAGUGGUUAUAUAUACAUAUAUAAAUCUACUUACACUAUAUUAGGUAUGAAAAUACUUAUGCAUUCUGUUUUUUUGGAACUUUUAAAACUACCAUUCACUUAUGGAAAAUAUUGGAUUUUGUAGAAACAAACUUAGUUAAUUUAUACAGAAAGGCAUACAAUUCUUAUACAAAAACGCUUAUGAACAUACCAACUUAAUUGUUGACACUAUUUCAAAACUACUUGUAUUUCUUAGGGAUUCAGUAACACAUGUAAACAACAACUUUUGGGGGAAGGGGCGCUAAGGCGUCAUUUUCCAACGUAUUAUAUCAUCUUAAUGUAAUUUAUUUUGAAACAUGUAUUACAAGCAACAAUGUAACUUUUUAAAUUAUAUUUAUGGUGGUUUUGUUUGCUUUCUUUACUAUUUACUCAACUGUUAUAUUCCAUUUUAUUGACAAAUGAAUUCAUCAUUUUUGCCAUAUUAUGCAUAGGAUUUGGUAUAUAUUCUAUUUUAUUGACAAAUGAAUUCAUCAUUUUUGCCAUAUUCUCCAUAGGAUUUGGUAUUUUAUCAUGCUGUUAGCAAGUCAUAGGAUACUAAUUGAAUACAUGGUUAUGUCACUUGUGACAACCCGAAAAAGUUUUGCUUUAAAGACCCAGUCAAUCAACUCAACUGAGUGUCAUACUAAUUUUUUCUAUCUUUUAGCCAUAUUUAGAGUCCGUUUGAAGGUUCAAAGCUCCGUACAUUCAAGCAUUGAGCAUAGCAAUGGAUCGCAUAGACUUCUAGCACCAAAAUCGAGCCUUACACUCCAACAUAAGGAGUGUACGGCCACACACAUGGGUGUGCGGCCGCACACCCCUCUUCUAGUAGCACACUCACGUGUAUAAAUGUAGAUCUCAUCCUCCUUUAAUCCCUUUUCACACUCCCAAGCCUAGAACUCGAUUUCUCUCUCAACUAUCAUCCGAUUUUCAACUUAGAUCUUCAAGAAUGUAAGUGUUCUUCCCUUGAUUUGUUGUCAAUCAUCUUAAACUAGUUACAUCCUUUGAUUUCAUCCAUUUGAAAUCAUAUUUUGGCUAGAUCUUCAAAUUUUCAACCAUUUCACCAAGAACACACACCUGUUCUUGGUCUCGAGCUUCUAAAUCGUAAGUACUCUUUCAUUAAGCUUAGAAAUUGUUAAUAACACUUUUUUGAGCCUUAAAACUGCCCAGAGUUCAAGAACAUAUGGUGUGUGCGGCCGCACCCAUAGUUGUGGUCGUACACCCCUCAAAUACCCCUCAAAACACCCUUCAAACACCCCUAAAGGCUUCCCUAUUGUAGGGACCAUUCCCUAAGCCUUUAACUUACAAGAUAUGAGCCUUAGAAAAUGUCCAAACCAUUUUAAUCAAGGAGUGUGUGGGCGCACACACUACAUAUGGCCGUACACCCUUUGUUUAGUGCUUAAGGGCCUCCAAAGUGCCUUUCUAGCUUCAACACUUGAUGAGCAUCAGUCCUACAAACCUCCCUACCAUUUGGAAAACAUUUUGCGCACUCUUUACCAUGAGUGUGCGGCCGCACACUCCCUAGCCGCACACUCCUCAAAGUGGUCGUACACUCCCUUUUAGUGAAUCACAUAUGAUUCCGACAAUUGGUCAAAGUGUUUCCUAGUCCUGUAAGGUGUUUCAUUGAAUUUGGUUGCUUCCAAACACUAUAUUUAUGUCAGUAUAUGCCAUUAUAUUUCAUUUAGGACUUGUUAAGUCUCGGGACUUCAUUCGUGGAACUUCUCAUCCUUACACGCAUACCCGUUUGAAUCACCCACAUCAGGUGAGUACAUACCCCGUAAUGAAUAUUUUAACUGUUUUAAAUGCUUUUAAGGGAGGGGGGAUGCAAGUUAAAGACAAUGAUAAUUGUGUAACUAUAUGUUAUAAACAUCUUUCAAAAUGUUGCUUAUAUCUUCUAUAAGUGGUCAAAACAUUUCGAAAACUAUUUUACAGUUAUGUUGCUUUAUAGUUUAACAAAACUCCGUUUUUUUUAGUAUAAGCAUAACUUGGUAGUAAAAUGAGUCUUUUCAAUAACAGUUCAAGUAGAAUACUAGUAAACUAUAAUGGGUAUAGUUUAGGGAUUCAGAAUAUACUAGAUACAAUACACGAUAACAAAGACAACAUACAAUAUGCUAUACGACAGAACAUACUAAGACACUAUAACAAGAGAAGAUACUAAAGUACUAUAACAGAACGAACAUACUAAGUUGCUAUUGCAUGGAACACUUACAGGAUCUUACUAUACAAAUGAAUCACUAACGCAUUGUUCUAAACAAAAGGUGAUAGUUAUAUUGGGUAUACAUGAUCAUAAAAUUUUAAUGUGGAUGUUUACGGCUUGAAAUUAUUUGCAGAGGUCACGUUUGGAUCCCAGAAUCUUUUGACAGGGAGAGCGUUUAGUAUGGGAUCUAGCCAUCACAUUUUACCUUAGUAAUCAAUUUAAGGUAAUUAGCACAACAGUAGUUACUAUGUACAAUACUACAACACUUACAUUAUCUUGUUUCUUUCCUAAAGUGACAGUACCACUUGAAAAUCAACGUAAACUAUUUUGGAGUCAAGAUAGUUAUAAACUAGGGAAAACUUACAUUUUACAAAUGAUAAACAGAACAGUUGGGUCUAGUACAAUAAGUAGAAAGGGACCAUAAUGCUAACCUUAUGAUUCCUUAAUGUAUACAUCAGGAGAUAUAUAUUAGUAAGACCAGAUAAAUNUAGGUAAUAGGAUGUGUGCUUUGCGCUUCAUUUUCUGUUCCUUGUUUGGUUGUGGGCUUAAAGAAGACUCACCCAGCCUAUUAUCUAUUCGAUCUUAGUUAUAUAUUGGUUCCAUACACAUUAAGUCAUUAUAAGGGGUACCAGGUAUGGGUCAAGUCAUAGGACACUAAUUCAAUGCACAGUUUUCUAGUACAAAACAUACCUUUCAAAGAGAACUUUUGGUAAACAAAACUAGAAACUUACCAGUAAAGGGUUUAAUCCAUUUUAUUAAACCAGUGUAGACUUAAAGGACUUUAGGUGAUAGAAUCUAUAAUACCUUAGUUUAAACAUCAUGUUUAUAUAUUAUUAAUACCCAAAAGGUAGUUGGAUGUGUGUUUUCUGCCUUAUUUCAUGUUCCUUGUUUGGUUGUGGGCUUAGGGCAGAUUCAUCCAAUCAACUAUCUAUUCGAUAUUAGAUUAUAUAUAGAAGUAUAAACUAAGUGAUUAUAGAGGUAAUCAUUGUGGUCUCUAUUUUAUUAUAAGAAAAAAUAGGUUUUCUGAAAGGAUCUUUUCAUUAACUGUAAAGGAACUAUUACAAUUAUCUCCACAAGUAACAAGUGAAUACACCUAGGUUAUAUACAACGAGGAUCUAACAAACAAUGGGAUGUGUGCUAUCUGCCUUACUUCCCGUUCCUUGUUUGGUUGUGGGCUUAGGGCAGAUGUGCACAAUUGAUUGUUUGUUUACUCUGAGUUUUAUAUAACUUGUAUCCGUUUAGUACUCAUAGAAAGGAUUGUAGAAUCGUUUUUAUGUAUCUCACAUAAAAUUAGGAAAUAUAGGAUUUUCUAGAGGAACAGGCAAACCUUUCUAAAAACAGAACGUAUAACUUACUACUUUUCAACUACAUUUUUCAACAACUUUCUACAACUUACUUACAUCACUAAAAUCUUAUGAACUCACCAACUUAAUUGCUGAUAAACUCUUUCAAAUAACUUGUAUUCUCAGGAAACUAGUAGACAGGUACCCACUCUGGGAGUUUAGAAGAUGGAUCAUUUUAGUUUCAAGUCUUGUUUUGUUGUUUGCUUAUGUAAUCUAUCUUUUGUGAACACAUACUUUGUAAACACUUUCUUUCUAAUGAAAUGGUUGUUCAUUACUUGCUUACUAUGAUACAUGUCUUGUGAUACUAAACAUGACGUCCUCCACCCCCGAACGUUUCCGCUGUUCCGGUUUUGGGGUGUGACAGAUUGGUAUCAGAGCAUUAUUUAUAGUGAACUAAGUAUAUCAAUCGAUAAAAGAUAUACAACUAUAAAUACAAUGGGGCUUAAGCUCUCUGGGUAAUGAUAUAUUUUAAGUGUAUAACGAUAAGUUAUAAAAAUAUACGUACUUGUUAUACUUGUACACUAGAACAAGUAUCACGAGAAGAACAUAACUAAAGUAUUUAAAGGUUGAAUAUUUUCGUCAAACCUGAACGGUUAUGUAAUCAUAGCUAGAAUCACUAUAGCCCGAUCAACUAUAUUUAUUCGAGAUGUGACCGAAAUGUGUUUGGGAGUAAUGUGGUGUGGCAACAGUCUUAAAACUUACCAAAUUCUAUACAAGAGAUUCUAGAUCAGAACAUGAAAGUUAGAAUACUAUAGGAGUAGUCUAUGAUACCAUAGAACGAUAUCAAGUUUGAAACAUACUAAGUACUUUAGACUCUAUAUAAAUAACUUAUGUCAUAACUUAAAAGACCCUUACAUAUAGGUCUAUAAUUUUCAAUGUAUACUCCCAAGGUUAUAUACAACUAGGGUUUUAUAAACUUAGAAUUUUGAUCUAUGCUUCACUACCCAUUCCUUAUUUGGUUGUGGUUUUGGAGUAGAAACAUUUAUCCGAAGGUCUAUUUAAUCUUGAAUUCUAUACACCUUGUGUACAUUGUAUAAUUAUAGCAGGACUCUGUAAGGAUCUCCCCGUGAAGUUACCUUAAAUCUCAUAAGAUUCUUUAGUCAUUUCCAUUCUCGCACGACAAGCCCAGAUGGGUGUAACCACUUCCUCAUAGUAGACAAGAGAAGAGUUGAGGAGGAAUAAAAGCAAGUUCAUGAGGAGCUUUCAAAGAGGUAUCAACAGAAGUAACCAAAACAUCUGACACGUCACACUAAUAAAUAAUAAUAUUGUUAACUUAUUGAGCGAGUGGAGACACUGCUCACAUUAUGUAUUAGGAUUAUUUUCUUGCAUGCAACUGAUAACAGUUAUUCAGGCAACAUGUAUUCAUUCGAGGAUAGCCAUUUCUAAUUCAUAAAGUUCAUUUGGUAUAGACUUUUAAUGAAUUGUAUCUAGAACCAUGUGGAAUUCAUGACCCAAUACACCCAGAACUAGGAUACUCUUGUCUUUUUCAGCUUUCGACUUGUGUCUAUUGCUAUAGACUUAUUCCCAUCUCAUCUUUGUACUUUUUUUUAGCAAAUAUGCCUCCUCGUAAAUCUAUCAGACGCACUAUUCCGAUAACUCCAACACCUCCUCCACAAAUCGAUGUGGCAACUCUGAAUGCGGCAGUAGCUGCAGCUGUGGCAACAACCAUGGCUCAACAUCAUCCUACCAGUUUCGGUAGAGGUGGAACACCUGUUCAUGCUAUUCAAAGUGAGGUCCCUAUGCGCUCGAGACAGUGCUCCUACAAUGUGACAACCCAUAAUUUAUUUUGUCACAGUAAACCAUUCCCGUUAAUAAAACCGUUUGUAUUUCAAUUUUCCGUUAACUUUUGAUUUAUAUUAAUUAUAUUGUGACUUUUAUUAUAAACUCGUGAGUGUCCAAACCCAUUAGAAACGCAUAAAAAUACCCUCAUUAUUUAUUUGGAAAAAAAUUUAGUUACGACUAAGUCGGGUUACGACAAUUUAAUCGGGUAAAAUAUUAAACCCCGUUUAACGUCGGCGUUGGGUGGAUCUCCACUUGGACACAAAAUCAAACCCUAUAUAAGAGUUAGUGGACCUUCAUUUAAAGCCUUUUGUCCACCCUCAUAGCUUUCUCUCUCUACUCUCUCUCUCUCUCUAAAACUUGAGUUUGAUCUAAAAACAUCCCUUUCAAGCUUCAAAUUGGUAAGUAAUCUAUCCUAGCUUGUUACUAAGCUUGUUUAUCAUGCAAAUUCGUGUGUAAAUCAUCCAAAUGCAUCAAGAACAUGUGUUUACGGUUUGGGAACCCUCCCAAAACCGUAAACUCCUUUAAAGAGGGUUUUGAAGCCCCAAAACCCUUCUAAAUCACUUCUAGUGCUUAGAUAUGACUUAAGGCCUUGCAUGAAUGGACUUAGAAAGCCAAAAUCUUACCAUUUGAGGAGUAAACAUGAUUUUACGGCCCAAGAACAUGCUUGGACUGUAAACCCUCAUUCAUGGACCAUAAACACCAUUUAAGGGUGUCAAAGUGCCCCUAACACCUUGUAUGACUUAGAUUUGGGUCUAGAACUUAGCAUGCUUAACCUACAACCACCAAAUCACAUGAAUCAUGGGCAAACAUGAGUUUACGUCCGUAAAAUCAUGUGUUUACGGCAGCAAACUCACCAAGAACACUUUCAUAAACCAUAAACUCCUUUCCAAGGUCAAUUCAGAUACCGAUCACUUCCUAAGCCUUUAAUUCAACCCUAGAACCUUCCCUUGUGCAUUGUAAGACCAUUUAGCAUCAAAGAACAUAUCACCCAUGAGUUUACGGCCAUAAAAUCAUGGGGAUAUGGUCUUUGGACUGUAAAAUCCCCUUAGGGCUUACUCUUGAAGAGUAAACCCCUUAUAUUGGCCCUACACACCGUUAGAUGCAACCCGGAUCACUCCUACCACUUGAAAUAAAGUGUUUUCGCAUCUCGGAGUGUAUUGUCUUACUUAUUUGGUAGUUCAAAGUCUAAUUAGAUACAAUUAUGUAUAUCUUCAUAUUACAUAGGAACCUCGCGUGUUUUCAAGCCCCGAACUGACACUUAGCAUCCUAAUCGGCGCAUUUCUCGACUGGUGAGUUCAUACCCCUACUCUUUUUCUGAGUUUUUCAUGUUUUCAAGGGGGAAUACAAGCNUGAAAGAAGCAAACCAUAAAAGUUUAAAUAACUUAAAAACUGAUGUAAUUAUACGAUUUUCUGAUGAACUUUUAGAUAUCUUUAUCCCUUUUGUGAUAUGCGGAGCAUAAGGGAUGUUUUCUGAAUAUAAUUACAUUGUUUUCAAUACAUUGUGGGGAAAUUUAUCAAACCAAUCAAAUUAUUAUGGGAAUAAUUUUGGAUAUUCAUUACUUGUUUCACGGAUUCAGAUUUCAUGAAAAGACGAUAUAUAAACUAUGUCUGAUUUAGUUUAUCCAUGUUUAAUCUAGAGUAUCAUGCUAAAUAAUUACUUUGUAUUUAAUUAUUUAUACUCUAUUACGGUUCAAACGAUUUCGAAACUCGAUAACGACCAAGUGUACCGUGAAUUAUUUAAUACUAGCUUGUGAGAUACGUCUUCGUUAUACCCUUCGGGGUACCAGUAAAUCCUCACCGGAAGUAUAACCGGAGUCUCCUAGACGGAGAGCCUGAAAUUUGUGGAUAGAUCUAUUCAGGUCUGACAAUCCCACACCUUAACUGCUAGCUAUAGUUAGGCCUGGGGUGAAAAAUUUCGGAUAUCGUUUGACACCUGAAGAACGUCAACGAGGUCACGGGUCAAAUCAGUAUGGUUAUACGACUCACAAUACGUAUUAAACUAAAUAGUUUUAUUCACAAAUUUAUUUCUUUCAUUCUUCUAUAGCCUUAUUUAUGUAAUAGACUACCUACUUUCGUACUGGAGGGUAUUCCAGGGUUCUUAAUCUAUAGUUUUAUCUAUUAAAACAACCUACUUUCGUACUGGAGGGUAUUCCAGGGAUCUUAACUUAUGGUUUUCUUAUCGUGCUGGUGAUAACCGAGGUUUUUCUUAUCUUAUGGAAAUCGACUUACAUGUUAGAAAAUAUGGGAUUUUCUGGGAAAACAUGCAUAUGUAUUUCAUAACUAUGUAUCAAUGGUUUUCGAUAUUACAGAAAUCUUUAUCAAAGGAAAUGAAUUAUUUAUCAUAAGAUUAAAUAACCAGUUUUCCUUUAAAACAUGCUUACGAACUCAUCAGCUUUAUCUUGAUAUUUUUAAAAUUGCUUGUAUUCUCAGGUCCUCAUUAGACAGGUAUCCCGCGAUAUUUGUGAGAAGACAGAGCAUUUUAGUAGUCUUGUCUUUACUUUUGUUCAUUUUGGAUGUAUAUAUCUAUAAUCAUGUAUAAAUUUACUUUCGAACAAAUGUAAAUACUUCUAUGUAAUGUAAUGGUUGUGUUUACUACGCUUACUCUGUAGAUUUGUUGUGAUACUACGCAUGACGUGACCUCCGCCCCUGAACGUUUCCGCCUUCGGUUUCGGGGUGUGAUAGAUUGGUAUUAGAGCCCUUGUUUACAGUGAACUAAGUAUAUCGAACCUUACAUGGUAUAAGACUAUAAACACUAAGGGGCCAAAGUGCUCUGAACUAAAAGUAUACAUUAAAAUAUAAGUAUGUUUCAAAAGUAUACAAGAAUACCUAAAUGUUAGAUACCGUAACUACGAGUAGAACAAAACAUAAGUAAUUGGGUGUUGGACGCUGCGGUUAAACCUGGGCAGUUAUGUAGCCAUGUCUAGGGUCAAUACAGCCUGAUCAACUAUAUUCAUUCGAGACACGACCAGCAUGUGCUUGAGAGUGACUGUGGUGUGCAACAUGCCUAAAACAUACCUAAUAUCCAAACAAUGAUUCAUCGUUGCAGCGUAACAUAAAAUAAUAUGGGAGUAUUUUCUAGAGCUAACUUCAUUAUAUAAAUUCUCAUUCAAGUGUUGCUACUCAUUCAUUCCUUUAGCAAAAAAUUUCUUGGCUUGUUAGCUUUCCUAUAUUAUCGCAUAGUAGAACACUUUAUCUGUCAUAAUGAGAUAUCUCUUGUUCCAUAUCUCUUGAUUCAAUUCAGAGGACUUACCAUCCUCUCUUCCUGAUCAUUUUAGAUCAAGAUGCCUCCAAGAAAGAGACCCAGUCCAAAGAACAACAACCCUCCACCACCACCUCCUCCUCAAUUUGAUCAUGUGAUGUUCCAUGCAGCUGUUACUGCCGCAGUGGCAGCCGCCAUGUCUCAAAUGAACCCCAGUGGUCCAGGAGGUGGUACCCAAUCUGAAAACCAAGAAGGUAGUUAGGGACACCGGAAGGAGUAUUCCUACAAAGAAUUUAUGAACGCGAAACCCACAACCUUCAAUGGCACUGGGGUGUUAUUACUCUGACACGAUGGUUUGAAAAGAUUGAGUCAAUUUUCAAAAUCUGUGCCUGUUCAGAAUCUGAUAAGGUGAAAUUCUCCGCCUGCACGUUCACCAUUAAAGCCUUGACUUGGUGGAAUGGCCGAGUCAAAUCCUUAACCCUACAUGUAGCAAAUAUUAUGGGUUGGGAGGUCAUGAAAGAGCUUCUACUUGCGGAGUACUUCCCUCGGGGCGAAAUGCAGAAGCUAGAGAAUGAACUAUGGAACCUAAACAUGAAGGGUUCCGAUAUCUCCGCCUACACUUCCAGAUUCGAUGACUUGGCGCUAAUCUGUCCGGGAAUGGUUACCCCGAAGAGUAAAAAGAUUGAGAGGUUCAUCUGGGGGUUGACCCAGCCAACCAAGGGUAAUGUCUUAGCUGCGAAGCCGGAUACAUAUGACAGCGCUAAAUGUCUGGCGCAAACUCUGAUUGAUCAUAGAGACAAUCCUGAUGAGGCGGUCACUGCUCUUGAACCGGAUAAAGGUAGUGGUGAAAAUAAAAAGAAAUUCUGGAACAAACGGAAUGGUCAGGGUUCGCAAGGAUCCUCCAAGAAGUAGCAAAUUGUGGCAGUCCACGCUGCUACUACUCAUGUUGCUGAUUCUGCUGUCGCUUCCACAACUCAAACCUCUACCAGUGAAUACAGUGGUACACUUCCCUGGUGCAGCAAGUGCAGCUACCAUCAUCGUACUCCCGGCUCUGCAACAACUGUGGCAAGAAGGGCCACCUUGCUCGAAACUGCAGAACACCAGCCCAAUCAACAAAUCAAGCUUCCGGAGCAGGUGUCGGUCAGCCCUGCUACGGUUGCGUUGAAGUCGGGCAUUUCAAGCGAAACUGCCCCAAGGCAACAACAACUAGUAACACUGGGAUCCUAGCUAUGGGACGAGAGGUGGCAAUCGCCGAUCCCACUGUUGUCUCGGGUACGUUCCUUCUCGACAACUCUUAUGCUAGUAUCCUUUUCGAUUCUGGUGCUGAAAGAAGUUUUGUUAGCCAUUCAUUCAAACAUCUCCUUAAGCAUAAUCCCCAACCAUUAACUGAAACAUUUACCGUUAAGAUGGCUAACGGUGAGAAAGAAAGCACUAGCGAUAUAUUCAUAGGUUGUACCCUUACCCUGAACGAUCAUUCUUUUCCCAUUGAGCUGAUGCCAGUUUCCAUAAAGAGCUUUGAUGUUAUCAUUGGCAUGGAUUGGUUGAGUCCCAAUCAUGCUGAUAUCCUUUGUUAUGAAAAAGCCAUCCGUCUCAAUCUCCCCUCUAGCCAAACUCUUAUGAUCUACGACGAUAAACUUAGUUCCAAUCUCCGCAUCAUUUCCUGCAUCAAAGCUCAAAAACUCUUGCGAAAGGAGUGUUACGCAUUCUUGGCUAAUGUAAUCAACGAGAAACAGGAAGUUAAUGACCUUGAGAGCAUCCCCGAAGUCUGCAACUUUCCUGAUGUCUUUCCCAAAGAGCUUCCGGGAAUUCCUUCCGAACGUCAAGUUGAGUUCCGCAUCGAUCUAAUCCCUCGAGCUACUCCUGUAGCCAAAUCUCCCUAUCGCUUAGCUCCAGCAGAAAUGAGGAGUUAUCCAGUCAGCUUAAUGAGUUGCUCAACAAAGGGUUCAUCAGACCGAGUUCCUCACCCUGGGGAGCUCCGGUAUUGUUUGUAAAGAAGAAAGAUGGAUCCUUCCGGAUGUGUAUAGAUUACCGUGAGCUGAAUAAGUUGACCGUCAAAAACCGUUAUCCUCUUCCUCAAAUAGACGACCUUUUCGAUCAACUUCAGGGAGCCAGCUACUUCUCAAAGAUAGACCUUAGUUCAGGAUACCAUCAGCUACGAGUUCAUGAGAGUGAUGUUUCCAAAACAGUUUUCAGGACUCGGUAUGGACACUACGAGUUCGUAUUGAUGCCCUUCGGUCUAACCAACGCACCGGUAGUGUUCAUGGACCUGAUGAACUGGGUGUGUCGCCCCUUUCUGGACAAGUUCGUUAUCAUAUUCAUUGACGAUAUACUUGUCUACUCCAGAAGCGAGGAAGAUCACAAACAACACUUGAGGUUAGUGUUGGAAACUCUUAGAACGGAGAAGCUGUAUGCGAAAUUCUCCAAGCGCAAGUUCUGGAUUCGAAAGGUAGCUUUCCUUAUUCACGUUGUAAGCGGGGAGGGUAUACAUGUGGACCUGUCUAAAAUCAAGGCGAUAGAGAAUUGGUCGGCACCGAAGACACCAACAGAAAUCCGUCAAUUCUUGGGUCUCGCUAGCUAUUAUCGUAGAUUCAUCCAGAAUUUUUCCAGAAUCGCCAAACCCAUGACCACUCUGACACAGAAAGGUGUACUCUUUUGUUAGAGUGAGAAGCAAGACACUGCAUUCCAUACGUUGAAGCAAGCCUUGUACAGCGCACCUAUCCUGUCCCAACCCGAACUGACGGAGGACUUCGUUGUUUACUGCGAUGCGUCCUAUCAGGGUUUAGGAUGUGUGCUUUUGCAGAGAGGAAAAUUUAUCGCUUAUGCCUCGAGACAACUGAAGGCACACGAAGUUAACUACACGACUCAUGACUUGGAGUUAGGAGCAGUGGUCUUCGCACUGAAGAUGUGGAGACAUUAUCUUUACGGAACUAAGUGCACGGUCUUCACUAACCAUAAAAGCUUGCAGCACAUCUUCAAUCAGAAAGACUUAAACAUGAGGCAACGACGAUGGGUAGAGCUGCUCAGUGACUAUGAUUGCAAAAUCCGCUACCAUCCCGGUAAGGCCAAUGUGGUAGCAGAUGCCCUCAGCCGAAAGGAAAGAUCAAGCAAUAAAGUGAAGAAGUUUACGAUGACCAUCCAUUCCCACUUAUCCGUACAGAUCCGAGAAGCCCAGUUGGAAGCCCUCAAACCAGAGACCGUGUCGAGGGAAGCCUUGAGGGGAAUGGAUAAGAAACUUGAGAUCAGAGGUGAUGGAGUCUCUUGUUUCAUGGAUCGAAUCUGGACCCCAAAGUGUGGAGGUUUCAGGGAAGUUGUUAUGAACGAAGCUCAUAAGACCAAAUACUCUGUUCACCCAGGUUCGGAUAAGAUGAACCUAGAUCUCAAGAAGCAAUACUGGUGGCCAAACAUAAAAUCCGAAAUCACUGCCUUCGUGGGGAACUGUAUGACUUGCGCCAAGGUAAAAGUCAAGUAUCAGAAGCCCUCGGGUCUGCUCCAGUAGCCUGAGAUACCUGAGUGGAAAUGGGAGAUGAUCACCAUGGAUUUCAUCACCAAGUUACCCAAAUCUCCAAGUGGGUACGAUACCAUUUGGGUAAUUGUCGACCGUUUGACAAAAUCCACUCACUUCAUUCCGAUCAAAGAAUCAUUCAAGAUGGAAAGAAUCACACGAGUCUACAUCCAAGAGAUAGUCCGACUGCACGGUGUACCUGUAUCCAUUAUCUCCGAUCGAGAUAGCAGGUUUAACUCGAGGUUUUUGCAGUCCCUUCAGAAAGCUCUUGGAACUAAGCUGGAUAUGAGUACAACUUACCAUCCUUAGACAGAUGGACAGAGUGAGAGAACUAUCCAGACCCUAGAAGACAUGUUGCGCGCAUGUGUCAUCGAUUUCGGAAAUUUGUGGGACACCCAUUUACCUUUGAUCGAGUCAUCAUAUAACAACAGCUGCCACACCAGUAUCAAGGUUGCCCCGUUUGAAGCCCUCUACGGUCGCAAGUGCAUAUCCCCUCUGUGCUGGGCUGAGGUAGGGGACACGCAGCUAGCUGAGAGUCGAGUCCCCGACAAUGCUCUCACUGGUCCUGAAAUCAUCCGCGAAACCACCGAGAAAAUUAUCCAGAUCCGAGAAUGACUGAAAGCAUCACGAGACCAACAGAUGAGUUACGCCGAUAAACGACGAAAACCUCAGGAGUUCCAGCUUGGAGAUAAUGUCCUGUUAAAGUUCUCUCCCUGGAAGGGCAUGAUACGCUUUGGAAAGCGCGGAAAACUUAACCCGAGGUACAUAUGACCUUUCGAGAUCCUCUCUAGGAUCGGUCCCAUUGCCUAAAAACUCCGGCUACCUCAUGAACUUAGCAACAUCCAUCUGUCGUCCAUGUUUCUAAUCUUAAAAAGUGUCUAUCCGAUGAAACCCUUGUGAUCCCUCGUGAUGAGAUCGAGAUCAACGAAAGUCUGAACUUCGUAGAAGAACCAAUUGAAAUCAUGGAUAAAGAGAUCAAACGUACGAAACAAAGCCGCAUCCCAAUAGUGAAGGUUCGCUGGAAUGCCAAGCGGGGACCCGAAUUCACAUGGGAGUGUGAAGACUCGAUGAAACAGAAAUAUCCGUAUCUCUUUCCAAUUCCAUGAUUUGUAUGUUAGUUUUUAAAUUUCGAGACGAAAUUUUCUCUAACGGGGGGAUAAUGUGACAACCCGUAAUUUAUUUUGUCACUAUAAACCGUUCCCAUUAACAAAACCUUUCAUAUUUCAAUUUUCCGUUAACUUUUGAUUUAUAUUAAUUAAAUUGCGAAUUUUAUUAUGACCUCGUGAGUGUCCAAACCCAUUAGAAACACAUAAAAAUACCCACGUUAUUUAUUUGGAAAAAAAAUUAUUUACGACUAAGUCGGGUUACAACAAUUUAAUAGGGUAAAAUUUUAAACCCCGUUUAACGUCGGUAUUGGGUGGAUCCCCACUUGGCCACAAACUCAAACCCUAUAUAAGGGUGAGUGUACCUUCAUUUAAAGCCUUUUGUCCACCCUCAUAGCUGUUGGAUUAAUGUCUAAGUCCAUAACUAUAAUUGGUAAGACUUGACCCGACCCGGCAUGGUCCAUUUGGGUUGCAUGGCAUCAUGCACUUGGAUAGACUAUAAUGAGAGAAAUAAGACACUUAUGGUUAUUAAUAUAUUAUAAGUUCUAGUAUAUUAAUAAUAAGAAUAAUAAGAUUAUUUAAUUAGUAUUAAUCAAGAAUUAAUCUAGGAUUAAUUAAGUGAUCAAAAGAAGACUAAUUAAAUAUAUGGGUUGAUUGUGUAAAUCAUCCAUACUUGUAUAGUGGGAUAAUGCUCUAUGGAUAAUAAAGUUGGGCUAAAACCCAUAGGAUGGUCAAUGGAUGCUCCAUGGUGUAUUUGAACCCAUGGAUCCAAGGAAAUGGAAAGUCAUGAAAAUUAUGGUUUACCCUAAUUGUAACACUAUAUAAAGAUCUUAUUCUUCACCAAAAUUGGCACUAGAGUGUGUAAUAGAAGGGCUAGCUGAUUUCAUGAGUGUAGGUUUCUCUCAAGUUAUUCCAAGUACAUUUGGUGUUGUGUGAACCAUCUGAGGUGUCACAAUUGGGGCACUAGGCACUCAAGCUUCAUGAAGACAUUCUACAUCAAAGAGGUAUGUAUUCUAUCUUGUUAUAUUGAUAGUUUUGUAUGCUAGAUUAGGAUAAUACCUUGGAAGUUCUUAUUUGCAUGUAUAAUAGAGAAAACAUAGAUCCAAGGUAUUUAGGGUUGCAUGUACACUUAGGAGUGUUAGAAUGCUCAAAACCCAACAGUGGUAUCAGAGCCUAGGCUUGUUUUCUUGUUAUACCUGCAAUAGAAGCUGAAAAAACGAAUCUGGUGCUGUCUGGCCAUCAGACUCGGCGAGUCCAUCAGGAGACUCGACGAGUCCAUGCCUAAAAAGUGAUGAAUUCGAUCCAACUCGCCGAGUUUGUUCAUGCACUCGACGAGUUGGACCCCCAGACAGCAUAUUUUCGAGUUUUUUGGCUAGAAAUGGACUAGGAACAUUACCCUAAGUUGUUUUUGAACUUAUAAACUUGUUUUUGAUGUGGUAAUGUUCAUGCUAAUCCAAUUUCAAAGAUAAUUGUCAAUAGAUUCAUGUUUUGUAUUAGUUUAAGGUUUAGACUAAUACAUUAAAAAAGUUUGAUUUGAAUUAUCUUGUUCUUAUGAGUUGCUUAGAUUAAUAGAAUAGUUGAGUGGAAUAGUUGUUUUCAAUCCAAAUUAGUCUAAGAGUUGAUUCUAAAAUGUGUUUUUGUAACUUGUCCUCAAGUUAUAUGAAAAAUCACAUUUAAGUUUCAUAAAACUAAUAAAAGUUGGCAAAGGUUACAAAAUGAAGAGUCUAGUUCUAAUUAAAUGGUUUUAUGACUCCAUAACUUGUCCUCAAGUUAUGGAGGUUGAAGAGUUUUUGGAUUAAAACUACUUUAAACACAUAAGUUAUGGAAUUAAUUAGUUUUGAAUAGUUUCAAAACUUGCCCUCAAGUUUUGGAAUUUGUAAAGUUUUCACUUAUGAAUACUUUAAUUCCAAGUUAGCCCUUAGAAUUUUAAAAGUUAAAAUUCAACCCUUAUACUUUAUAAUAUUAUAAGUUAAUAAUAUAUAUAUGUAUAAGAGUAAAGUCAGUCUUACCGCUAGUACGCCUCAUUCACGAAGCCGGUCUAUAAGGUGGGUAUAAGGUUGUUGCCUAUAAAAUGGCAACUUAAUGGGUGUCCACUCUCACCCACCGCUUGCUUGACUGGUGGAGGGUCGUUAGCCGAACGGGUUUGACAGGACUAGAAUUCUCCCUUCAUUAAAAGUAUUAAUGAUAAUACUAAGUAACUAAACUCUUAAUAAUACCCAAUCUUAGUUACUUAGGAAAAAUGUGAAUAAGGUGCUAAUCCAUGAAAUUACACUUUACACUUUGUCUAAGUCGUUAGUGGAGCGUGUGUGGUUAACCGGCACACUAACUUGGACUUAACAAGGUAGGUAAAGGGUGACUUAAUAUUUAUCAUAGUAUCGAUGGAGCGUGUGUGGUUAACCGGCACAUCGAUUGAGGGGUAAUUUAUUAAGGGUACCAAGUGAUUUGCAUGGUUACUUCACACCUUGUUUUGUGAUCCUCGGCAUCCCAGUCACAAAACCUGAAGGGCACACUCGAGAUUGAAACAUGCCUUUGAAAAGUUCAAUGAAUCUCAAAGAUCUAGGAGUUUCAAAACCAAUUAAAACCUAAUAAUACAUUUCGUUUAUCUUGGUGGAAAUUGGUGAAUCGUCAUUCACCUACCUUCAAAUAUUUUAUAGCUUGGAUUACGGCAUACCUCUUCUAAGUUAUAAAAUAGUUUGUUGGGUCCUAGCCUUAAUAUUUCAUAUUGGGUGUCAUAUUAAGGACUUUAAAUCAACUAUCUUGAAUAUCUCCCAAAAGAUGUCUGGUUUAGACACCUAUGAUCUUCCCAAAUCUCUUGAAACAAGGUUUCCUAAUGAAGAUGAUGUCCCAUGGAUAUCAUACUUCUUUCUCCUCCUCCAAUUAUUCUCCCUAACCCACAAGUUCUUGAAAAGUUUAAGGUCACUCAAGCCCUAUUGGCAAGGCAAGGUCUAGGUGUGAUCACAUCUUGGAGAUGUAGUCACAUAUUGACAAGCCGGGAGAGUUGGGUGUCAAAGUCUUGAGAAAGUUGGUGGUUCAAUCACUUUCUAAGUCACAUAGUGAGUUCCUUUGGGACACCUAUGAAACAGACUAUGACAAGACCCUUAAUGAUCUUAUCUAUUUGCUAAGAUCAACUUCCUAAAACUUUAUGGACAUUGACAAUGAUGACAUUGGAUAUCCAGUAAAGCAUUCUCUUCCCAAUGGAAAGGGAUCGGCCAUAGUCAACUCGGUUGACCAAAUGGUAAAGAGAAAAGCUAAGUCUGUGAUAGUCUCGUGUACCAUUAUCAAAGGGUCCAUAUGUUUAUAUUGCCAAAGGAAGGGGCAUUGGUUGCGAAGCUGCCAAAUUUACCUAAGGAUGUUAAAGUCAAUAAGUUUGACUCUACUUCAGGUAAAGUCCACUAUCUAACUCUGUUAAGUUUCUAUUCUGAGAUUCCUGAUACAUGAUGUGACUGGGUCACAUGGUGAUGUUUUAAGAAUCAAAGAAAAGUGAAGAAACUUAAAGAAAGAAUAUGCUGAAUCUGAUGGCGUAGAUGGAUUUCUAUCGCAUAGUUUGAAGAUCGGAUUCUUGAGCAACUUCUUAGGAGUUAUGAGAUAUUGCUUAGGAAUAGAUAACAACAAGUUUUCAUAUGGAUUGUAAGGAUAAGUUUUUCCGCAAAGUUUUAAAAUAAAAGAAAAUUUUUUUGAUUUUAUUUAUUUUAAAAUAUCCUUACAAUGGCUUUUGAGGAAAAAUUGUUGCUUAUAUGAUUCCAUUAAGAGCAAGAGUGGAAAUAUGAAAUUGAUUCUUUCAUUUGUGGUAAUGUCUAGAUUUACCAAAUAAGGAAAGAUUCUCAUCACCCAAGUUUCAAUUGGACCGGAACUUGGAAUCAUGCAAGUUGUAUAGCAUGAUGAAUGAGAACUUUCAAGUUUUGGAAAAUUAAGACUAAUUACUCGGCCACAUGGAUGUGUGAGUCAAGUAAAGGACUAAGGGAUCGAGUACACAUUCUUGUGCACUGAUUAAGUCCACCACAAAAGAUUGAUAAGACUAUUCGUCAUAGUUUACUAAAGCUCAGUAAAUAUGAUUAUACUUACAAGCUUAAGUGUAACUCUGAGACAUUGGAAAAGGUUCCAAUGUAUGGCAGGGCGAAUAAGAAGAAUCAAAUAAGGCAGAAGGAUAAAAGUUUCUCAAAUCUGAAAAGAUGGGAGAGUACUUUAGUAUCAGUUUUGUGAUCAUCUUAAUGAUUAAGAAACCAUAUCAAAAUUAGUUCUCUAAGGAAAUCUUAGUGCAUUCUUAUGACUAAGAAGAGGAACUUGAAUUGUUGAAAUGGUUAAAUCAAGAAGAUGAGUCAUACUUCGUUCCAAUACAAGUCUUAGAGUCAUACUCCAAGAUUGUCAUUUGAGUGACAUGUCUUAAAGAAGGUUUAAAACACUUGUCAAAUGUAAGAGUAAAAGUUUUCUACUCUUGUACAUUUGAAAUUGGUAAGUUGUGAUGUUUUGGAUAAAACAAAGACCAACUUAGGCCAAUUGGGUAAAGUGUUUUUCUUGAUUAGAAUCCGCACUAUCUCUUGGAUGUUUGACAAGGGAGUCUUAUAUGUCAAGAGGACAGUGGGAGUCUUAAAGGUCUUGAAAGUCUCAAGAACUAAUCAAGAAUAAAACCUAAAGUUCUUCACUAGCACACAACUUGAGGUUCAUAACCUAUCGUGUUGACAUAUUCUGUGCCCAUUCCAGUUAAAGUUGGCUUUGCAUAUGAGUUCUUAGAGUUCUCAAUUUGUUGCACAACAACUUGGAAGCAAUGGUAGGCCCUUGAGCUGCCAGGUGGCAAGAAAUUAAGAUUGAGUUCAGUCCAUAUGAGUUUGGAUUUGUCAUUAUCCUUGUCUUGUGACUAUGAUUUUGACAAUUCACAUGGAUAAGAACACAUACACCAUUAAAUCUAAGUGUCAUAAGGUUUCUCUCCGAUUCAUGAAAAUGAUGGUGAGGAAACACUUUCACUAAGUAGAUUUUAGCUAGAUAGCAAUUGUGAUAUUUGCAUUCUCAAAGUCGUUAGUGGAGCGCGUGUGGUUAACCGGCACACUAACUUGGACUUGUGAGAAGUGGCAAAAAGGUCUAAACAUUAUGAUUACGGCAUCCCUCUUCAUAAUUGUUUAGAUACACAAGUGUGCUAUCUAAGGGAAGGUGUAUGAUUUUGAUACAGUUUUAUCAAAACAAUCUAGUAUCAGAAAUCUGAACUUUGGUAAGAAAGUCAAUGAAGUAUUGAUUUCUAGAAGUCCAGCUGAUUUCUGAGUACAUGUCAAAGCUAGUGGGAGCAUAAGUGUUAUGCUAAUAAUCAUCAUGUUAGUGGGAGCAUGAUAAUUAUGAUAAGUAUUGCAAGUUAGCAAUGUUAAUUAUAGAAAACAAAAGUUUCAAUUGGGAAAAAGUUGUUUUGCUAUAAUUAAGGGAGAGGAAAUUAUACUUCAUCUCAAAUCUAUAAGCUUAGAUCGUGAGGUUUUAAUCAUUUAGUCAAGGAUAUAUAUGAAUUUCAUGUUGGAAUGGCUCAACAUAAGGAAAUUCUGUAUAUGGGUCCAUUAUUUGCGUUCUAAAAUUCGAUUAUGAUUACGGCAUCCCUUUUCAUAAUCUGAAUUAUGAGAACUUGGCAAAUUGAAAUGGAAAUGUUAUAGCAAAAGACUGGUUUAGUCUUUAUGUGAGACAUCAUGAAUCGUGUCCCAUAUGCUUCGGAUAUAGGAUCGAUUACAUGUGCUAUAUUCAUCCGUUCUAAAAUUUUCCAAAUGCCUGGGGCAUUAAGAAGGGAAAAGGUUUAGAACUGGAUAUGACUAAAAGGAUUAAACAAUUGUCGAGGACAAUCUAAGGUUUACCAAAGAUUGGUUGCUCAAGGACAGUUGGAAGUAUAGUGAUAAUUCUGGAAGGACCAUAUUGACAUAAUCUGUAAGGAGGCAACUCUUGUUCAGAAGUGAUAGUCAAAAUGGAAUCUGGAAAUGUUUCAAAGUUAGAAUUUUCAAUCUGUUUAAGAUUAGGAAACUUAAUGCAAGAAGGAUGUUUCCAAGGAGCUGAUCUCCUUUGGAAUACUCUGUAAUGAUUGUUGUCAAGUCUUUCUGACUUUGUGCAUAAUCAUUACAAGAGGAUCAAUGCAUAUAAGUUUAGAAUCUAACAGAUUUCAGUAAAUGGCAUGAAUUUGGAAUUCUUGCAUUUGCAGUAAGGAUUUGGGAGUGUGAAAAGAGAAUCAUUGAAGUUAUGUUCAAUUGAUCUAGUUCACAAAGUAAAGAUCAUAGACAAACAUAGUAUGCAUACUUGGUGUGUGGCAUGACUAGUGUUUAAGAAAACAUAGUGUACAUGCUUGGAGCAUGGGACAACUAUUGUUUUAAAUUCAAGAAUAAAGUUGAUAGCUGAAACAGUAUACAAUGAAUAAUGUGUAAUCAUAUGGUGAUAAAUAAAAGGUGUUUUAUUUAUGUUCAAAGGGUUGAUACCAUAUUGGAUUCAAUUAUUAUUGUGUUUCACUUUGCAUGUUUUGACUUCCCGAAUAAACUAGGUUAUUCUUCCGGAAUGACUAAGUUAUUCAAACCAUCCACAGUCGGUCAUAUGUUGGAAGUAGAUAUGAAUUAAGACUGUCAUGGGUUGGCUUGUAGAGGUCUAAGGUGUUGGACAAAGGGCUACAACACUCAUGAGUGCUCAUAAGUUCUGAGUAUUGGAUUCAACCCGCGCUCAUUGGAAUCACUUCAUGGAUUUUAUCACGAGUGAUCAUGAGACGAUAAUAUCUUAUAUUCUUCAAACCUAGAGAUAUGAGUUGUUACUAUGAGUUGAUAGUACAUUGAUUGCACGAAAACGCAUUUGGUAACUCGGUGCUAUAAAACGUGCCUUUGUGUAUGAUUCAACAAGUAGUAGAACAAGCCAUAUGAGUCGAAGUUUAUCCAUUCCUUUUACCUUCGGGAUAAAAGCGAUAUCUGUGGGCCCCUCGAUGAUUUGAUGAUGACAAAUGGAAGUGCUCGGCCGGGCCAGGACUGAUUUGAUUUGUUCAAUUAGUCAGUCGUCAUAAAUCGGAAAUCGGGAAACAACAAAUGGACAGAGAGAAUGAUUAUAAUCCAUGUCUCAGUCCAUAUGAUAUCUAGAAUGGAGGAAUAUAUGAUCCCUUAUCUAAUGGACAAGUCAUUGACAAAGGUCAGAGUUCAUCUACAAGGUCAGAGUUCGACAGAAGCUUUUGAGAGCUACGAUUGCCGGUUGGUUCCUGAAGUCAUACGCAAUAAUAGUUUUAGACUUAUCCAAGUGGGAGACUGUUGGAUUAAUGUCUAAGUCCAUAACUAUAAUUGGUAAGACUUGACCCGACCCGGCAUGGUCCAUUUGGGUUGCAUGCCAUCAUGCACUUGGAUAGACUAUAAUGAGAGAAAUAAGACACUUAUGGUUAUUAAUAUAUUAUAAGUUCUAGUAUAUUAAUAAUAAGAAUAAUAAGAUUAUUUAAUUAGUAUUGAUCAAGAAUUAAUCUAGGAUUAAUUAAGUGAUCAAAAGAAGACUAAUUAAAUAUAUGGGUUGAUUGUGUAAAUCAUCCAUACUUGUAUAGUGGGCUAAUGCUCCAUGGAUAAUCAAGUUGGGCUAAAACCCAUAGGAUGGUCCAUGGAUGCUCCAUGGUGUAUUUGAACCCAUGGAUCCAAGGAAAUGGAAAGUCAUGACAAUUAGGGUUUACCCUAAUUGUAACACUAUAUAAAGAUCUUAUUCUUGACCAAAAUUGGCACUAGAGUGUGUAAUAGAAGGGCUAGCCGAUUUCAUGAGUGUAGGUUUCUCUCAAGUUAUUCCAAGUGCAUUUGGUGUUGUGUGAAGCAUUUGAGGUGUCACACUUGGGGCACUAGGCACUCAAGCUUCAUGAAGACAUUCUACAUCAAAGAGGUAUGUAUUCUAUCUUGUUAUAUUGAUAGUUUUGUAUGCUAGAUUAGGAUAAUACCUUGGAUGUUCAUAUUUGCAUGUAUAAUACAGAAAACAUAGAUCCAAGGUAUUUAGGGUUGCAUGUACACUUAGGAGUGUUAGAAUGCUCAAAACCCAACAAUAGCUUCCUCUCUCUUCUCUCUCUCUCUCUAAAACUCGAGUUUGAUCCAAAAGCACCCCUUUCAAGAUUCAAAUUGGUAAGUAAUCUAUCCUAGCUUGUUACUAAGCUUGUUUAUCAUGAAAAUUCGUGUGUAAAUCAUCCAAAUGCAUCAAGAACAUGUGUUUAGGGUUUGGGAACCCUCCCAAAACCGUAAACUCCUUUAAAGAGGGUUUUGAAGCCCCAAAACUCUUCUAAAUCACUUCUAGUGCUUAGAUAUGACUUAGGGGCUUGCAUGAAUGGAAUUAGAACGCCAAAAUCUUACCAUUAGAGGAGUAAACAUGAUUUUACGGCCCAAGAACAUGCUUGGACGGUAAACCCUGAUUCAUGGACCAUAAACACAUUUUAAGGGUGUCAAAGUGCCCCUAACACCUUGUAUGGCUUAGAUUUGGGUCUAGAACUUAGCAUGCUUAACCUACAACCACCAAAUCACAUGAAUCAUGGGAAAACAUGAGUUUAUGGCCAUAAAAUCAUGUGUUUACGACAGAAAACUCACCAAGAACACUUUCAUAAACCGUAAACUCCUUUCCAAGGUCAAUUCAAAUCCCGAUCACUUCGUAAGCCUUUGAUUCAACCCUAGAACCUUCCCUUGUGCAUUGUAAGACCAUAUAGCAUCAAAGAACACACCACCCAUGAGUUUACGGCCUUAAACUCAUGGGGAUAUGGUCUUUGGACUGUAAAAUCCCCUAAGGGCUUACUCUUGAAGAGUAAACCCCUUAUAUUGGCCCUAUACACCGUUAGAUGCAACCCGGAUCACUCCUAACACUUGAAAUAAAGUGUCUUCGCAUCUCGGAGUGUAUUGUCUUACUUAUUUGGUAGUUCAAAGUCUAAUUAGAUAAAAUUAUGUAUAUCUUCAUAUUACAUAGGAACCUCGCGUGUUUUCAAGCCCCGAACUGACACUGAGCAUCCUAAUCGGUGCAUUUCUCGACUGGUGAGUUCAUAGCCCUACUCUUUUUCUGAGUUUUUCAUGUUUUCAAGGGGGGGGGGGAAUACAAGAAAAGCAUAAAAGUUUUCGUAACUUAAAAACUGAUGUAAUUAUACGAUUUUCUGACGAACUUUUAGAUAUAUUUAUCCAUUUUGUAAUAUGCGGAGCAUAAGGGAUGUUUUCUGAAUAUAAUUACAUAGUUUUCAAUACAGUUUGGUGAAAUUUUUGAAACCAAUCAAAUUAUUAUGGGAAUAAUUUGGGAUAUUCGUUACUUGUUUCACGGAUUCAGAUUUCAUGAAAAGACGAUAUAUAAACUAUGUCUGAUUUAGUUUAUCCAAGUUUAAUAUAGAGUAUCAUGCUAAAUAAUUACUUUGUAUUUAAUUAUUUAUACUCUCCUACGGUUCAAACGAUUUCGAAACUUGAUAACGACCAAGUGUACCGUGAAUUAUUUAAUUCUAGCUUGUGAGAUUCGUCUUCGUUAUACCCUUCGGGGUACCAGUAAAUCCUCACCGGAAGUAUAACCAGAGUCUCCUGGAUGGAGAGCGUAAAAUUUGUGGAUAGAUCUAUUCGGGACUGACAAUCGCACACCUUAACUGCUAGCUAUAGUUAGGCGGCCACGCUGGGGUGACAAAUUUCGGAUAUCGUUCGACGCCUGAAGAACGUCAAGGAGGUUACGGGUCAAAUGAGUAUUGUUAUACGACUCACAAUACGUAUUAAACUAAAUAGUUUUAUUCAUGGAUUUAUUUCUUUCAUUCUUCUAUAGCCUUAUUUAAGUAAUAAGACUACCUACUUUCGUACUGGAGGGUAUUCCAAGGUUCUUAAUGUAUAGUUUUAAGUAUUAAAACUACCUACUUUCGUACUGGAGGGUAUUCUAGGGAUCUUAACUUAUGGUUUUCUUAUCGUGCUGGUGAUAACCGAGGUUUUUCUUAUCUUUUGGAAAUCGACUUACAUGUUAGAAAAUAUGGGAUUUUCUGGGAAAACAUGCAUAUGUAUUUCAUAACUCAGUAUCAAUGGUUUUCGAUAUUACAAAAAUCUUUAUCAAAGGAAAUGAAUUAUUUAUCACAAGAUUAAAUAACCAGUUUUCCUUUGAAACAUGCUUAUGAACUCACCAGCUUUAUGCUGAUAUUUUUAAAACUGCUUGUAUUCUCAGGUCCUCAUUAGACAAGUAUCUCGCCAUCUUUUGGUGAAGACAGAGCAUUUUAGUAGUCUUGUCUUUACUUUUGUUCAUUUUGGAUGUAUAUAUCUAUAAUCAUGUAUAACUUUACUUUCGAACAAAUGUAAAUACUUCUAUGUAAUGUAAUGGUUGUGUUUACUACGCUUACUAUGUGAAUUGGUUGUGAUACUACGCAUGACAUCACCUCCGCUUCAGAUCGUUUCCGCCUUCGGUUUCGGGGUGUCACAUACAAGGACUUCAUCAACUGCAAACCCCUUUCCUUUGACGGAAAUGGUGGAGUCAUCGCUCUGAUGUGAUGGUUCGAGAAAACAGAUUCGGUCUUCGAAAUCUGUUCGUGCCUAGAAGGGAGCAAAGUGAAGUUUGCUGCCUGCACCUUCUUUGUCAGAGCCCUGACAUGGUGGAACAGCCAUGUUAGGUCACUGACCCUAUCAGUGGCUAACUCAAUAGGGUGGGAAAACCUAAAGGAGUUAAUGAUUGAACAGUAUUGCCCAAAAGGCGAAGUACGGAAACUGGAACAAGAACUAUGGGAACUUAAGAUGGUCGGCUCAGACAUAGUGACCUACACUGACAGGUUUUGCGACCUGGCAACACUAUGCCCUGAAAUGGUUACCCCAGAGAGCAAGAAGAUAGAAAGAUACAUCUGGGGUCUAGCUGCCCCGAUCCAAGGAGAUGUAUUGUCUUCUAACCCAGCCACAUUUGGUAGUGCCAAACGCCUGGCCCAGCGGCUAAUUGACCAUGGAGUCCACCAUAAUGUAGAAGUCCACGUUCCCGAGCCAUGAAAGGGAAAGGACUAUAAUUGGAAGUCGGGGAAGAAGAAGAAGAAGAAGAAGCAAACAACCUAGGAAACCCCGCAAGAGCAGCAAGCGAGUACUAUGUACGCCGCUACAACGCCUGCUACUCCAGCACCUGCCAGUCAAUAUGCUGGAACCCUUCCGAAGUGUGGAAAGUGCAACUUUCACCACCCCGGAGUAUGCCAGGAAAUGUAGUGUCUGAACUGCCACAGAAAGGGACACAUAGUUCGUUUCUAUAGGGCACCGGCUCAACCGAUCUCCCAAGUCCCUAGAGCUGAAGAAAACCAAGACUGUUAUGGCUGUGGUGAGACUGGACACUAUCAGGGGGACUGCUUGAUAAUAUGGAACUUAGGUGCGGAUGGACGCAUUCUGAUGGUCACCGCAGGAGAAUCAACCCCAAAUUCGUCAACGAGCAGCAUUACGUCUUCGGUUUAGUAAUUACUUUCAAAAUUAAUUUAUAUUUAUAUAGGAUUAAAACUAAGCGGAAUACACUUAAAAGUAAUCUUAAUCACUCGCAUAUUGACAUAGGUCACGAUAUUAAAGAGAACUAAAAGAUCCGUUUAGAGAAGCUAUGAUGGCUUAGCAUAUACAUCAGGGUUGUGCAUAACAAAGAUGUUGAAGACUUAGAGUGAGUGAUUCCGCCUUAAUUCCUGUUCCUUUUCUGGUUGUGGAUUUGAGGUAGAGUUACUUAGUCGACUGUCUUAUUCAUCUUAAGAAUUCAUAACUUGUAUAUGACAGGCGAUCGUAGUAGUACCGAGGAGGAUCAUUGUAACAUCUCAAAUUUUCAAAUAAAUUUUUCAUUUAAAACAANNNNNNNNNNNNNNNNNNNNNNNNNNNNNNNNNNNNNNNNNNNNNNNNNNNNNNNNNNNNNNNNNNNNNNNNNNNNNNNNNNNNNNNNNNNNNNNNNNNNNNNNNNNNNNNNNNNNNNNNNNNNNNNNNNNNNNNNNNNNNNNNNNNNNNNNNNNNNNNNNNNNNNNNNNNNNNNNNNNNNNNNNNNNNNNNNNNNNNNNNNNNNNNNNNNNNNNNNNNNNNNNNNNNNNNNNNNNNNNNNNNNNNNNNNNNNNNNNNNNNNNNNNNNNNNNNNNNNNNNNNNNNNNNNNNNNNNNNNNNNNNNNNNNNNNNNNNNNNNNNNNNNNNNNNNNNNNNNNNNNNNNNNNNNNNNNNNNNNNNNNNNNNNNNNNNNNNNNNNNNNNNNNNNNNNNNNNNNNNNNNNNNNNNNNNNNNNNNNNNNNNNNNNNNNNNNNNNNNNNNNNNNNNNNNNNNNNNNNNNNNNNNNNNNNNNNNNNNNNNNNNNNNNNNNNNNNNNNNNNNNNNNNNNNNNNNNNNNNNNNNNNNNNNNNNNNNNNNNNNNNNNNNNNNNNNNNNNNNNNNNNNNNNNNNNNNNNNNNNNNNNNNNNNNNNNNNNNNNNNNNNNNNNNNNNNNNNNNNNNNNNNNNNNNNNNNNNNNNNNNNNNNNNNNNNNNNNNNNNNNNNNNNNNNNNNNNNNNNNNNNNNNNNNNNNNNNNNNNNNNNNNNNNNNNNNNNNNNNNNNNNNNNNNNNNNNNNNNNNNNNNNNNNNNNNNNNNNNNNNNNNNNNNNNNNNNNNNNNNNNNNNNNNNNNNNNNNNNNNNNNNNNNNNNNNNNNNNNNNNNNNNNNNNNNNNNNNNNNNNNNNNNNNNNNNNNNNNNNNNNNNNNNNNNNNNNNNNNNNNNNNNNNNNNNNNNNNNNNNNNNNNNNNNNNNNNNNNNNNNNNNNNNNNNNNNNNNNNNNNNNNNNNNNNNNNNNNNNNNNNNNNNNNNNNNNNNNNNNNNNNNNNNNNNNNNNNNNNNNNAAAGCGGACAAUAUUGUGAUACGUGCCAGAGGGGGGUGUUACAAUCAUGAUAUUCAGUAUCAUCACCAAUUAUCAAAGAUCUUUUAUUUGUAUGUAUGCACACAUAGUAGUACAAUACAUAGGAGUGUUAGCAUCAAAUGGAAAACAGAAAGCAAUAUAACAUUCACUAAGAGUACAUUGUCGAACACCCUAAGAAUACAUUAUCGAACACACUAGGAAUACAUCAUUGUAUAACAGACAUUUCUUUCAAAUUGGCAAAAACUAUGUUCAGUAGAGAGUCCGUUACUAUCGUUUGUCAUGAGUUGGCGUAGUCCUCACCAUACAAAGUUCAUAUGUUUUGUAUCGUCUCGAUCGUCGAAUUUUCGAAACCAUCGCCCUUUGUAGCGAUAGUCCGACCUAAAUCCCAAUUUUAUCUCCUGUAUUCUCAACCCGAAGUACUCGUGCGAAGGGUACUUUGUCCUCCGAAGCCUUAUCAUCAGAUGUCCGCAGACUGUCACGAAAUAUCGCUCAUCCAGCAGACCAAGUUCGAGCACAGAGGCUAAGGACGAAUACAGCCCACCUAUCACUAUUCAGUGUAUAUGCAAGGGUGGUAUAUGAUUAUGAUUACGCAGAUUUAGUAUGUGUGCUUCCGCCUUAUCUCUUGUUCCUUGUUUGUUGUGGACCUGGGGCAGAGUUGCACAUCUGACCGUCUUACUAAUCGUAAUUAUAUACGACUUAUAUACACGAGGUAAUGAUAGAUGGACCAAGUACGAAUCGUAUGAUGAACAGAAGGGAAAAGUUGCCAGGUCUACGAGUAGGUAUUUUGCCAAUCAACGGAGCACAACCCCAGUAGUACUGUAAGAAACCUAAUUUCGAGACGAAAUUCCCUCUAACGGGGGGAUGUUGUGACAACCCGAAAUUUUUUUGCUUUGAAGACCCAGUCAAUCAACUCAACUGAGUGUCAUACUUAUUUCUGCUAUCUUUUAGCCAUAUUUAGAGUCCGUUUGAAGGUUCAAAGCUCCGUACAUUCAAGCAUUGAGCAUAGGAAUGGAUCGCGUACACUUCUAGCACCAAAAUCGAGCCUUACACUCCAACAUAAGGAAUGUACAUCCGCACACCCCUCUUCUAGCAGCACACUCACAUGUAUAAAUGUAGAUCUUAGCCUCCUUUAAUUCCUUUUCACACUCCCAAGCCUAGAACUCGAUUUCUCUCUCAACUAUCAUCCGAUUUAAAACUUAGAUCUUCAAGAAUGUAAGGGUUCUUCCCUUGAUUUGUUGUUAAUAUUCUUAAACUAGUUACAUCCUUUGAUUUAAUCCAUUUCAAAUCAUGUUUUGGCUAGAUCUUCAAAUCUUCAACCAUUUCACCAAGAACACCAAGAACACACACUUGUUCUUGGUGAUUUUGGGCCUUCUCGAGCUUCCGAAUCGUAAGUACUCUUUCGUUAAGCUUAGAACAUACUAAUAACACUUGUAUAGAGCCUUGAAACUGCCCAGAACUCAAGAACAUAUGGUGUGUGCGGCCGCACACACAGUUGUGGCCGUACACCCCUCAAACACCCUUCAAACACCCCUAAAGGCUUCCGUAUUGUAGGGACCAUUCCCUAAGCUUGUUACUUACUAGAUAUGAGCCUUAGAAAACGUCGAAACCAUGUUCAUCAAGGAGUGUGCGGCCGCACACACUCCAUAUGGCCGUACACCCCUUUGUUUAAUGCUUAAGGGCCUUCAAAGUGCCUUUCUAGCUUCAACACUUGAUGAACAUCAGUCCUACAAGCCUCCCUGCCAUUUGGAAAACGUUUUGUUCACUCUUUACCAUGAGUGUGCGGCUGCACACUCCUCAAAGUGGCCGUACACUCCCUUUUAGUGAAUCACAUGUGAUUCUGACACUUGGUCAAAGUGUUUCCUAGUCCUGUAAGGUGUUUCAUUGCAUUUGGUUGCUUCCAAACACUAUAUUUAUGUCAGUAUAUGCCAUUAUAUUUCAUUUAGGACCUAUUAAGUCUCGGGACUUCAUUCGUGGAACUUCUCAUCCUAACACGCAUACCCGUUUGAAUCACCCACAUCAGUUGAGUACAUACCCCGUAAUGAAUCUUUUAACUGUUUUAAAUGCUUUUAAGGGGGGGGGGGGUGUAAGUUAAACACAAUGAUAAUUGUGUAACUAUUUGUUAUAAACAUCUUUCAAAAUGUUGCUUAUGUCUUCUAUAAGUGGUCAAAACAUUUCAGAAACUAUUUUACAUUUAUGUUGCUUUAUAGUUUAACAAAACUCCAUUUUUUUAGUACAACCAUAACUUGGUAGUAAAAUGAGUCUUUUCAAUAACAGUUCAAGUAGAAUACUAGUAAACUAUAAUUGGUAUAGUUUAGGGAUUCAGAAUAUACUAGAUACAAUACACGGUAACAAAGAGAACAUACCAUACGCUAGUAGAUACUAUACGACUAAACAUACUAAGACACUAUAACAAGAGAAGAUACUAAAGUACUAUAACAGAACGAACAUACUAAGUUGCUAUAGAAUGGAACACUUACAGGAUCUAAUUAUACCAAUGAAUCACUAACGCAUUGUUCUAAACAAAAGGUGAUAGUUAUAUUGGGUAUACAUGAUCAUAAAAUUUUAAUGUGGAUGUUCACGGCUUGCAAUUAUUUGCAGAGGUCGCGUUUGGAUCCCAUAAUCUUUUGACAGGGAGAGCGUUUAGUAUGGGAUCUAGCCAUCACAUUAUAUAUUAAUAAUCAAUUUAAGGCAAUUAGCACAACAGUAGUUACUAUGUACAAUACUACAACACUUACAUUAUCUCAUUUCUUUCAUAAAGUGACAGUACCACUUGAAAGUCAACGUAAAUUAUUUUGGAGUCAAGAUAGUUAUAAACUAGGGAAAACUUACAUUUUACAAAUGAUAAACAGAAUAUUCGGGUCUAGUACAAUCAAUAGAAAGGGACCAUAAUGCUAACCUUCUGAUUCCUUAAUGUAUAUNAUAUAUAUAUAUAUAUAUAUAUAUAUAUAUAUAUUAAUAGGAUCUGAUAGGUAAUAUGAUGUGUGCUCUCCGCUUCAUUUCCUGUUCCUUGUUUGGUUGUGGGCUUAGAGCAGACUCACCGAGCCUAUUAUCUAUUCAAUCUUAGUUAUAUAUUGGUUCUGUACACAUUAAGUCAUCAUAAGGGGUACCCGGUAUGGGUCAAGUCAUAGGACACUAAUUCAAUGCAUAGUUUUCUAGUACAAUACAUACCUUUCAAACAUAAUUUUUGGUAAACAAAACUAGAAACUUACCAGUAAAGGGUUUAAUCCAUUUUAUUAAACCAGUGUAGACUUAAAGGACUUUAGGUGAUCGACUCUAUAAUACCUUAGUUUAUACAUCAUGUUUAUAUAUCAUUAAUACCCAACAGGUAGUUGGAUGUGUUCUUUCCACCUUAUUUCGUGUUCCUUGUUUGGUUGUGCGCUUAGGGCAGAUUCAUCAAAUCAACUGUCAAUUCGAUAUUAGAUUAUAUAUAGCAGUAUAAACUAAGUGAUUAUAGAGGUAAUCAAUGUAAAAGAAAAAAAAAAGGUUUUCUUAAAGGGUCUUUUUAGUAAUUGUAAAGGAACUAUUACAAUUAUCUCCACGAGUAACAAGUGAAUACACCUAGGUUAUAUACAACGAGGAUCUAACAAACAAUGGGAUGUGUGCUAUCCGCCUUACUUCUCGUUCCUUGUUUUUUUUUUGUAGGCUUAGGGCAGAUGCGCACAAUUGAUUGUUUGUUUACUUUGAGUUUUAUAUAACUUGUAUCCAUUUAGUACUCAUAGAAAGGAUUGUAGAAUCGUUUUUAUGUAUCUCACAUCAAAUUAGGAAAUAUAGGAUUUUCUAGAGGAAUAGGCAAAACCUUUCUAAAAACAGAACGUAUAACUUACUACUUUUCAACUACAUUUUUCAGCAACUUUCUACAACUUACUUACAUCACUAAAAUCUUAUGAACUCACCAACUUAAUUGCUGAUAAACUCUUUCAAAUAACUUGUAUUCUCAGGAAACUAGUAGACAGGUACCCGCUCUGGGAGUUCAGAAGAUGGAGCAGUUUAGCUUCAAGUCUUGCUUUGUUAUUUGCUUAUGUGCUCGAUGUUUUGUGAACACAUACUUUGUAAACAAUUUCUUUCUAAUGAAAUGGUUGUUUAUUACUUGAUUACUAUGAUACAUGUCUUGUGAUACUAAACAUGACGUCCUCCACUCACGAACGUUUCCGUCGUUCCGGUUUUGGGGUGUGACAUCACUGGAUGACUAAGAGAGCAUUCUAAGAGUACUUUAGAAGAGCUAAUAGAAUCUAUAUGAGACUAUUAGUUUAGAAAGGAUCUUUACGGAAAGAGCUACACAAGAUGCUAAUUUCUAAACAUAUAUAAAUAAUUAUGAAUUAUAAUUGGAUUUUGACUUCAUAUGGAAUGAAGAAUAAGUUUUGUUAGAAUGAGGUCCAUGCAAAACAUAAUGACAUAAUCUACUACAAAAUAAGAAUACACUGCUUUAGAAGUUGAAUUCAAAUACGAUUGGAUGAAUGGGAUCACUGAAAAACUGUAUUGAUUUUUUCCAUUCAAGGAUCACAUAGAAAUCUUUGUGACUUUGAGAUUAUACUUAAUUUAGCUAAAACAAUCUAUGUCACGAAAGAACACUGAUGGGAUUAAAAAUAACUUUUAAUCUAUGAAGAUCGAUUAGAUCUUGAACAAGUAUAUGAAUAUGAAACAGCAAGAACACAAUAUUAAUAACAAGGCAGAACGCAAUAAUAAGAACAAACAGCUUGAAUCAAACGUGUCGAAUGAUUAAAUAAAAUCCUUAGAAGAGCUCGAUUAAGAACAUCAACUAUAAAGGAUUAGAAGAUUACAAGAGAGCAAUAUCGUAAAACUCUGGAAUGCUAAAUCUGAAAUCUUGGAUCUUAACCUAAUAUGCAUGCAAGCAUUAACUUAAAUACUAUACAUAAAAGGGUCUCGGUUGGACAGGCCAAAACCAGAGAAUACAAGGCUAUUCUAACGAGCCCAAAAGACGCAACAUCAAAAGCUAUCUCCAGCCCAACAAUCUCCCCCUUUGCGUCAAUUUGGAGCGAGACCUUCACUUCCUACUUGGGCCGGCGGCUGAAGCUGGUACUUUCUUCUUCACGGUACUAAAUAGACACUUGGUUAUGGAAAGGAUGGUCUGUCUAAACCGGAUGUACCAAUUGAUCAUAUCUUCAAAAUAUUUGAUGUCAUCAGCCGAAUUGUCCUUACACCGCUUGACGAUAGAUAGGACGUGUUCCAAGCAGGUAGUGGUGUAGAGGUGCUUGUCAGCUAAUGCGAACAGACAUUUCUGUCCUUCGGCUCUGGUGAACAUCACAGAGUUUCGCCUUGAAUCUAUCUUGCCCAUUUUCAUCGUGUUUAGAUCACUGGCCGAUCCCACAGGCUUGACUUUCGGUUUCUUCUUAAACACUGUGGCAACCUCCUGAUCCAUUAGGGCCACCUCCAUGAUAUAGCAUGCCAGCAUCCUUUUGACAUGGUCUAAGAUGGGACCAUAUUCGGCUUCGUUUGUCAGCAAGAUGUUGUACAAGACUAUCCAAUCAUGAGGGUUCAGAUUGGGCAGAUCCGCCAGAGAGAUCAUGUGAGCAGUUCUUGCAGAUCCUCGGAUAAGCUUGAACUUGACGUUUGUGAAUCUCCCCACGGCAAACGGCUUCAUCACCCGAACAUUGACAAUCUUCUGGGCGCUCCAUGUAAGGUAUUGAGGGCGAGCGGCCUCCAGGUAGAAGUCAAUGAGCUCCCUGUCAAGCUCAUCGUUCGGAUGCGGGACUUCGAAAAUGUUGGAGAAGGCGUGGAAGAUGAACGCCUUUCGAGUCAGCGGCAUAUCAAAUUGCGAAUCGACCGAGUUGUUGCAGUCGAACGAUAUCACCGGCUCGAGCCAUAGUAUGCUUGGAGUUUCUAUGGCCUCCUUUAUCAAACGAUCCCUGGUCCAGGCAGGGAAGAGCAGCUUUCGGCUCUCAAGGAGAUCGUUGGCUUCUUUUUGUUUACGUUCGGCUUCUUCAGCUUCACGUGCCACACGACUGACAUCGUCAUCAGUAUUGCGACUGUUCUUUCUCUUUAACAUGUCCGCAAUAGUCUCCUUGUCUUCAUCUUCAUCUUCAUCUUCAUCUCCUCCCUCUGCAAUGUUUUUGCCCUUGUCCUUCACACCCGAACCCGAGGCAUGACCAGUUGGGGGUGGUUCGGUUGUGUGAGUUGCUUUUGAGGAAGGAGGUGGUUUCGAUCCUUUCUUCUCAUCUCCCCCUUGUUUCGGAAUGGACACGAAACUGGGUAGGCCUUCAAUUUUACUCAAGAGGUCCAUGGCCGGAGAGAGUUUCUCAGCGAGGGUACGCCUCACCGAGUGAUUGAGGAUGGGGUCGUGUGCUUCCAGGAUGUUAGAUAGAGCGGCGUGGACAUCCGAAACACACGUCUUGAUGAUUUCCCUUUCGGAUCGAAGAGCCUCCAAUUGUUGUUCGGAGUUGGAAAGUUGGGUGCUCUUGACCUUGAGGGCAGUAGUCUUACUCGCCAGGACGUCCAUCAGUUUAUUUUCAGCCGCAAGAUCCUCUUGUAGCUUUGCCAAGCGGGCUUCAAUGGAGGCACGGAGUGCCGAGUUGUCGUCGCUAAGGUUUUGUCUGAGGGUAGCGAACGAGGAUAACUCCGUCUUUACAAACUGGGCCAAUUGAUUAACAAGUGGUUCCAGAGUUGUUUUGGUGGCUUCGGCGCUUUCCUGCAUAGACUGCAGCAGGAUUGUAGCGUCAUGGAAUAGUUUAUCGACUUUUUCGGUCGCUGCCUCACAAGCUCGGGUGGAGGCGUCUAUUGCAGCAGUAGCAGAGGCCACUGAGUCAUGUUGAGCCCUAGAGAAGGCAUCAACUAUCCUCUGAAGGGCAGCUUCAGAUAAGGAUGACUGCUGAUUGGAAGAGGAGGCGAGAAGUUGAUCAACCUUCUCGUUCAGCUCGCGGAGAUGCUUCUUGGUUACAGGAGCAUCAUCCUCCUCAUCACUUUGAACUUGAAACGGACUAUAGUAGACCGAAUCAAAGUUCAGGUGAUCACCACCUAGGUAUUGAUCAUCGCCAUCGGAGGCGUCUUCUGGAGAUUGAGGUGGUGGUGAAGCUGGGGGUGUUAUGGGUUUGGUUGGUUCAGGUUGAGUGGGUGGGGGGUUAGUUUCGGGUGGUGGUUGUGUAUGGGUUUCGGUUUGUGGAGGUUCGGUUACGGGAGGGGUUUCGGUUACAGGUGGUGUUUCGGUUGAGGUGGUGAAUAUGGGUGGAGGUAUAGGGAAUGAGGUUGGUGGUAUAGUAGGGGUUAUGGUGGGAAUGGAAAUAGGUAUUGUGGGUGGAGGGGAAGGAACUGGGGAUUGGUGAAGUUCCAUCUCCGGGGUUGGGGACCGAGGGGGUGUGUUGCCUCGUUGUGGAGAUUCGUCUCCUUGUGACCCCUCAGAGUCCGAACUCCUACCUUCGGAUUCACUGGAGGUUGAGGAAAGGACGAGCGUCCGUUUCGGUUGGGUCUUCCUCCUUUUCGGUUUUGGAGAGGAAGCAGCCUUCGGUUGUUUGCGUUUCUUGGGAGUGGGUUUUGGGGCUUUUGAUGGUUUCUUCCCCUUGUCUGCCUUCUUACCCCUUGCCACCGGUUUGUCAGCAUCAUGAAUUGAUCGCAGCAUGUCCGGUGUCAGUUCCCUCGGACCAGAUGGCCCUAACUCCUUGAUCGCCUUGAUCAUACUGCUGUCUGAUGGCACACUACCAUACAUCGACUCCGGGAUAGAGCCAAUGAAGGAGAAUUUCGAUGCAGCGGAUACGAUGAUCUUCGUGGUGUGGAACGUACCAAUCGAAGACAUCGGUGCACCGUCAGCAGUUUGGACAUCGAACCUGUCCAUAGCCCAUCUUGUGAUCAAGAUCCAGAACCGGGCUAGUGACACCUCGGAGUGUCGGGAAGCGGAAGAGAGGCUCUGAAUCAGUUGUUGCCAAAGGACAAAUCCGUAGUCCAGAUUGAUCCCGUUGUACACCGCAUACAUAAUCGACAGGAAAAGACGACUGGCCCCGUCCGAUCCUGAGCUUCGUUCUGACAGUCCCUUGAAGAGAACUGUAAAUAACCCAUUCCAUUGGGGCGGUAGGCAUGACUUCUUGAAUCUGGCGACGGAGGUGAGAACUUCCGUGUAGCCCAUGUUGUAGAACAUGCUGUAGAGCAUACCAACCGGAAUUGUCUCCGGGUGAACACGCGAUGGGUCAGCAGCAAACCCAAGCAUAGAGCAGAAGCGGGAACGAGAAAUCGACGUCUUGUGUUCCGCCACUUCGAAAAAGAUCCUGUCGACGCCCUUGUCGUAGUAGGCCGUCGCAUAGACCUGAGAAAGAGCCACCAUUGGCACCGUUUCAAUCUUGGACAAUGCCGGAGCAAGUUGGGAGUACUUGAGGCAUUCAAUAAUCGGCGACAUGUAGGGAUCAUAGGCUUCUGGGUUCAGAUCAAUGACAAGGCAUUGUUGAGGUCUGAUGGGGAGAAUCUGAGAAGUAGCAUGGACGGAAGAGGAUUCAGCCAUUGUUGCAGGUUGGAGAAGAAGAUAACCGGGAGAGAGUUUGGAAGUAUUUUUGCUUUGGAAAUUAUGGGGCAGUAAAGAGGUAAAAGGUGGUCUGGAUGGGUUUUUAUAGUAGGUGAUAGGAGAGAGAAAGAUCGAUUCAAAUCUCUUAUGGAAAUAUGGAAGGGUUUUUGAGUGACUGAUUGGUGACAGUUGGGACGUGCGAUGAUCACGUAGGAGAGAGAGUGUCAGAUUCCUAGGAUCACGCCGCCCAAUAAGCGCCGGUUCAGAGAGAGGAACCGUUUCCAUUUCCACACGCGCCAUUAAUGCCUGAUGGAUGACGCUUCAAUACUGGACACGCGUCCAAUAGUGUCAGAAAAAGCGCGGCCUCUUCAAAUUCACGCGCCCGCCUUUUACCGUCGUUUGAAUUUCUAUCCUUUGAACUUCCGCCGCGUCAGCAUCUUUUGUCUCUUCCCCUUUUUAAUCUGCUGUCUUUUGAAUAAAACGCCCACGUGGAUUAUUGGUAACCACAGCUUCAUUAUGAACCAUCCAUUAAUUUUCCAGCCUAUAAAAUAAUUAGUAACGGAAUUUUUGAAAAUCUAGGAUUUUCGUGCAAAGAGUGUAAAAGAUAAAGAAAUAAAGCAACUCUUUUUGGAAUGAUCUGUGAUGUCAAUUAUGACACGAAACUGAUGAUCCCGGGCACGAAUCUCUUCCUUCAAGGUCAAGAGAGACCUCAAAGUGUUAGUGUGGAAUCCCGUUGAAUUACGAUCAAACAUUCAUUAAUAAAUGUUGAAAGGCUUCUUUUAAUAAGGCAAAUUAAGGGUGGUUUCGCUUUGAUUCAUCAAUUCAAUUCUUGAUAUAAGAACGAAUGUGAACAAAGUACUUGUGAGACCAGUGUAGUCUGUUGAACAAGUAGGUUUGAGUUGAUUCUGUAGUGGCUUGGAUGAAUAUGAAAUCUCAGAUAAAAAUUUAAAACUGGAUCCCUUGGGAAGAAAUGUUAUGGUGUGUAACAAUUUCAUUGGAACCACGCAAAAAGAAAAGAAAUUGAGAUUUCAUGAAGGUACAUUCGUCAAUUCAUUGGUGAAAACUUGAUCAAGUUAAUUGGUCACCGUCAAUUCGUUGGUGUUGAAUUUUGGGUUUCACUCAGUUCGUAGUGGCACGAAACUAAGAUCAUAAACACAGAGGUUGUGUAACCAUAAACCUCAGUGGAAGUUGCUGAGAGUCUCAAGGGUUACAGUGAUGAAACGAAUGUUAUGGAGAAUUGUAAUGGAGAUGGUGGAAGAAGACAUAGUACCUCUGCUGCGAACAUAAGGACCAAGCAGGAGACUCUGAACUCGUGUGAGAAUAGAGUGAGGUAGCUCACGAUUAGAAUAAAUAAGUUAGCCUUAUUGGGAAGACAAGGUUUGUGUUUACCAGGUCAUGAAGGCUAUUAUUCAAAAUCUUAUGAGGCUUGGGACACAUACAGCAGCAUGCUUCUAGGGACACUUAAGUAAGUCAUCAAAUAUAUCCCCAUAAACGAAUGAGCACACAAAAAAAAAAAAAAUAUUUUUGGAGUUUUUGAAAUUGAAAAUAAAAAUAAAAAUUAAAAUUAAAAAAAAAACGUAAAAAAAAUUAUAAAAGAGUUAAAAGAAAAAAAAUACGAUUAAAAAAAAACUUUGGAAAAAAAUUGAAAAACCGAACCCGAACGUUCGGUUGGUUUCGGUUGUGGAAAAUUUUGAAAAACCGAACCCGAACCUUCGGUUGGUUUCGGUUCAGGAAAAUUUUGAAAAACCGAACCCGAACCUUCGGUUGGUUUCGGUUCAGGAAAAUUUUGAAAAACCGAACCCGAACCUUCGGUUGGUUUCGGUUCUUGAAAAUUUUGAAAAACCGAACCCGAACCUUCUGGAGGUUUCGGUUUUUGAAAAUUUUUAAGAAACCAAGGAGUUUAGAUAUGCAAUAUGAAAAAACUUUUUACAUAAAGAAAAACAAAUUUUGCACAAGAAAUAUACAACACAGAAAAACUACCUUUGAAGUAAUGAGCGAGUGAAAUGGUUGAACCGAACCCGAACGUUCGGUUGGUUUCGCUUCUUACGUUUGAGAUUGAGAGGUAGUGUGAGGUACUGACUCUGAUUCCAUCAUACCUAGCCCUUGCAAAAUUUUAUUGAAUGAUGCUUCUGGAAGAGCUUUGGUGAAGACGUCAGCCAGUUGAUCAGUGGUUCUUACGAAGUGAACUUCGACAUUUCCAUCUUCCACAUGAUCUUUGAUGAAGUGAUACCUCAGUGCUAUGUGUUUGGUUUUAGAGUGUUGCACCGGGUUAUGACAGAUCCUAAUUGCACUUUCAGAGUCACAAUAUAGAGGGAUCUUCUUCAUAUUGAGUCCAUAGUCUCGAAGUUGACUCUGGAUCCAAAUCACUUGUGAUGUGCAGGAUGCAGCGGCAAUGUAUUCCGCUUCAGCAGUAGACAGCGACACACAUGUUUGUUUCUUGGAUUGCCAGCUGACCAACUUCCCAUCAAGAAAUUGACAGCCACCAGUUGUGCUUUUGCGGUCGAGUCCACAUCCUCCAAGGUCAGCAUCAGAAUAGGCUUGAACGAAGAAGCCAGAGUUGGAUGGAUACCAUAGACCUAAGGAGGCGGUUCGCUUGAGAUAGCGUAGGAUGUUCUUCACUGCCAGCAUGUGAGGUUCGCGUGGGUUAGCCUGAAAUCGAGCACAAUAACAUACAGAAAACAUGAUAUCAGGCCUGCUAGCAGUUAGAUACAUCAGUGAGCCUAUCAUUUGACGAUAGAGCGUGAUGUCGACAGCCGGUUUAUCCAGUGAAGGGGUAAGUUUGGUGCCGAAUGCCAUAGGGACUUUGACUUUUGAGUCUCCCAUCAUGCCAAACUUUGCUAGGAGAGUCUUCGUGUAAGCUUCCUGAUUGAUAAAGAUGCCUUCGGGUCCCUGUCUUAUAUUUAAACCAAGGAAAAAAUUAAUAGGACCCAUUGAGCUCAUUUCAAACUUAGUCUCCAUCAACUUUCUGAAUUCAGCUGUUAAGCUGGGAUUCGUAGAGCCAAAGAUGAUGUCAUCGACAUAAAUUUGAACUAUCAUAAGGUGGUUACCUUCCUUUUUGCGAAAGAAGGUUGGGUCAACCGAACCUUGUUUGAAUUUGGACAUCUUUAAAAAUUUUGUAAGCGUUUCAUACCAGGCUCUCGGAGCUUGUUUGAGGCCGUACACAGCUUUAUCCAGAAUGUAGCAAUGAUUUGGAUACUUUUCGUUCACGAACCCAGGAGGUUGCUCCACAUACACCGUUUCUUCAAGUUCUCCAUUGAGAAAUGCGCACUUGACGUCCAUUUGGAAGACCUCAAAGUUUUUGUGAGCAGCAUAGGCCAGAAAUAUUCUAACCGAUUCUAGCCUAGCUACUGGAGCGAACGUCUCUUCGUAAUCUAUCCCUUCCUCCUGACAGUAUCCUUUGACAACCAGACGAGCCUUGUUCCUUAUGACAUUACCUUCCUUGUCCAUUUUGUUUCUAAAAACCCAUUUGAGACCAACAACUGAAGCAUCCGGAGGAGUUGGAAUGAGGCGCCAGACUUUGUUCCUUUCAAACUCGUUUAGUUCGUCUUGCAUUGCUUGAACCCAAUCAGAGUGAUCGAGGGCAGUGUUCACUGUCUUCGGUUCAACUUUUGAUACAAAUGAGUUAAACAUACAAAACUCAACCUUUGAGAAUAAGGAUGUCUGUUUUGCCUUCAGUUGAGAUCGGGUCAGAACCUUUUCAGAUACAUCACCAACUACUUGAGAGAUAGGAUGAUCUCUGGUCCAUUUUGUAAGAGGAGGGUAAUUCGGAUCAAAGGAUGGAUCUAGUUCAGCGUUGAUCAUCUCUUCAGGCUCGGAUUGGCUAUCAAAAUCAAGCGUCAUAUCAUCAUGCUCCCCCUCAAUUGAUGAGUCUUGACAAACAUGAGGUUCAGGGGUUUCUUGUGGUGCUGGAUUUUCAGGCAUUGAAGCACCUUCGUUUGGAGGGGCAUCUUCGGUUGGAGAGUUACCUUCGGUUGAUGAAGGACCUUCGGUUGAAGUAGUAGAGCUUGGCUCCCCCUGGACUUGUGAGCUAGGCUCCCCCUCGACAAGAGAAUUUGGCUCCCCCUCGACUGAAGCAUUGUUGGUUGGAGAUUCAUCAGUAGGCAAUUCUCCUUCAUGCAUUCUUCUUGCAGCAUCUUCGACAAUCUGCUUCAUAUGAUCUAUUUUGUUGUCGGCUGCCCCUGCUUCUGAGAGAGAAGCUUUUUCCGGUUCAUCAAAGAGAUCCAGAAAAUUCUCGUACAUAUUGGCGAUUGAGACUGUGACUUGACCAGUUUGAGGGAAGAUUUCCCUGGCAGUGUCAUCUAUGGCCUGUAGCUUCUUGACAUAGCUAUCGUCGAAGGUCACAUAGUAUGUCUCUUCAAUCCUUCUUGAUCGUUUGUUUAGGACCCUGUACGCCUUUGAAGUGAGUGAGUAACCCAGAAAGAUUCCCUCGUCGGCUUUGACAUCAAACUUGUUGCGGUGUUCUUUAGAGUUAAAGAUGAAACACCUUGAGCCAAAAACGUGGAAAAAUUUCACAUUGGGCUUCCUGUUGUUUAGUAUCUCAUAUGGUGUGAGCGUGAAUCGCUUGUUGAGAUAGGACCUGUUUUGUGUAUAACAAGCAGCAGAAAUAGCGUCAGCCCAAAAAUAAAGAGGUAAGGAAGCGAAACUUAACAUAGUUCGGGCAGCUUCACACAGAGAUCGGUUUCGUCUUUCGACUAUUCCAUUCUGCUGUGGUGUGUAGGGAGCUGAGAAAUUAUGGCUAAUUCCCUUUUCUGCAAGAAACGCUUCAAACUCCCUGUUCUUGAAUUCGAGACCAUUGUCGCUCCUGAUGUUGCGAACGACCUUCUUGAGCUGGACUUCAAUUUGCUUGAUAAACACUUUCAGCUUUUGAGUCGCUUCAGAUUUGAGCUUUAGAAAGAACACCCAUGUAAAUCUAGAGAAGUCAUCAACGACAACAAGAAUGUACUUGCUACCACCGAUGCUUUCAAUAGAUGAAGGACCACAUAAAUCGAUAUGAAGCAAUUCGAGUGGUUCAACAACUUUUGUGUUAAUUAUGGAUGGGUGACUUUGACGACUCUGCUUUCCCAUUUCACAUGCAGCACAUAAAUGCUCUCUGUCAAACUUGAGCAAUGGAAGACCCCUAACAUGACCUCCAGUGACAAGUCGGUUGAUAUCUUUGAAAUUGAGAUGAGAGAGUCUUCUGUGCCACAACCAGCUUUCGUCGGAUUGAGCUUUUGAUAGCAGACAUAUUGCUGGGUUUCCUUUGAUGGGUUUCAUGUUCAGCGGAAACAUUUCACCCUUUCGCUCUGACUUCAGAAUCACUUUCUUUGUCGUUUUCUCUAUGAUUUCAGAACCUUCAUCAUCGAAUGAAACUUUGAGACCUGUACCUCCAACAAGCUGAGAUACACUGAUGAGGUUGUGUUGAAGUCCUUCCACAUAGGCCACCUUUCUUAUGGUAAAAUCACCAUUCGUUAUCAUCCCAUAUCCCUUUAUGGUGCCGAAAGAGUUAUUUCCAAACUUAACGUUGCCACCAUUUGCAAGAGAUCUGUAUUCCCUGAGUUCCUCUUUCCUCCCUGUCAUGUGACGCGAGCAGCCACUGUCGAUGUACCAUUCUUCGUCAAACUGCUCGUCACUUAUAACCUGCAAAAAUUAAGCAGAUUUAGGAACCCAAAGUUUCUUGGGUCCAUGUGAGGUUUUCAUGGGAACAGGAAUAGUUAGAGAGAUAUCAACAAGAUAUGUUCUUUUAAUUAAAGUUGUUUCAUCUUUCUUUUUAAUGGUGAAAACUUUUAUUUUGUUAGGAUUGGAUUUGUUCGCUUUAGACUCAGGUUUGAAUUCACCGACUUUCUGCUUUUCCUUCUGUUCAGCAGAUGGACGUGGUUUUUGAGAACCCAUGGAAUUAGUGUUAGAGCAAGAUGGAGAUGAACAAGAAGAAUUAGGAAGAGAGGAUUUGGAUUUGGAUGGAGGUGUCUUCCUUGCUGAUGACUCUAGGUGACCCUUUUGCUUUUGAUCGUUGGUGGGUUUAACCUUUGAGUCUUGUUCUCUUCUGACUUCAGAACCGAACCUCUGAGUUCGGUUGGAGUUGUUCUUGGAACCGAACCUUUGGUUUCGGUUGAAAUCCUUUUCAGAACCGAACCUUUGCUUUCGGUUGGUAUUUUCAUGCGAACCGAACCUUGGCUUUCGGUUGGUAUCUUCUUGCGAACCGAACCUUGGCUUUCGGUUGGUAUCUUCUUGCGAACCGAACCUUGGCUUUCGGUUGGUAUCUUCUUGCGAACCGAACCUUGGCUUUCGGUUGUUGGAAUUAUCGUGCUUUCUUACGAGAUUAUUUUCAUACUUCAGAUUCUUGUCCUUGUGUGAAUAGUAUGCAUUCUGGGAGUGCCAGAAUUGUUUCCUUUCAGAAAGGUUUUUCCUGUAUCUUAGGUUCCUUUCUAUCUUUUUAUCCCUCAUCUGUUUAGGUUGAUGAUGAACGUUCGCUUUCGCUUUUGAUGUAACCUUUGCUGAUUCCUUUUGAACUUUAGGAGUUUUUCUUUGAAACGAGGGAGCAGAGGGAAUAUCUGAAGAAGAUUCAGUUUGCCCUGAGGAAGUGGAAGGAGUAUCUGAUGAAGUUUCACUUCGAGCUGUUGGCGUUGAAGGAAUGUCUUCUUUUACUGAAUGAUCAACCUCUUGAGGAGUGUCUUUUGUACCACUUGUGCUUGGUUCACUGAAAUUAUCAGGCUUGUUCAAGGGUUCAGGUAUGUAUCUCCCUUUCUUCAUCCAAGAGGUUCUUUCAGAUAGGCCAACGGUUUCGUUUCCAUUGUCAAUAGGAGCUUCCCAGAAGAACUCAUCACAGCCAUCAGCAUUGUCUUCGUUAACAAUAGCCGUGAGUUCAGCUGUCUGAUGUUCGGUUACUCCAGUCACUUUGUAUACCUGAUUCGGAGUGGUUCUGACCUUUUGAUAGACAACAGCCUUUUCUACUAAUUUCGGGGACUUUUGUUGGGACAAUCUAGCGAAUUCCACAGAAUUUUCAGAAACAAGAUUUUUGUGGUUUUCAGUUUCGCUUUUCACAAAUUCUGAGCAGUCAACCGUAUCCUCUACAGAAAUUUCACUCAUGUUUUCGUCCUCGUUAAGCUCAGAUGCAUUUUCAACAUCAAUUUUAUUUUCUGAGCUUACUUUGGCAUUUAGAGAGUCAAACUUUUGUAUGGUUUCGGUUCUCAGUUUAAGUCUAUCAUUUUCGUCCAACAGAUUUUUGAGCAUGUCCUUAUGGUCUUUGGAUUUAAUGAAGGACUCAAUUUUGUCCAGUCCAAUUUGAUAAGUUGGGUUGACAUCAUCAGACGAAAUCACACUCUCACAAUUGUAAGCUUCGGCAUCGAUUUCAUCCUCCUUAAAUUCUAGGAAUGGUAAAAUCAUACGGUGGAUCUUUUUGCCUAUCUCACAGUCCAAGUGCAGCUGAGUAAUAUUGGAAUAUAAACGUUUAGCUAUUAAACAAAAAACAUUUCGUUGUUUUAACAAUUUCAAAUUGUCUCUCUGCAAAUAAAUGUUUUCGUCUUUGACUUUAAUUAAUUCCGACUCUUUUAACUCAAUCCACAUACGCCGCUCCUCACUCUUCGACGCCACCCUGCUUAAUUGAUCAGUCAGGUUAGAAUUGGUGACUCUAGUUUGAGUUAAGCUACUAUCUAAAUGAGAAAUUCUUGUGUUAACGUUUUUUAGUUCUUUCUCAUAUGAGGAUGAUGGUACUUUAGAUGAAAUAAAAACAGAUUGUACCUUCUUUAUCAGUUCAUCAAGCUCAUUGAACUGUUGGCUGAGUGGUUUGGCUGUGAAGCACAUAUCUUCCUGCACUUUCGGUCCAUUGCUUCCUCCAUCGGUAUUGUAUCCCCUCAUUUGAGAUGCGCUUGACACCAUGAAGCAUUUUCCACCACUGCUUUCCUCCUUAGCCAUAUAAGCCUUUCCAUGAGUAGGCUUCCUCACUUCUUCGUCUUCUGAGUCAGUAGACCAAACUUCGGUGCUACCGAACUCAUCGUUAUUAACCGAACCCUGCACAAUAAGAGCAUUAAUAGAAGGGUUAGCGGUAGACUUUUUCUUCCUCAACUCAUCCAACCUCUUCUGCAGUACGGCUUCCUCAUCCUUUCCGUCAUCCUUUUCAGCCAUCUUUUUAAGAACACAGUCCUUAGCAUAGUGGUUCUUGCCACCACAGUAAAAACAGCUUACUCCGGAAUCGCCAUCUGCCUUCGGUUCCUUCUUGGACUCCUCAGCCUUCGGUUCAUUGUUUGCCUUUUCAGAGCUAUAACUCCCCUGCCAGUUUCGGUUUUUGUUGCUGGGGAAUCUCUUCUUUAUGAACCUCUUAGGAUUGGAUACCAUCAUGGCAUAAUCCUCAGUUGUGAGGUCAUAUUCUUCCAAGUUGAGCUCUUCAUCCUCCAUCACGGCUUUACUUUUAGAUAGGAGGGCCAACGAACCAAGACUAGACACAACGUUCUUCUCUUGAACAACAAUCUUCUCUUGGGACUUUAGAAUACCCACCAGUUUCGCCAAAGAGUAUGAUUUAAACUGUUCAUGGGCUUUGACUGUGGAAACUACUGCUCUCCAUUCCGAUCUCAGUCCGUUCAAGAAAGUAACCUUUUGUUCGAUGAGCUUCCUUUCAAUGUCGUGUUUGAUCAUCUUGCUGAGAAGAUGAUUGAAGCGAUCAAACGUCUGGGUCACGGUUUCUUCGGCCCCUUGCCUGAAUUCUCCAAACUCAGAUAGAAGCAAGGUUUGGAUGGAGUGUUCAAGAUCUUCGUCUGUUGAAUACAGUUCGCGAAGUCUAUCCCACACUUCCUUCGCCGUAGUGCAUGAGCUGACUAGUCUGAAUGUGUCGGACUGAAGGGCGAAUCUGAUCAACCUUAGUGCCUUAAUAUUGCACUGGAAUUUAUCUUUCUCAUCCUGCGCAAUAUUCGUCACGUCCUUGAGCAAAUCGUUGUAUUCUUUUUGCGUCUUAAUAACUCUGGAUGUCGCGGAAUGAGAAAAUGGUCCAUUGAUAAUGGCUUCCCAUAUGAGAAAACCAUUGUCCUCCGAUCCAAUCACGUAAUCUUCAAAAUGAUGUGCCCAUACUUCAUAGUCAUGGGUGUAUAAGAUUGGAAUCUUUGUCGUCGAACCAAUGCUGUUGGAAAUAUUAAUAGGGUUUGAUUGCGUCGCGUCCAUUAUGAUCGUAAUAACCUGUUCAAAGAUCAGACUUGUAAUAAAGCAGAUUAGGGCAAAACAAUAAAUACUAAGAUACGUCAAUUAAGAUGACGGCUCAAUAAAUAUCGAUGAUUGCGGAAAAACCCUAAUGGAAAUAUUUUUCACAAAAAACNUCUGAUACCAAUUGAUGGGAUUAAAAAUAACUUUUAAUCUAUGAAGAUCGAUUAGAUCUUGAACAAGUAUAUGAAUAUGAAACAGCAAGAACACAAUAUUAAUAAUAAGGCAGAACGCAAUAAUAAGAACAAACAGCUUGAAUCAAACGUGUCGAAUGAUUAAAUAAAAUCCUUAGAAGAGCUCGAUUAAGAACAUCAACUGUAAAGGAUUAGAAGAUUACAAGAGAGCAAUAUCGUAAAACUCUGGAAUGCUAAAUCUGAAAUCUUGAAUCUUAACCUAAUAUGCAUGCAAGCAUUAACUUAAAUACUAUACAUAAAAGGGUCUCGGUUGGACAGGCCCAAACCAGAGAAUACAAGGCUAUUCUAACGAGCCCAAAAGACGCAACAUCAAAAGCUAUCUCCAGCCCAACAAACACCAAUCAUAUUCUCCAAGAUAUUUAACUAUACUUAGAGUAAAGUUGGGUAUGGAGAUGAUAGUAUUCACAUAAUUCACACAAAUUAAAUUUUGUUAGAUCCAUUGAUAAAUUAUUCUAUUGAGUUAUGUAUGAAUGGUCACACUUCAUCUAUUAGAAUUUAUUAUUCUAGAAAUCGGUUUUUGAUUUGGAUUUGGUAUUUGGAUAUUGGAACAUUUUAACAACAAUUAUUAGAUAUUGUUAUGAUAUAUUGUGAUAUAAUCAUCACAUUAAUACUUGUUGUGUUCUAUAUUAACAUGUUUAAUCCAUGAAUAAUGUUAUUAUUCUAUAAGUUCAUAAUCGGUUAUAAUUGUGGGAGCAUUGAUAAAGUAAGACUAAUAUGAAUUGGAUUGGUUGACACUUACUAGAUGAAAGUAGGCAAGUGGUUGUAACCAAGUUUUAUAGGUACUUGUCAGAGAACUAAUAUUGAACUUACCUACAUCAAGAUCAUCUCAUGGAUCGCUAAUAUGAAUGAUACAUGAUUAAAAAGGUACUAUCUUCGUAUUCUUAACACCUGAGAUACAUAGUGGGACUUAGCUGUAGGGAGUACAAUGAUUUGAUAAUGGUCAAAUGUUUUUCCAUAACCAGGCAGUUAUAAAAUCCAUUUUCAGGUAUGGUGUGAACUAUGCAAGAUGCUUAUGUAGUCAAGAUGUGAUAAUCGUCAAGUUCAAGUCAAAGUCAAAGUCAAAAAGUCAAAGUCAACGUCAACAAGUCAAAGUCAAGUCAACAAGUCAAAUCGGUCAAUCUUGUAUAAUACUUGUAUGAUUAAAAGUUAUUCUAUGAAAACGUACAAUUGUGUGUUAAGAAUUCGAGUGUCUUGGUAAAUAUAUGUGUUUAUCAAUGUGAAACCUAAAGAAGGGAGUUAAACGCAUCAAAACACGUCUAGGAACCCUUUUGGGGACUUAAAAGAAUCAUAAACGAAGUAUAUCGGGGUCCACGGACCAUGCAUUGCAAGACUAUUCAAUGAAUAUGGCUAAAAGUGAAUCUCUUCAAAAUCUCUCCCAAAUCUCUCUCAAAAUCUCUCUCAACCUUUUAUAGUCAUCCGGGUCAUCCCGUCCCUUAACUUGGCCAAAAAUCACUCAAAAUGAGAAGUUAUAUUGAAAAAUAGCCAUUUACGGCCGAAACCCUCUUAGGAACCGAACCCUCUUAGAGGGAACCACUCAUUAGAAGCGAACUCAUCAGAAGCGAACUCGUCAGAAGCGAAGCCCCUCAGACCGAACCUUGUGAACCGAACCUGACCUUCGGGCCCGAGCCUCCACCUUCGGUCCCUUGACAUGCCUUUGGUCUCUCCUCCUCCCUUCUCUCGGUUCUCACCUCCCAAGGGCCAAACCUCGCACGUUCGCUUCCUUCUCCCAGUUUUCGACUACUUUCGCCUCCUAAGCCUGUUUUUGACGGGAUUUUUUCACCAAAUUCAUAUUUUUACUAUUUUAAACUCCCAUAACUCAUAUUUUAUUUAUUUCUCAAGGAUUUAUUAAUUUAAAAUUAUUAUUUUAUAUUAAGAGGAUAAUUACCCCACAAGUGGGUUAAGUGUGCCCACUUGCCUUCCAUGUGUCACCCUCUCACUUGCCACCUUAUCCACAUCACACAAACCAAUGCACACAUCACUUCAACAUCACAACUUGCUCCAGCAACUCACCUAUAUAAAGAAAUCCCUUGAGGAUUUCUUGGUUUACUUGAUCAUUCCCACACUUUUACACCUUUCUUACCACACAAAGAAGCUUAUUUUCUCUCAACUUGCAGCCACUUUUGGAAGUGUUCUUAGGCUAUUAAUUCACUUUUUUGUAAUUAUAUCCUCUAAACUCAAGUGUUAUUCCAUGUUUUCAUAACAUCCUUGAAUCAUCUACACACAUUCUAACGCUAAAGAAUUGUUCUUAGGAUCAUCCGAGCUUUUACGUGUUCAUCAAGUGUUCUUGACCUGAUACUCCUCGUCUUGAACUUACGCUCUUCCAUGAAUCACUAAAGGUGAGUUCAUACCCCUACAUUUUCUAGUUUUCUUUAGUUUUCAGCGGGAGGACACAAGUUAAAACACUAAAACACAUUUGAAACUUAACUUGACAGCUUACAACUGAAAAGUUGUGACCUGUUCAAGAUCUGUUUUACCCAACUUAAACUUAAUAUUUUUCAAAACUGUUUAAUAUGAAAAUAUUUCAGGUAUAUACCUUUAAAAUGAAUACUUUCACAUCUCCAUACGAUUUUCCUUCAAUUUUUGGUGAUUUUUACAAAACUGCCUAUCACUGCAGCAACGAAAUCGGACCAGGAUGUGAAAAUGAACAUUUUCACACUGGUUUGAGACAACCAAAACUUAUAAGAAAAUUUGUGAUCAUAGUAGACUCUUUUUCCAAACUGUCCGAGUUUAUGGAUUUAGUUUACGACUUACGAUGAUUUUUCUAUAAAUAGUCUAAAACAGUGACAGUUAAGAGUAAAUAUUAAAACAGGUUUAAGAGUUAUUCACACAUUGUAACAUGUUGAGCAAUGUGUGUAGGAGUUUAUACUUAGCAUUUUCAAUGUCAUUUUAUUGAAAUACAAAGUCAUGCAUAGUAAGGUUCCAUUUACAACAUAAAACAUUUUGAUAAAACUAUAAUAGGUAUAGUUUGGACACCUCAAACGGUAAUACUAUCGAGUUAUAAAGCGAGUAUUUUAUUACAAACUACGUGAACAUGUUAAUAAACAAAUUUGUGAGACAUUCAUCUUCGGUGUAAUCUUUAGUGCUACUUAAAAGUCUUGUAGUUAUAGCCAGAAUCUCUUGUAGGGAGAGCGUGAUUGCUGUAUAUAGAUCUAUAUUGGGUUUGGCAACCCACACCUGAGCUGUUUACAACAGCUAGACCGGCAGUUCUGGGGUGACAAGUGUCAUAACAUUCCGAUGCGUGAAGAACGUCGAGUACGAGGUCCUCGAGUCAUAGUAUGGUUAUAGCAACUCACAUGGGAAAAUUAACAAACACACCGUUCACGGGAAUUUAAUGAUUUCACGAAAAGGGGUUUUAUUUAAUUAUAAAACCACAUAUAAGUAUGAUGAUUUACUCACAUAUACUAAGUCUUGGGUCAGUUAAGACUACACUAAACCUUUUAGAAAAUAUUGGAUUUUCUGGAAACAAACUUAUAACAAACUUUAAGGAGCAACAUGCAUUUUUCAUUCAUAAAUUGCUUAUGAACUCACCAGCUUUAAUGCUGAUACUCUUUCAAAAACAACUUGUAUUCUCAGGUAAUCAGUAAUAUAGGUAACCAUAAGACUUUUGAAGAAAAGACGCUAAGGCGUAGAUUUCUUUUUAACUAUUUUGACAUCAUAUGUAAUUUCUUUGGAAACAUAUAUUUUGCAACGAUGUAACCUUUUAAAUUAUAUUUAUGAUGGUUGUGUUUACUUUCUUCACUAUGGUUAUGAUACUGAACAUGACGUCCUCCGCCCCCGAACGUUUCCGCCGUUCCGGUUUGGGAGUGUGACAGAUUGGUAUCAGAGCUUUGUUUAUAGUGAACUAAGUAUAUCGAACCACAUAAGAUAUACAAGCUAUAAAUACAACGGGAUAAAAUUCUCUGACGUAGCCUUUCAAAAAUACUUGUAAAAGUAAAAAUCUGUAUUUUUAUAAAAGUAUUCGUACCAUCGCAUUCACUAGUUCAGUAUCACAAUAGCAAUAACAUAAAAGUAUUGAGACAAGUUAGACACCAUGAUCCAGCUUCUGAGUAUGUAGUCAAAUCUUGGAUGAAUAUAGCCCAAUCAACUAUAUUUAUCCAAGGUAUGACCAACGUAUGCCGAAGGAGGAUCAUGAUGAGCAACAAGUCUUCAACUUACCAAAAAUCUUGAGAAUCAAACGUAAAAAUAAUAUAGGAGUAUUUUAACACAAAUAAUCAUAUCAUAAAAUUACAAUAACUAAUUUUGUAUACUAAAAUUUCUCGCAAUAUCCUUCUUAUCCAUAUUCUCAUAUAGGCGCGAUGAAAGGAUUUCACUUACCGGGUGACCCCUACUUCCCCAAUCAAGGGAUUGCUGGUUGGAUUGAGGAAGACUCGGAGGAAGAUUCUGAUGAGGAACCCAUGGAGGAUGAAGAACCCAUGGAAGAGGAAGAAUCAGAAGAAAGUGAAGAAGAAGAAGAAGACUUAGAUGGAACCGAUUCGGAACACGAAGUUUACAAUCCACACCCUGCCCCUAAUCCUCCACAACACUACCAGGGCCCGACGCCCCAAUGGGCCGAAACUAUACAUCGAUGGAGCCGAGAGCAAGGUCAACGACCUCCCUAUAGCAUGCAACGGGGUUUCUACGAUCUCAACAGAGGAGGGUCAGCCGACCGAGCCCUCCCCGUCAUAAUUCACCGUGUCACACGCCACGAAGAGCAAACAAGCGUUAACACACAACAUCUCAUGGAAGUUGGUGCCACCAGUCAAUUCAACUCCGUUCGUAUUCGCCGGUUGGAGGAUGACCACGAUCGAAAUUAAGACCGCACCGAGCUUCUUUGACGGGAGAUGGCCGCGACCCGAGCUGAAGUACAAGAAAUUCGAGAACACCGAGCUGCUUUGGAAGGACGUCUGACAGACACAGAACGCCAGGCAGCUAAAUCCAGAGCAGAAAUGAGGAACUUUGUGUCUUCAUUUCUUGAUCAGCAGAGCUUCAACCACCGCAAGUAGUACUUGCACUGCUCGCCUCAGCUUAAUGUAGUUUUGCGGAAAAAUAUUACUAUUAUUUUCUAGUAUGUUAUGUCCGAUCCCGCGAUUUAACUGUUUACACUUCGGGGAUCUGUUAGGUGGACAAAUUUUUCUAUACAUUGAUGUAAUAUAGACCCUUAUACGGUCAAAUUUUUGCAAUAUUGUAUCCUAAGUUAUAUCAAUGAAAUUGACACGCUAUUUGCUUUAUCACAUCAAGUUCAUGAUAAGGAUUGUUUUCAGACUAAAUUUACUGGUGUCUGAUUUAUGGUUGUUUGAUUUAUAAGUCAAAUUAUAUAUAAUUAAGACCAUGUCGACCUAGAAAAGAUAGUUCCGCCUUGGAUCCUGUUCCUUGUUUGGUUGUGGACCUAGGACAGACCCAGUAGAUUCGAAAGUUUAUUUUAUCUUAACUAUAUGUAAAUAUUAUACAUCAAACGAUUUAUGCGUGGGCCCAGUAUGGAUUCUAUCUCAAACAUUUCAUGUAAAUCAAAUCUAUCAGCAUUCAUAAAGUCUAUAUUUUAUUAUCUAUAGACCUCUAGUAUGAAUGGAUUCAUACAAUAACUUUACAAGUCAAAAUCAUUAUGUACUUAAAGAACUAAUAAUGUUAGUUUAACUCUCGACUUUUGGAGAUCUAUCAAAGACUUAUUGUCUUUUCAUUCUUGUUAUGGUAGAAAAUGCCACCUCGUAGAAAUCCUAGACGUGGCGGCGUCGAAGGAGCUCCACCACCACCACCACCACCUCAGUUCGACCCGGUAAUGUUCCAGGCUGUCGUAACAGCUACAGUAGCAGCAGCAAUGUCCCAAAUCAGCACCAAUAAUGCAGGUGGUGCGAGUAAUGGUCCCACAAAUUCUAAGAACAGGGAUAGUCAGGGACGCUCAAGAGAGUGUACCUACAAAGACUUUACUAAUGCCAAACCUAAAACUUUCAAUGGGAGUGGAGGUGUCAUAGCAUUGCUCCAAUGGUUUGAGAAGACCAAAUCAGUCUUUGAAAUAUGUGCACGCCCUGAACCAAACAAGGUCAAGUUUGCAGCAUGCACAUUCUCUGAAAGGGCACUCACCUGGUGGAAUGGCCACAUCAAGACAUUUACACUUCCGGUGGCUAACUCGAUAACAUGGGAAGACAUGAAACCCAUGUUGAUGAAGGAUUACUACCCAAGGGAUAAGAUACAAAAGUUGGAAGAGGAACUUUGGGGCCUCAAAAUGACAGGCUCCGACAUCCUAUCUUAUACCUCAAGAUUUAAUGAUCUAGCAAUACUGUGUCCAGGAAUGGUUCCGUCGGAAAGCAAGAAGAUCGAAAGAUACAUUUGGGGACUAUCUUCCUAACUUCAAGGAAGCGUAUUGGCCUCAAGGCCAACUACCUUUGAUAGUGCCAAAGAACUGGCACAGCAACUCAUCGAUCAUAAAGCCAGUCAUGGCACUGUGACAACCACCUCCGAGCAAGCUAAAGGAGGAAACAACAAAAGGAAGUUUUGGAACAAGAAGAAGGGUCAACCUGCUCAAGACCCUGCCAAGAAACAACAAGUGGUUGUUGUAAAUGCCGCCACAACUACCGCCAACCCAACUCCAAUAAGGCAAUACGCCGGGAACCUGUCAAAGUGCAACAAAUGCAACUUUCACCAUAAUGGCACUUGUCGUGAAAUGCAUUGCACCAACUGUAACAAAAAGGAGCACACCGCUCGAUUUUGUAAAGCUCCAGUCCAACAAAACGCACAAGCUGCCAACGCAGGAGCAAGUCAAAACUGCUAUGGUUGUGGAGAGGCAGGACACUUCAAGCGGAACUGCCCAAAGGCAAGAAACCCCAACACUGUUGGAGUGGGCAGAGUUCUGGCAGUAGUUCAUGAGGAAGCAGUUGCAGACCCAACUGUGGUCACCGGUACGUUUUCCUCAAUAAUACAUACGUAUGCAUUCUUUUCGAUAGUGGCGCGGAGAAAAGCUUAGUGAGCCAUCAAUUUAAACGCUUGCUUAAACAAAAACCACAAAUACUAAAAGACACAUUCACCGUAGAAAUGGCUAUUGGAAAAACAGAGAAUACUAACGACAUUUACAUUGGGUGUACUCUCACCAUAAACAAUCACUCAUUCCAAAUCGACCUAAUGACAGUCACCAUAAAAAGUUUUGAUGUCAUUAUUGGCAUGGAUUGGUUAUGCCAUCACCAUGCCGAAAUUCUAUGUCACGACAAGGCCGUUCGCCUUAAUCUGCCGAAUGGUGAAACUCUCGUCGUCUAUGGUGACAAACCCAGUUCAAACUUUCAGAUCAAUUCGUGUGUUAAGGCCCAAAAGUACCUCCGCAAGGAGUACCACGCCUUCCUAGCCAACGUUGUGGAUAUGAUUCAAGAAGCUAAAAACAUAAAGGACAUUCAAGAGGUCUGUAAUUUCCCUGACGUAUUCCCGGAAGACCUUCCAGGAGUACCCCCUGCUAGACAAGUCGAAUUUCGAAUCGACCUAAUUUCAGGAUCUACUCCUGUAGCCAAAUCGCCAUACCGUCUAGCCCCAGCCAAGAUGCAGGAACUGUCGAGUCAACUAAACGAACUACUUAGCAAAGGCUUCAUUAGACCAAGCUUCUCUCCUUGGGGAGCACCGAUAUUGUUCGUUAAGAAGAAGACCGGAUCGUUCCAUAUCUGCAUUGACUACCGCGAAUUAAAAAAAAUUGUGACAAUAGUCAAAAUCGGGUCAAGUCUAAGCCGGUCAAGGUCAACGAGUCAAACCGGUCAACUCGAUUAAAACCUUGUAUGAUAGGGUUUAUAUUAUGUAAUUACUGUAUAACUCACUAUUUUAAUGAGAAAACACCACUUGGAAAGUUCAUGUGUUUAAAUUUCCUUAGCAUUAGUGCUAAACAAUGAACAAAAACAAUAAAACAAUGUUGCAUACUCAUAGGGAGUGCGUAAGAUCCUAAAACAUGGCACAACAGGGUCUAAGGACCUUGCAUUACGAAGCCGGACACUCUCAUUCAUCACACACGAAAAACACUCUCAAUCGUUUUCACUCUAUCUCCCUGUAUGUGAAAUCUCUCCCAAAUCUCUCCAAGUAUGUCAAAUCUCUCCCAAAUCUCUCUAAGUAUGUGAAAUCUCUCUCACAUAUCUCUUUGUAUGUGAAAUCUCUCCAUGUAUGUCAAAUCUCUCCAAGUACGUCAAAUCUCUCCCAAAUCUCUCUGAGAACGAGGAAUCUCUCUCAAAUCUCUCUCGAAAUCUCUCCCAACUUUCUAUAAUCACUCGGGGCAUCCCGACCCUCGAAUUUGGCGAAAAUAGCCCAAGAACGGAAGUCUACGCGAAAAACGGACUUAAGGAAACGAACCCUCCGAACCGAAAGUACUAUUCAUGAACCGAACCGAAAGCACUAUUCAUGAGGGUCCGAACCGAAAGUACUGUUCAUGAGCUGGACCGAAGUUACUGUUCAUCCGAACCGAACCCNNNNNNNNNNNNNNNNNNNNNNNNNNNNNNNNNNNNNNNNNNNNNNNNNNNNNNNNNNNNNNNNNNNNNNNNNNNNNNNNNNNNNNNNNNNNNNNNNNNNNNNNNNNNNNNNNNNNNNNNNNNNNNNNNNNNNNNNNNNNNNNNNNNNNNNNNNNNNNNNNNNNNNNNNNNNNNNNNNNNNNNNNNNNNNNNNNNNNNNNNNNNNNNNNNNNNNNNNNNNNNNNNNNNNNNNNNNNNNNNNNNNNNNNNNNNNNNNNNNNNNNNNNNNNNNNNNNNNNNNNNNNNNNNNNNNNNNNNNNNNNNNNNNNNNNNNNNNNNNNNNNNNNNNNNNNNNNNNNNNNNNNNNNNNNNNNNNNNNNNNNNNNNNNNNNNNNNNNNNNNNNNNNNNNNNNNNNNNNNNNNNNNNNNNNNNNNNNNNNNNNNNNNNNNNNNNNNNNNNNNNNNNNNNNNNNNNNNNNNNNNNNNNNNNNNNNNNNNNNNNNNNNNNNNNNNNNNNNNNNNNNNNNNNNNNNNNNNNNNNNNNNNNNNNNNNNNNNNNNNNNNNNNNNNNNNNNNNNNNNNNNNNNNNNNNNNNNNNNNNNNNNNNNNNNNNNNNNNNNNNNNNNNNNNNNNNNNNNNNNNNNNNNNNNNNNNNNNNNNNNNNNNNNNNNNNNNNNNNNNNNNNNNNNNNNNNNNNNNNNNNNNNNNNNNNNNNNNNNNNNNNNNNNNNNNNNNNNNNNNNNNNNNNNNNNNNNNNNNNNNNNNNNNNNNNNNNNNNNNNNNNNNNNNNNNNNNNNNNNNNNNNNNNNNNNNNNNNNNNNNNNNNNNNNNNNNNNNNNNNNNNNNNNNNNNNNNNNNNNNNNNNNNNNNNNNNNNNNNNNNNNNNNNNNNNNNNNNNNNNNNNNNNNNNNNNNNNNNNNNNNNNNNNNNNNNNNNNNNNNNNNNNNNNNNNNNNNNNNNNNNNNNNNNNNNNNNNNNNNNNNNNNNNNNNNNNNNNNNNNNNNNNNNNNNNNNNNNNNNNNNNNNNNNNNNNNNNNNNNNNNNNNNNNNNNNNNNNNNNNNNNNNNNNNNNNNNNNNNNNNNNNNNNNNNNNNNNNNNNNNNNNNNNNNNNNNNNNNNNNNNNNNNNNNNNNNNNNNNNNNNNNNNNNNNNNNNNNNNNNNNNNNNNNNNNNNNNNNNNNNNNNNNNNNNNNNNNNNNNNNNNNNNNNNNNNNNNNNNNNNNNNNNNNNNNNNNNNNNNNNNNNNNNNNNNNNNNNNNNNNNNNNNNNNNNNNNNNNNNNNNNNNNNNNNNNNNNNNNNNNNNNNNNNNNNNNNNNNNNNNNNNNNNNNNNNNNNNNNNNNNNNNNNNNNNNNNNNNNNNNNNNNNNNNNNNNNNNNNNNNNNNNNNNNNNNNNNNNNNNNNNNNNNNNNNNNNNNNNNNNNNNNNNNNNNNNNNNNNNNNNNNNNNNNNNNNNNNNNNNNNNNNNNNNNNNNNNNNNNNNNNNNNNNNNNNNNNNNNNNNNNNNNNNNNNNNNNNNNNNNNNNNNNNNNNNNNNNNNNNNNNNNNNNNNNNNNNNNNNNNNNNNNNNNNNNNNNNNNNNNNNNNNNNNNNNNNNNNNNNNNNNNNNNNNNNNNNNNNNNNNNNNNNNNNNNNNNNNNNNNNNNNNNNNNNNNNNNNNNNNNNNNNNNNNNNNNNNNNNNNNNNNNNNNNNNNNNNNNNNNNNNNNNNNNNNNNNNNNNNNNNNNNNNNNNNNNNNNNNNNNNNNNNNNNNNNNNNNNNNNNNNNNNNNNNNNNNNNNNNNNNNNNNNNNNNNNNNNNNNNNNNNNNNNNNNNNNNNNNNNNNNNNNNNNNNNNNNNNNNNNNNNNNNNNNNNNNNNNNNNNNNNNNNNNNNNNNNNNNNNNNNNNNNNNNNNNNNNNNNNNNNNNNNNNNNNNNNNNNNNNNNNNNNNNNNNNNNNNNNNNNNNNNNNNNNNNNNNNNNNNNNNNNNNNNNNNNNNNNNNNNNNNNNNNNNNNNNNNNNNNNNNNNNNNNNNNNNNNNNNNNNNNNNNNNNNNNNNNNNNNNNNNNNNNNNNNNNNNNNNNNNNNNNNNNNNNNNNNNNNNNNNNNNNNNNNNNNNNNNNNNNNNNNNNNNNNNNNNNNNNNNNNNNNNNNNNNNNNNNNNNNNNNNNNNNNNNNNNNNNNNNNNNNNNNNNNNNNNNNNNNNNNNNNNNNNNNNNNNNNNNNNNNNNNNNNNNNNNNNNNNNNNNNNNNNNNNNNNNNNNNNNNNNNNNNNNNNNNNNNNNNNNNNNNNNNNNNNNNNNNNNNNNNNNNNNNNNNNNNNNNNNNNNNNNNNNNNNNNNNNNNNNNNNNNNNNNNNNNNNNNNNNNNNNNNNNNNNNNNNNNNNNNNNNNNNNNNNNNNNNNNNNNNNNNNNNNNNNNNNNNNNNNNNNNNNNNNNNNNNNNNNNNNNNNNNNNNNNNNNNNNNNNNNNNNNNNNNNNNNNNNNNNNNNNNNNNNNNNNNNNNNNNNNNNNNNNNNNNNNNNNNNNNNNNNNNNNNNNNNNNNNNNNNNNNNNNNNNNNNNNNNNNNNNNNNNNNNNNNNNNNNNNNNNNNNNNNNNNNNNNNNNNNNNNNNNNNNNNNNNNNNNNNNNNNNNNNNNNNNNNNNNNNNNNNNNNNNNNNNNNNNNNNNNNNNNNNNNNNNNNNNNNNNNNNNNNNNNNNNNNNNNNNNNNNNNNNNNNNNNNNNNNNNNNNNNNNNNNNNNNNNNNNNNNNNNNNNNNNNNNNNNNNNNNNNGGGGUGUGACAGAUUGGUAUCAGAGCACGGUUUAUAGUGAAUUAAGUAUAUCAAACAACAUAGGAUAUACAAACUAUAAACACAUUUGGGACUAAGAGUCUCUGAUUUUAAAACAUUCUAACCGGUUAUACUUUUUUGAAAACGAAUAAGUUCUGUUUAAAAAUAUACCUACAUGCAUUGCAUACGCGCGUAGUGUCAUAACUAGAAGNNNNNNNNNNNNNNNNNNNNNNNNNNNNNNNNNNNNNNNNNNNNNNNNNNNNNNNNNNNNNNNNNNNNNNNNNNNNNNNNNNNNNNNNNNNNNNNNNNNNGGGAGAUCCGAACCGAAGGUACUGUUCACUACAGUUCCUUCGGUUUUUAGCCUGACCUCGGACCGAACUCUGCCUUCGCGUCGGACUGCUUCCCUUCGGACCGAACCACCGCCUUCGCUUCUCGCCUUCGCGUCAGACAGCUUCACCUCGGACCGAGCCGUCGCUUCGCGUCCCGCCUCCGGAUCCAGCCUCCCGCGUCCGAACCGAGCUCCAGCUGACCGAGCCUCGGCCGAGAUCCGAAGAACUUCGCUGGAAAAUGCAAUUUUCACCCCGUUUUUGCAUAUUUUUGCGUUUUAAACCCAUUUCUAAUUAUUUUAACAUGGGAUUUUCACCCAAAACUUUAUUUUUAAUUAUAAGACCCCUAAAUUAAUGAUUUAAUCACAUUUUANNNNNNNNNNNNNNNNNNNNNNNNNNNNNNNNNNNNNNNNNNNNNNNNNNNNNNNNNNNNNNNNNNNNNNNNNNNNNNNNNNNNNNNNNNNNNNNNNNNNNNNNNNNNNNNNNNNNNNNNNNNNNNNNNNNNNNNNNNNNNNNNNNNNNNNNNNNNNNNNNNNNNNNNNNNNNNNNNNNNNNNNNNNNNNNNNNNNNNNNNNNNNNNNNNNNNNNNNNNNNNNNNNNNNNNNNNNNNNNNNNNNNNNNNNNNNNNNNNNNNNNNNNNNNNNNNNNNNNNNNNNNNNNNNNNNNNNNNNUUAUCUACUGAAAUCACACAAGGUGAGUUCAUACCCCUACAUUUUCAUGUUUUCUUAAGUUUUUAGGGGGGGAAUACAAGUUAAAACACCAAGAACAUAACUAAAAUUUUCUAACAGCUUUCAUCAGAAAAGUUAGACUCCAUUCACGGACUGUUUUGGACACCUUAAACAUUUUAGUUUUCAAAACUGUUUUAGGUGCAUGUAGUUCCACUUCUUAGCUUUAAAAUGACUACUUGCACAUCCCCAUACGAUUUUUCUACAAUUUAUGGUGAUUUUUACAAAACUGCCUAUCAUUCCAAGCACCAAUCCGGACCAGUCUGUGAUUAUGGACUUUUUCACCCAAGUUGGAGGUCAUUAAAAAUCAUGAUAAAAAUUAUGAGUAAACUAGACACAUUUUGGGAACUCUCAGAAUUUACGGAUUUAGUUUUCGACUUCGUAUGAUUUUUCUAUGGCUUUUCUAAAACAGUGCAGGAAGGUCUAAUUUAGUUAAUUUCAUAUAAUUUUCAUAACACCUUGUAACAUGUUGAGCAGGGUGCAUAUUAUUACGUAUUCAUGUAUAAUUGCAAUAUACGACAUUCUUUUGUUAGUAUCUAAACAUAAACCUGUUAACAAAUGGAUUUUCACUAGACAAAGCAUAGAUUACACAAAGCGUUAUUAUUGAAGUAUACCCAUUACACACAAACGUUAAAUGAACUAUGUUAAGUAAAAAUUUCGUACUUUACUGUUACUACCUUCGUUUUGCCAAACUAUAAUAGGUAUAGUUUACGAGGGAUUUCAAAAUGCAUACAUUACAAAAAGGAAACUUUCAUUGUGAUUAAGUGUAAAUUCGUUAAUAACUUUGUGAGACAUCCUCUUCACAUAAAUCAUAAGUCCUGUAUUGUAACCAGAGUCUCCUGGAAGGAGAGCGUGAUAGUUGUAUAUAGAUCUAUAUUGGGUUUGACACCCCACACCUUGCUGCUAGCUACAGUUGGACCUGCAGGUCUACGGGUGACAAGUGUCAUUUCAGUUCUACGACGCCCGAAGAACGUCGUAUUCAGGCCACCUAGGUCAUAGUAUGGUUAUAAUAGCUCACAGAAAGUAUUAACAAACUUAAGAAUAUACGAGAGUUUCAUUGAUAUCAUACGCGUUUGCGUUGAAAUAAACACACAUUAUUUUCUGCAAAUAAGAAAGAUUACUCAUAUAUUUCAGUCUUCGGAUACAAGACUACAUUAUUCAUUUUAAGGAAAUAUUGGAUUUUUCUGGAACAACUAUACAAUUACAUGACGAGCUUUUUCAUAAAUUAUAUACAAAAACUUAUGAACUCACCAACCCUUGUGUUGACACUUUUUCAAACUGCUUGUAUUCUCAGGAAACCACUAAACAGGUAAUAAAGUACUUUUGAGGAUGGGACGUCGAGGCGUCAAACUUAUUACAUUUUGUCAACAUAUUGUAAUUGAAUUUGAAACAUGUAAUACAUACAAUGAUGUAACCUUUUCAAUUAUAUAUAUGUUGGUUGUGUUUACUUUCAUCACUAUUACCAUUGUCGUUAUGAUACUACACAUCAAGUCCUCCAUCCCUGGACGUUUCCGCCAUCCUUGGUUCAGGGGUGUGACAAAAUCACCAUCAAAAACCGGUAACCUUUGCCUCGAAUCAAUGACCUCUUCGACCAACUACAAGGAGCGAUUUUCUUCUCGAAGAUUGACCUUAGAUCUGGAUACCAUUAACUACGAGUUCAAGAGGAGGAUAUUCCCAAGACAUCCUUCAGGACGCGCCAUGGUCACUACGAGUUUGUAGUGAUGCCCUUCGACUUAACAAAUGCACCCGCGGUGUUUAUGGACAUGAUGAAUAGGGUUUGUCGACCUUACCUAGACAAGUUCGUGAUUGUUUUCAUCGACGAUAUACUAGUCUACUCCCGAAGUGAGGAAGAACACAUCCAGCAUUUACGUCAAGUCCUGGAAACACUAAGGGCGGAGAAAUUAUGCGCAAAAUUCUCAAAGUGCGAGUUCUGGAUUCAAGAAGUGGAUUUCCUCGAGCAUGUAGUCAGCAAGGAAGGAAUACAUGUGGACCCUUCAAAGAUCAAGGCAAUCGAAAGCUAGGUCGUGCCAAGAACGCCUACAGAAAUCCAUCAAUUUUUAGGACUCACCGGUUACUAUCGAAGAUUCAUCCAAAACUUUUCCAAAAUCGCAAAACCACUCACCACCAUGACUCAAAAAGGAGUGACCUUCGCCUGGGGGGAUAAGCAAGAGGUUGCGAUCCAAACGCUAAAACGAGCCCGGUGUAGUGCUCCGAUCUUGUCCCUACCAGAGGGAUCAAAGGACUUUGUGGUUUAUUGUGAUGCAUCAAACCAUGGUCUUGGAUGUGUGUUGAUGCAACGAGGAAAGUUCAUUGCCUACGCCUCAAGAUAGCUGAAGACACACGAGGUAAACUAUAUGACGCAUGAUCUCCAACUAGGAGCGGUGGUUUUCGCCCUAAAAAUCAGGAGGCAUUACCUCUACGGCACCAAAUGCACUAUCUUCACUGAUCAUAAAAGCAUUCAGUAUAUCCUCAACCAAAAAGAACUCAACAUGAGACAAAUACGAUGGGUAGAAUUGGUAAACGAUUACGAAUGCGAGAUUCGUUACCACCCAGGAAAAGCCAACGUGGUGGCAGUCGCUUUAAGCAGUAAGGAAUAUUCUGGCCGCUGAGUAAAGGCAUUAACCAUGACCAUCCAUUCAUACCUGUCCGCAAAAAUCAAGGAGGCACAAGAAGAAACCUUGAAACUAGAGAACGUAGCAAGUGAGGCGUUGAAAGGAAUGGACAAAAAUCUUGAAGUCAGGGAUGACUGAGUUCAUUGUCUCAUGAAGCGGAUCUAGACACCAAAAUUUGGUGGAUUCAGGAACGUUGUCAUGAACGAAGCUCACAAAACUUGUUACUCAGUGCAUCCCGGCUCAGACAAGAUGUAUUUAGACCUCCAGAAGUUGUAUUGGUGGCCGAACAUGAAAGUCAAAAUAGCUACUUUCGUGGGUAAGUGUCUGACUUGCGCAAAAGUUAAGGUAAAGUAUCAGAAGCCCUCGGGACUACUUCAACAGCCGGUGAUGCCCGAAUGGAAAUGGUAGCGAAUUGCAAUGUACUUCAUUACCAAGUUUCCUAAGACAUCUGGUGGACUUGACACCAUUUAGGUAAUCGUCGACAGAUUAACCAAAUCCGCUCACUUCCUGCCGAUAAAGGAAACUGAAAAAAUGGAGAAACUGACGAGGAUGUACAUUAAAGAAGUUGUGCGACUCCACGACGUACCGAUAUCCAUUAUCUACGAUAGAGAUAGUCAGUUCACGUCACGAUUUUGGCAGUCACUGCAGAAAGCUAUGGGAACUAGGCUGGACAUGAGUAUAGCCUACCACCCACAGACUGACGGGCAGAGUGAAAGGACCAUUCAAACUUUAGAGUACAUGCUAAGAGCUUGUGUAAUGGAUUUUGGUAAACUAUGGGAUGCUCACCUACCCCUUAUCGAAUUCUCAUACAAUAAUCGUUAUCACACUAGCAUCAAAGUUGCUCCGUUUGAAGCCCUCUAUGGUCGUAAGUGCAGAUCACCUUUGUAUUGGGCUGAGGUGGGCGAUACGCAACUAGAAAAAGGGCAAGUUCCUAACAGCACACUCACUGGCCCGGAGAUCAUAAGGGAAACAAUAGAAAAGAUCGUCCAAAUUCGAGAACGGAUGAAGGCUUCACAAGACUGACAAAAGAGCUACGCCGAUAAAAGACGGAAGCCUUUGGAGUUCCAAGUUGGAGAUCGAGUACUACUAAAAGUAUCACCUUGGAAGGGAUUAAUACGUUUUGGAAAAUGUGGGAAGUUAAAUCCAAGGUAUAUCGGGCCAUUCGAAAUCCUCACUUGGAUUGGCCCGGUGGCAUACAAGCUUCGAUUACCAUAGGAGCUCAGCAACGUGCCCCUAUCUUUCAUGUGUCGAACUUAAAGAAAUGUUUGUCUGAUGAGACCCUUGUCAUUCCUUUGGAAGAAAUUGAGAUCAAUGAGUACCUCCACUUCAUAGAGGAACCUGUUGAAAUCAUGGAUCGAGAGGUCAAAUCGCCGAAACAAAGCCGCAUCCCCAUCGUAAAGGUCUGCUGGAACGCCAAGCAAGGUCUCGAAUUUACAUCAGAACGUGAGGAUCAAAUGAAGCAAAAGUAUCCAAAUCUAUUCCCCAAUCCUUAAGGUCCCUCUCAAAAAUGCAAAUUUCGGGACGAAAUUCCUUCUAACGGGGGAUAAUGUGACAACCGUCAAGUUCAAGUCAAAUUCAAAGUCAAAAAGUCAAAGUCAAAGUUAACAAGUCAAAGUCAAGUCAACAAAUCAAACCUGUCAAUCUUGUAUAAUACUUGUAUGAUUAAAAGUUAUUAUAUGAAAACGUACAAUUGUGUGUCAAGAAUUCGAGUUAAACCCUAAGAAGGGAGUUAAACGCAUCAAAACACGUCUAGGAACCCUUUUGGGGACUUAAAAUAAUCAUAAACAAAGUAUAACGGGGUCCACGGACCUUGCAUUGCAAGAUUAUUCAAUAAAAAUGGCUAAAAGUGAAUCUCUCCCAAAUCUCUCUCAAAAUCUCUCUCAACUUUUUAUAAUCAUCCGGGUCAUCCCGACCCUUAACUUGGCCAAAAAUCACUCAAAAUGAGAAGUUAUAUCGAAAAAUAGCCAUUUAGGGCCGAAACCCUCUUAGGAACCGAACGCUCUUAGAGGGAACCACUCAUCGGAAGCGAACUCGUCAGAAACGAAGCCCCUCGGACCGAACCCUGCGAAUUGAACCUGAACUUCGGGCCCGAGCCUCCACCUUCGGUCCCUUCACCUGCCUUUGAUCCCUCGUCCUCCCUUCUCUUGGUUCUUACCUCCUAAGGGCCGAACCUCGCAGGUUCGCUUCCUUCUCCCGGUUUUCGACUACUUUCGCCUCCUAAGCCCGUUGUUGACGAGAUUUUUUCACCAAAUUCAUAUUUUUACUAUUUUAAACUCCCAGAACUCAUAUUUUACUUAUAUCUCAAGGAUUUGUUAAUUUAAAAUCAUUAUAUUUAGAUUAAGAUGAUAAUUACCCCAUAAGUGGGUCAAGUGUGCCCACUUGCCUUCCAUGUGUCACCCUCUCACUUGUCACCUUAUCCACAUCACACAAACCAAUGCACACAUCACUUCAAACUCACAACUUGCUCCAGCAACUCCCUUAUAUAAAGAAAUCCCUGGAGGAGUUCUUGGUUCAUUUGAUCAUUCCCACACUUUUACACCUUUCUUACUUCACAAAGAAGCUUAUUUUCUCUCAACUUCCAGCCACUUUUGGAAGUGUUCAUACGCUAUUAAUUCAAUUUUUUAUAAGUAUUUCCUCUCAAAUCUAGUGUUAUUCCAUGUUUUCAUAUCAUCCUUGAAUCAUCUACACACAUUCUAACGCCAAAGAAUCGUUCAUAGGAUCAUCCAAGCUUUUACGUGCUCAUAAAGUGUUCUUGACUUGAUACUCCUCGUCUUGACCUUCCACUCUUCCAAGAAUCACUAAAGGUGAGUUCAUACCCCUACAUUUUCUAGUUUUCUUUAGUUUUCAGGGGGAGGAUACAAGUUAAAACACUAAAACAUAUUUGAAACUUAACUUGACAGCUUACAACUGAAAAGUUGUGACCUGUUCACGAACUCUUUUACCCAACUUAAACUUAAUGAUUUUCAAAACUGUUUAAUAUAAAAAUAUUUCAGGUUUAUACCUUUAAAAUGAUUACUUGUACAUCUCUAUACGGUUUUCCUUCAAUUUUUGGUGAUUUUUACAAAACUACCUAUCACUGCAGCAACGAAAUCGGACCGGGUUGUGAAAAUGAACAUUUUCACACUGGUUUGAGACUACCAAAAAUUAUAAGAAACUUUGUGAACAUAGUAGACUCUUUUUCCAAACUCUCUGAGUUUACAGAUUUAGUUUACGACUUACGAUGAUUUUUCUAUAAAUAAUCUAAAACAGUGACAGUUAAGAGUAAAUGUUAAAACAAGUUUAAGAGUUAUUCACACUUUGUAACAUGUUGAGCAAGGUGUGUAGGAGUUUAUACCUAGCAUUUUCAAUGUCAUUUUAUUGAAAUACAAAGUCAUGCAUAGUAAGGUUCCAUUUACAACAUAAAACAUUUUGAUAAAACUAUAAUAGGUAUAGUUUGGACACCUCAAACGGUAAUACUAUCGAGUUAUAAAGCAAGUAUUUUAUUAAAAACUACAUGAACAUGUUAAUGAAUAAAUUUGUGAGACAGUCAUCUUCGGUGUACUCUUUAGUACUACUUAAAAGUCUUGUAAUUAUAGCCAAAAUCUCUUGUAGGGAGAGCGUGAUAGCUGUAUAUAGAUCUAUAUUGGGUUUGACCACCCACACCUAAGCUGUUUGCAACAGCUAGACCUGCAGGUCUGGGGUGACAAGUGUCAUAACAUUCUGACGCAUGAAGAAUGUCGAGUACGAGGUCCUCGAGUCAUAGUAUAGUUAUAACAACUCACAUGGGAAAAUUAACAAACACACUGUUCACGGGAAUUUAAUGAUUUAACGAAAAGGGGCUUUAUUUAAUUAUAAAACCACAUAUAAGUAUGAUGAUUUACUUACAUAUACUAAGUCUUGGGUCUGUUAAGACUACACUAUACCUUUUAGAAAAUAUUGGAUUUUCUGGAAACAAACUUAUAACAAACUUUAAGGAACAACAUGCAUUUUUCAUUCAUAAAUUGCUUAUGAACUCGCCAGCUUUAAUGAUGAUACUCUUUCAAAAACAACUUGUAUUCUCAGGUAAUCAGUAAUACAGAUAACCACAAGACUUUUGAAGGCAAGACGCUAAGGCGUAGAUUUCUUUUGAACUAUUUUGUCAUCAUAUGUAAUUUAUUUGGAAACAUGUAUUUUGCAACGAUGUAACCUUUUAAAUUAUAUUUAUGAUGGUUGUGUUUACUUUCUUCACUAUGGUUAUGAUACUGAACAUGAUGUCCUCCACCCCGAACGUUUCCACCGUUCCGGUUUGGGGGUGUGACAUAAGAUGCGAUUUGUUCCUCUAAUGUGUUGAGAGUUAGACAUCUAAGGCGCCUUACCAAAAGUUGAACAACUAAUGAGAUUGAUCGCGAUCUGUAUCUCAUGUAUAACAUGAUGUCUGUAGCAAAGGGAUAACUGAUAAACUUACCUUAUACACCAAUUGUAGCUUUGAGAUUUUUGGGAAUUGGGCAUUGAUAGAAUGACACAAUGUCGUAUGUUGUUGUGGGAAGUGAAAUGUUGCUAGAUUUUCACCACUGUCUAUAUAAGUCUAAUACGAGUCUUGCGCAAGUGGGAGAUUGAAAGUUCUAGUGUGCUCAAGAGUCAUAUUAAAGUGAUAUUGCUAAUUAACAUAUGAUAAUAAUGGGUCACAAUAACAACAACUUGAUACAACUGAUUAGUUAUUAGAAAUUGAUUUUAUUAAAUAUUCAAUAAAACCCUUAUAAUUAAAUUGGAAAGUAUUUAUUUCAUGCAAAUAAUAAUUUUCAUUAGCAAUUAAUAUUACAUAAUUCAUAUGGUGUGAAUUAAUAAGUCAUGCACAACUUUUUGGACUAGCUGAAACCCUUUUUUCUUUUACUCAAAAGACAAAGUUUGUAUUUUAUAAACCAUGGGUUUAUAAAAUUUAAACUAACUUUCCUCUUUUUUUUAUAAUUUUCGAAAUUGAUGAAAAGAAAGAAAGGUGUGGCUUUUCCAUUAGUUUAUUCAAAAGAAAUAAAGCAUGGGAGACAUGUUUAUGAAAUGGGGACAUAUGUGCUUAAAGUGUUAAGACCUAAUGGUUAAUACUUUCACUUUAUGCAUAUAAAUAAGAGGCUUACAUUCUUGAAAUGUUGAUCAUUCAUUUCCUCCAAAAAACCAUAACAUGCUUAGAGCAUGUUACUUUCUCCCUUUGCUUCUUCAUUUCUACAAGAACACUUGCAUCUUCAUGCCUUCUUUAAGUUUAUAUUCGUUAUGAACAUACAAGAAGAUUGCAUCAUGCAUGGGUUUGAAUCCCAUUUCUUCCAGUCUUUUCCUACUGAACACUUUCCUGCUCAAGAUAGGUUACUAGAAAGGGAUCAUACGAAGGCUAUGUUCUUUUUUUAGAUCUAGCCUGAAUGACUCCUAAACUAAAGGUUUUCAUUAUAUCUAAAGUGUGCAGUGAGGGAUCUUUAUAUUAUAGGUAGCCAGUCUUUACUUCACUCGACCCAAGCAAUGCCCAAAGAGUCCCAUGCCUUUCUUGGUCGGACUAAGCCAACUGGCAAUUUCCGACAAGUCUUUCCUAAUUUUUAGAGCAAGAAGCGAAACUAC
rnacentral:lncRNA from 1 species